rnacentral:lncRNA from 1 species
GGACCCAGACUUGGAGAAAAACGCUGAUACUGAAGAGCUAAAUAGGAUAUGCAGAGUUGCUUGCUGGUGUGUCCAAGACGAGGAAACUCACAGGCCAUCGAUGGGGCUGGUUGUUCAAGUACUCGAGGGGUUGUUGGAUGUGAACCUGCCCAGGAUACCGAGAGCCCUUCAACUGCUUCUUGAUAAUCAGGAGCAUGUAGUUUUCUUCACUGAGUCGUCAUCAUCGGACCAGAAUUCCCAGACGAAUAGUAAUACCUCAACUUCUUCCUUGCAGAACCCAAAUAGUUCAUCUUGGACGAAGUCCGAGUCUUGAGGAUGAUAAGAUAAAUGCUUAGUACAAGAAGUGCUUCAGUUAUAUAGUGCAUACGCUCCUCUGCUUUUUCUGUAGUCAAGAGCGAAUCUCAGCAUUUGGGGAUUGGCUUUCUUGGGGCUUUUCCCCCUAGCUAUUUAUGUUGCACGUAGAUACAAGCAAGCUUGGAAUAAGUGCGCGGCCAGACCAGUUGUAAAGAUUCUUAAUUCUAUAUAAUGAUCUGUUGUCUGCUUUUUGAGAUCCCAGGUGAGAUCGGUAGUCAGCAUCGAAAACUGUCAUCUCCAUGGGAGCCCGAGAGGGAGAGAGUGCGAGCGAGAGAGGGGGAGAAGCACCCAGAUCCGCGAGUUGCAGAGAGAAAAAAUGGCUCCGACGCCGUCGACGGCCCACCGGACCACCCACCGGACGUUGCAUCCCCUGUUGCGGUGAGCUAGGGUUGUCCGCCUUUGUUUGUUUGUUUGUUUGUGCAUGCUGGGGUCGUCGGGCCAGGACUCGCAGCCGCCGGCUUCACGCGAGUUCCGGCCCCCGACCGUCCGUAGUCCGCCUCCCCGCCGGUCCCCGUUGUUCGCCUGUUCGGAGCCCUGUCGCGAUCCCGAGCCUGAAGGGCUCCGCCUUGUCCUCCUCAACCGGUGCCCGCCUGGCGUUCGAUGGAAAUCCCAGGCGAGCGCCGGAUCUGCAGUGACCGGCGGUGACGGGUGGCGACAAGCGACGGGAUCGGCUGCAACGGCCGGCCGGACGGAGGUCAAGGCGGUGCCGGCGGAGGCCCGAGCUCGGACCGAGACGAGCUCGGCCGCCUCCGCCGCAGAUCGUCAAAUCUCGAGGGCUCCCGCGGCGAGGGAGAAGAUGGGUCGAAAUCGGGCGGAUCCGGGUCGUCGAUCGGGUAGGUUGUUUAGGAUUCGGGUCGCGGUUACUGAGUCGGGUCGAACCCGAGUCGUCGUUCGGGUAAGGUUCCGCCUGGGUUGGGUUUGUACGCGUGGGCCGGGUAGCCUUUAGGCUGUAGUUUUUUUUUUUUUUUUUUAUAUAUGAAAACGGGCCAAAUCGUUUGGGCUUUUAUGUUUUAAGAAAAGAAAAAAUCCCGGGCCGGGCCUGCGUUGCAGGCCGUCCGGGUCUUGGGUGGACGACCCGGGUCGGACCCAACCCGGGGAUCCGACCCGGGUCAUUUUUUUUUUUUUUUUUUUAUAUAUAUUAUUAUAAUAAUAUUUUAAUAAAAUAAAUUAUUAUUAUUAUUUUCAGAAAAUAAAAAAAAAUCCCAAAAUAUCCUAUGUUUUACACAAUUUUCCAAAAAAAAAAAAUCAGAAAAAGCCAAAAAUGAUUUAUAUCUUCAAAAAAGACCAACAAAUCCAAUAAUCCCUUUUAUGUUAAAAAAAUAGAAAAAGACCAAUGUUUUUCCUCCACACAUGGAAAAUCCCUCGAGAAUCCAAAAAGUCUUAGGGUUUAAACAUGAUUAGGUAUUGGAAUGACAUUAGUGAUUAACUAGUGUAAUCGAGUCCCCGAACUUAGUUUCUCUAGUGUGAAUAUUCCUCCUAAUAUUUCGCUUGGGUUUCUAAUCGACCACCCUAAAUUGAUUAGUGGUGACUACAUUUUAAAAUUAACUUAUAGGCAAAAAAUAUCAAACCAUUAAGUGAGCUUGGGAGAGCCCAAGCUAAGCCUAAUAAACUUAGCCAAAUCAUUAGCCUUCGCAAGCACCCGCGCAUAAUCGAACGUCGAAAAAAGAGGUUGCGAUGGUACUUCCAUUCAUUUGUUUUUUGCUUACCCUUUAAUAUUUGUGACAUUGCUUUAAAAGUUUUGUAAAACCAAAUUCAUUAUCUCAACGUUGCUCAUUAAAAAUCUCCACUUUGUUCAGGUUGGAAAUUUAUUGAAUUCUCAUUUCAAUUAGGUUGAUCCAAACGGUAUUUUCCAUUGCAAUAGGAAAUUGUUUUGGAAGGCCUAGCUUUUAUUUUCAGUUCAUAAUCCAUCCAUAUCAAGGCUAAUCAGUGGACCUUUGCGGUACCAUAAACCCCUAAGGGUGCGUUUGGGAAGCCUUUUGGGAAAAGUCCUUAAGAAAAUGCAAAGGCAUUUGAGUUAAGGGUGUUUUUCAAAAUGCAAAGUGUGUUUGGUAAAUUUAUUUGUGAAAGUCCAUUGUGAAAUAUCCUUAUGCAAAAUAGUGUUUGGGUAAAUCAAAUUUGUAAAAGGCUUUUUAUUAUUAAAGAAAAAAAAGGGAACGUUGGCCGGCCAAGGCUUCGCCGGUUACCGCCGGCCAAGGGCUUCACCGGUCACCGCCGGCCAAGGGCAGGCGAUCUGGCGAGAGUCGCGGCGACCCUCGUCGCGCCGCGGAGGUCGCCGGCGAUCCAUCUGGUAGCGCGCGAAGGUCGAAGGCCGACGACCACAUCUGGUCGCGACCAGAUCUGCGACCAGAUGGGUCGCGACCUUCACGGAGGUCGCCUGAAGCAUGGCCGGCGACGCAGAUCUGGUCGCUACCAGAUUUGCGUCGCGACCUCUGCGAAGGUCGCGGUGGCGACCCAUCUGGUCGCAGCGCGAAGGUCGCGACCAGAUUGGGUCGCGCGAAGGUCGCGACCUCCGCAGAGGUCGCUUGAAGCACAGCCGGUGACGUAGAUCUGGUCGCUACCAGAUCUGCGUCGCGACCUCCGCGAAGGUCGCCUGAAGGUUGCGGCCGGCGACCCAUCUGGUCGCAGUGCGAAGGUCGCAGCUGGCGACCAGAUCUGCGACCAAAUGGGUCGCGGUCGCGACCUCCGCGGCGACCUCUCGAGCGGGGUCUUGCUUUCAAGCGCAGAAGGGUCGCGCGGCGGCGACGAAGGUCGUGGCACGACGGGUCGGCGUGGCGGGCGCGACGGUCGCCGGCGACUGCGUGCCCUUCGUCGGCAACCGCCCACGAAGAAGAAAGAAGAAGAAGAUGAACAGUUAGGGCAAAAAGGGAAAAACGAAAAAUCAACGAGGACAAUUUGGGAAGAAAUUUUUCUUUUUUAAGCUUAGCUCUCAGCAUGCCGAGAAGGCUGAAAGCCCAAGGCAGCCCCCCACCUGCCUUGGGCUUUCAGCCUUGAGAAGGUUUGGCAUUCCCCAAAUGGGGCUUGAAAUUUUUUACCAAACACUCAUCAAUUAGCCUAAAGAGCUUUGGGGGUUCAAAGUGGCUUCCAAAUGCCACUCCCAAACGCAGCCUAAGUUCUUCCAAGCUUCCCCUCAUUUGUUUUUCCUUUAUACCAUUGCCACUUUUUCUUGUACACAAUUCUUAAAUACUUUUCGAUCUGACGCAUUGUUUCACUUUUCUUUUGCUGCAGUUAUUUUACUCUAAUCGUGGAUCCUUCUCUGGUGCUAGAGGUGCUACUAUGAUGUCUUGACUUCCUUCAACAAUAAAAAAGGGUGCAAUCUGCUUAUAUCUUUAUUUAGUGGUGUUUCUAAAAAAGGGUAGGCAAAUAUCUUUGGGAAAUGCAAAUACAUUUAGGUUAAAGGAGUCUUUCGAAAUAUAAAUAAUAUUUGGUAAAUUAUAAUUUUAAAGUGUAUUGCAAAACAACUUUAACUUAAAUGCAAUUUGGUAAAAACUACAUUUUGCAUAUGACUUUUAUUGAUUUUUUUUUAAUCUAGCCACCGGUGGGUUUAUCUAGCCGCCACCAGCCUCGCCUGAGGUUGUGCAACCUCAGGCAACACCUAGGGUUCGCGACCUAGGUGGCCAUCUGGGUAGUGACGCCUAGGUUUGCGCGGCCCAAACGGCUGUCUAGGUUGCGAACUCCAAGCAAUCAUCACUUGGGUCAUGCGAACCCAAGCGAUCGUCACCUGGUUCACGUGAAUCGAGGAGACCACCUCCUGAGGUCGCAUGACCUCAAACGGUGGCCACAACCCUCAAGCAGCAGGUUGCUAGGGUUGAACGACCCCUCAAGCAAUGGUCGCCAGCACAGGCAACUCCUUGACCGGCGGUUGUCGGCCUCCGUUUGUUUCCCCAGAGAAGAUAAACAGUUCCUGUGGGACUUGCAUUCCAAAGAUGCAACUUCCCAAAGUAACUCCAAAACUAUUUUGGUUAAAAGCCCUUAGAGCCAUCUGGAGUAAUUAUAUCUUGCUAAAGUCGUCCAAAAAAUUGAACCAAACACGUUUACAUUUGGUUAAACCCCUUUAGAGUCCAAAAGCCCCUUCCAAAUACUGAACCAAACGGGCCCAUAGACUAUCCCUCCCUCCCUCCCUCCUAUAGGUUCUUCUUCAUUUUAUUAUGAAAAUAAAAACCCACAAAAACUAUUAUUCGUACCGACUCACGACUAGCAAUUGAGUAGUUAUGGUCAAUGAGCUCCGUGGCUCAUGACUUGAGCGAAUGAAAACGCUACAAGAUUAAAGCUCAUGUGGCAACGCGGCAUGCUCAAAGAUCAAGUAGCCAUGGCUCAAGCUUUGCAGCUCAAAUAGAUAUCAUGGCUAUGGCCAUCCGUGAGCUUGAGCAUGAAUGGGCAUGGCCAAUGCUAACUUAGAGUUGGAGCCCACGGUAAUGGCGGGUCAUAAUGGAGCUCUCUCUCAAUUGUCAUUUGUUCUUUUUAUGUUUAUGUUGUCUAAUUUAGCACCUAUGUGGUGUCAUGCUAUGUAAGCAUAAUAUAGCACGAUACAUGUGUUCCAACAUCCAUGUUAGUAAAAUUUGAUUGGUAAGAGAAAAAGUACAGCAGAUAGAUUAACCGUGACACUUUCUAUGUAAUAUAUGAGCUUUGAGAAAAAAUAAAAUAAAAGAAGAGGGUUUGAAAAGUCAACAAAAGAAGCUGAAGGAGAGGAGUGGAAGCUUCCGCUGUUUUUAAAGAGAAGAGAGAGGGAGGGCUUGGGCAUAAACGAAACAGGGGAAAGGAAGAAAAAAAGGGAGGAUAGAAAAGAGGAGAAAGGAGAAAGAAGAAAGGAGGAAGGGAAAAUUUUUGGCGCGCUCACAACCCGGAAGCCUCACCAAGCCGACUUAACCCCGUUUUGAAAUGCCGGUAGGUGAUCGAAGCCUAUAAUCAUUUAUUCGAACAAAUCGUCACAAUUAGGGCUCGAAAUUUGAAUUUCUUGGAGAUUUGUGCGGCGAAAUCCGAUUUUUGAGUUAUUGAACUGCAUAUUUGGAUAGAAAUGAUAGUUUAGAGUGUUGUGAAGCUAUAACAUUUUACGAAUUGUAAUUUGAACCUACAGUUUGCCCAGAACGGAAUUUUCAAUUUUGGCACGCAUUUUGGAACAAUAUUGAACAGUACCGAACAUUAGCUUUGGCUUUGAAUUUUAGCCGUUUUCGGUGAGGUUUUGGGACGGCUAAGUUGGGGUUGUUGUAGCGUAUCAAGAAAACUAUAAGAUGGCUCGAAAUGGAAUAUUGUAGAGGAAGUUAUGGCGCAAUGAAAUUUAGCGUACGAGCUAUGCCUAGCAGACAACAAUAGGUUUAUGCUAAAUACGAGCUUUCGUUGGCAUGUAGGUGUCGUUUUAUCAACAAAUAGGCUUAGUAUAAGCGAAUCAUUAUAAGAAUUUUUUUUUUAUUUGGCCUUUUGAUAUUGUUUUUCAGUUAAUUGUUAGGGAUCCAGGUGAGUGACACUAUUUCUUCUUUGUGUUUUAAACUCAUGUUUUGUAAAGAAAAAACAUUAUGGAUUAUAUAUGCUAUGAGUGAAUAAAUAGCAUCUUUUGUUAUAUAAAACUGGAUCGAGCUUUCACUGCCAUUUUGUUGUUGAAAGAGAUAAUUAUCCUUUGAAUUGGGUUUGAAUGAUUGUUUGAAAAUGGUUUGUGAAACCCUUUUAUGAAAGAAUUUCCAAACAUUUGUGGUUCUUUAAGAAUGCUUUAAAAUUUAUAUAUCAAAUGCCUGAGUUAUGAGAUGACUCAUUCUGAUGUUGGAUUACUAGAUAUUUGUGAUUAGUGAUUGAUUCUCAAUGUCUCUGUAGACCCUCGGCGGUGUAUAGGUAUACACAUACUAGUCUAGGAUAUCCUUGUGGGCUAAGCUACCAGCUAAUAAUAUGUGGAGACCUAACUAGGGAGAAUCUUGGUCGUCUUGUCACAGGUGUCAUGCAUGACCAUGAAUAGACAUUUGAGCAUUAGUUGGUCAAUGGAGUGGACCAUUGACAGGUGGUUUGAGUUUGGUCGAUGGAAUUGAUCAUCGACGUAUGUUUUGAUGAGAUUAAUCAAUGGAAUAGACCAUCGAUACAGGUUUUUAUGAGAUUGACCUGGACCAUUGGUGUCUUCCAUAUUUAUGUUAUGAAUAUAUAUUAUUUUAGAAUGAGUUAUGGUUGCAUUUUAAAUGCGCAUAGUGAUUUCUCAAUCCGCUUGAAAGAAAUGUGUUGCUUGCUGAGUCGUGAUAGCUCACUCCUCUCAUCUACUUGUUUUUUUUUUUGUUAGGUUCUUCAGCAAGGCACAAGAAGGCCUAAGCAUUCGUUAUCAGGCAUGACUUUUUGUGGUAGGGACUUUUUGAUAUGAGUCAUAUAUAGUUGAUAAGUUUGUGAGUAAGCUUUUGGUGGAGGUGUAUAUAUUAAUUUGGUGGUUUAUAGAAAACUCUGAUAUUAUAACCAAAUGCAUUUUUUGUCGUGUGCGUGUGCUUGUGCGUGUGCGUGUGUGUGUUGACUUUUGGCUGAAUUUUUGUUAUGUUGAGGUUGCAUCCUUUGGUGAAAGGAUGGCAGUGUCAUGCCCUUAUUCUGUUGAAUUAGGGUGUGACAUUUGUUGGUAUCAUUGUUUAGGCUAUGAUCUAUUUGGGUAGAUCUUUCAAGAUGUGGUGAGAUUGUGUGAUAGUCUCUAACGCGUUAAUCUUUUAAGUAUUAGUGGUGGACAUAAAUGGGAGGAUCCUCUAGUGAGACGCAAAGCAUUUUGAGUUUAUAUUGUCUCAAAAGCAUUUUGAGUUUACAUAGAGAUCCUCUUACUAAAGUAGUUCUAAGACAAAAACAUAGGUGUAGUUUAUGGAAAUUAUGACUAUGGUUUUGACAUAUCAAGAAGUUCAGCACUAGGAGCUCAAUGACGAGCUUGAGAUGAAGAUUAAUGAGUUAAAAAAAAAGAAGAAGAAAAAAAGCUCUUUACAAAACACAAGCUUCGCCUUUACAUAGAUCAGUCCAGCUUUGCUCAAAGGAGUAAACCUACUGAUUCCCGAAUAGCACCAGUGGUGUUGCAGCACCAGAAAUCAAUGGUCCAAGAGAUAGCUCCUGUUAAACUGCAUGUGAAGAACUUUGCAAUUGACUUAAGAGGGAACUCAGAUAAGGUGAUGGGUUUCCAUACUCAUCCAUCAAUGAAGGUGUUUGAUAAUCAGGAUGCCAAUUCUCUCAGAAGGAACUUCUCCGACCUUAGUUUCGCUGAUGAUUCUAGAGGAAAGUUUCUACGAAAAUUACAUGUUGAAAGCAGAUGCAAAGUUGAGGGAAGGGUGGGGAUUCGAGAGAGCAUAAAGGAGGCGAAACUGAAAGCCAUGCAGCAGUGACUUGAGUGAAGUUGAGCUGAAAUGAGGGCCAACUUUCCUAAUGCAGCAGAGAGACGUUAAUAACUCUUUAGUACUUGUCAACGUACUGAGAGGCUGAGAUCACUCAAUAUGCGGCCAAAAGUGAAGGAGAAGUAAACUGAUCUUGUUCAAAGUGAAGAGGAGGAAGUUGAAGCAUAUCCAAAUGAUGGUGUUCUAGGAGCUACCAGAUGAAGAAGCCUUUUCUUAAUCGUAAGUUGUCUUCGUCAACUCCUCUCAAUUCAGUAGCAGUGGCUUCAAGGUCUUCGACCAGAGCUUCCAACUCUUUUCAGGUAGACGAAGGGCGCCAUUAGAAAACCCUCUUGCGUAGUUCGUCCCCUGACUUCUUUGAUUUAAAGAAAAAAAAAACACUAAGCCCUCCCCCGACAUCAGCAAAGCAUCAAAUCGUUCACAAGCGAGAAGCUAUGCUUGAAGCAAGAGUAAUGGUGAAGAUUUGCCUCUUGUCAAGGAAGAGAGAACUCGACGAUCUGAGUCUUUUGGGAAAAGUUCUGCUGGUCCUAUAGUAUUUAAGGACAUGUUGGAUUUGCAUGGUAAUUGGCUAUUUUGGUUUCACUGGAAUUUGAUCAUGGACAGAUGGAUCAUAGUGUUCAAGACAAUUCAAAAAAAAAAAAAAAAUGGUAAUUUAUGGAGUUGUUCCUGGUGUAAGAUCUAGCAUUGCAAGGAAGGCUUAAAUGACAUCUGAAAAUUUGAUGAAUGAUCACGAUUUUGAUGACUCAGAUUUUGUGGCUGAUGAUUUGGGGGACAUGCUAAAAGAGGAAGAAGAUGAUGAUUCACUGAGAUCGAUUUCCCAAGUUGACCUUGUUUCUCUUAGUGAAUUUGCUGCCUCCAAGCCAUCAAAAUUCCAUCCGACAAGUUCUCUAAAGGAUUCACCCUGUGAAAGCCAGUCUCAUGGAAUUUACGCGUCCAAAAUUUGGUUUCCUGCCCACACGAGACUUCAGAUUUUGAUGCUUCCAUCAAUUCUCCAAUUGGAAGCCCUGCAUCAUGGAACUCUAUACCUUGGGCCAAGCAGGGGUUGAUGUUGCAUGAAUGAGAAAGAAAUGGGGGAGUGGGCCGGAACCUUUUAUUGUUGGCGAUCAACAAUCCUUGGUUCACUUUCCCUCCUUGGGCUGGAUGACAAGUGUAGAUGGGUUAAUAUUGACAGUGUAGUAAUCUCAAGAAGAACUGGUUCUGGAAAGGCUGUAUUAUUUACUAAACUGCCCAAAUGGACAUUUGAGUCUGAAUGAAUCAGAUCGGGCUCAAUAAAUACUCCAGAAAUGGAAUCUUGAAAAAGUCCGUUCAUCUGCCACUCUUUCUUUAGCAAUUCCCUAAAAGCAAUGUUCAUGAAGAAAAUAUCAAUGCUCCUCUUCAAAGAGGUAUCGUGCGCAUCUUUCAGCAACUUGGAGUAGAAACCCCUAGUGAUGAAGAUGACUUCAUUGAAGUGAGGUCAAAGAUGAAAAUGCUAAAUGAUAAGCGUGAGCAAAGAGAGAAAGAGAUCAAGACAAAGUACUAUGUCGCAAACGUGCCAAGGAAGUCUUGUCCAUUGCAAAGUACUAACCUCCCCAGUAGCUCCAAGAGGAUCUUUUCUUUGAGAAGUGGAGAAAUUGUGACCAUGGUUACACUAACUUUGCCACUGCAGAUGGAUGUAAUUUGGCAAAUAUCUAAAUAUCAAUUGGCUUCAAGGCCUCCAUAGUGUCGCAACCAUUGGGUCCAACUGGGACACUUGCAGCUAAAACAGAAGCUCAGGUUGAUUUGUUUCCCCAAAAGAUUGUGUCCUUUCCAGCUAACAUUGGAAAGAAUCUUGGGCCAGGCUCAAUAUUUUAGAGCAAGAAUAAGGUUGUGCUUUCGACAUAAAUGGAAUCAUAUUACUAUGGAAAAUAACGAAAUUGUUUGACAAUGGUUUGAAGUGUUUUGAAGCCUUAGAUGCUAUCAUAGAUGCUUUAUACUGUAAAACAUAUGUCAAGCUGUUUUAUAGUACAAAAAGAUAUUCAAACAACAUGAAUAGCCUAGGGUAAGGGGAGGGGCACUACAUGGCGGUGCUGAGUAUUCAGAGAGAUACUUCCAUCUAAUAUCUUUUGCAACAUAUCUUGAAAGUAGGUACAAGUAAUUGGGAAGAUAGUGAAAUUAUAGUUAAAAGGAUUACUACUCCAACAUCUUCUGGUUCUUCUACUUUCAAUACAACAUUUGACAUGGGCAGCAGGCCAAACAUUUCUCGGAAUAGUUCAAUAUCAAUGGAAAGAGGGAAACCUUCUACUUCAUGGAGAAGGGACGCUUUGAGACCGGGAGUAGCUCAACCUUUAGUCUCGUAGAACAAGAGGGUGGUUAUCAUGGCCCUAGACGAGAUGCAUGACAUGGAGAAAGAACAUAAUAGAUGAAAGAGUUCAUCGCAGCUGGAUAUGCCUUAUAGGAGUUGCAAUAAAAGAGGGAUGUCAGAGCCUCAGAUGGAAAAUUUCCCUCGCGUAAGAGGGCUCAAGAGGAAUCUUGUUGAUGGAGAUGCUGAUAAUAGGAAUCCUAAGCUUGAUCCUGAGUUUCAUGAGAAUUUUAGUGAGAGGUUUGCUGGUGAGGUUGGGCGGGGGCAUAGUUUGUCUCGUAACUAUUCUUGUCCACUAUCUUUUGUACAAUUUUUAUCAGAAUUCUGAGGCUGAUGGCUCUUAUUCUUUUGGGAGGUUAAGGUAUUCCAUGAGGCACCCUCGUGUUCCCCAUCCUGCUUAAUUAUCUGCCAUGCAUAAAGAUACACAUAGAGGUGAAAUUGAACAUCCAGGAUCCUCAUCUUUUUGAUAGCGAGGUGCGUCAUACAGGUUUUGUAAGAAGUGAAUCUUCUCUGAAUGUGGAUCAUGGGGUGGGUAAUCAAAAAGAUGUGGUUCAUGAAUUAGUUGGUAUCAAGCAAAAGAGCAUUGAUGAGAAGAAAUUAGAUCUAUAAAUUCCACCAAGGUGUGACUUCCAAUCCUCUCUCAAUGUCUCAAGCCCCCAAUUCUCCGAUUCAUUUUUCUUAUGAUGAUUUGGAGAAAUCUGGGGACUAUUCUAUGGACGCGCGGACCCCUGGAGUGCCUUAACUUUGGCCAAAGGGACACUUAAGUGCCAUAACUUACAAAAGGUACACUUAAGUGCCAAAAUCGGAGUAAAAUGGAUCACUUGAGUGCCAAUCCGGCGAAAAUCCGGCCAAAAUGUGACGUGGCACUUUUCCGGCGAACGGAGCUCAAAAUAACACCGUUUUUCACACUGACGUGGCCAAAACGGCGUUGUUUUGGCUGACGUGGCAAAAAAAAAUAAUUAAAUUAAAUUUAUUUAAAAUAUUUAAAAAUAAUAAUUUUAAAAUUAAAUUUAGUUAAAAUAUUUUAAAUUAAUAAUUUUGAAAUUAAAUUUAGUUGAAAUAUUAAAAAAUUAAUAAUUUAAAAUUAAAAAAAAAAGUUGGGGAGGCUCUCUCAGCCGCCGCUGCCGCCGCCGCCGCCCCGCCGCCGCCGCCGCCAGGAAGGGCCGGCGACGGCGAGGCGAGGGUCGGCCAGGGUCGCCGGGCCCUGGCCAGGGGCUGGCGACCCCGGCCGACCGGCGGCGAGGCUCGGAGCCCUCGCCCCAGAUCGANNNNNNNNNNNNNNNNNNNNNNNNNNNNNNNNNNNNNNNNNNNNNNNNNNNNNNNNNNNNNNNNNNNNNNNNNNNNNNNNNNNNNNNNNNNNNNNNNNNNGACCCUCCCCCGCAGUUGCCGGCCCCUUCCCGGCGGCGGCGGGGCGGCGGCGGAGGCAGUUGAGGGAUCCCUCAGCCGCCUCCCCCACUUUUUUUUUUUUAAUUAUUAAUUUUUUAAUAUUUCAACUAAAUUUAAUUUUAAAAUUAUUAUUUUUAAAUAUUUUAACUAAAUUUAAUUUUAAAAUUAUUAUUUUUAAAUAUUUUAACUAAAUUUAAUUUUAAAAUUAAUUUUUUAAUUUUUUUUUACCACGUCAGCCCAAAACGACGCUGUUUUGGCCACGUCAGCGUGCAAAACGACAUCGUUUUGGGCGCGCUUCGCCGGAAAAACGCCACGUUGGCGUUUUGGCUGGAUUUUGGCCGGAGUGGCACUCAAGUGAUCCGUUUUUCUUCGAAUGUGGCACUUAAGUGUACAUUUCGUAAGUUAUGGCACUUGAAGUGUUCUUUUGCCCUAUUCUAUGAAGUCGUUAGCUGGAUAGGACGGAGAUUUUCAUCCCCCCCUGCAAAAAAAGAAGAAGAAAGAAAAGGAAACUAUUGUCUUAUUGACUAAAGUUCUGCUUGAUCACUCAAAUGUCUGAUGUCGAGUUUGAUUGUUCACUGCUCAGAUUCAUUGCAUGUUAUUCCAGUGUAUGACAAGGACAUGUCCAAGUUGCACCACUAGCGUCUUCUUCACUCCGGGAUAUGCACAUCCUUGUCCACUGGUAUGAUGCCUGCUUAAAUGCUUCUAUCUACAUACUCGAUGACAAUGUGCUAGUCUCACUUGAAGUUUCCACACAAGACUUUGCGCAUUCCUUGACCCGUUCUUCUUUGAGAUCUCUUACCUCGCCCUCAUUCCGAGCACAAACGGGUAUAUAUACUUUUCCUUGUGAAUCUUGUUUCUACACUUGUCUGCUCGAACCCUAUAUGAUACAACCAUUACACCUUUUUCUUUUCCUUUCUCCUAUACACAAUUCUUUAAAUACUUUCGAUAUGAUGUGUUGUUUCACUUUUCUUGCGGCAAUUAUUUUACUCUUAUCGUUAAUCCUUCUUAGGUGGGGAAAAACACCAAAAAAGUCAUAAAUAUAUUGCAUUGGUACCGAUUUAAUGUCAAACCCUUUCAUAUUAGUAUUAAUUCAGUUAAUCAAUCCGGCCAAUUUUGGCCAGCCAAUGUUGAUGUGCACACCAGCCAAAAUUGGGCUGAUGGAUUGAAUUAGUACUAAUGUAAAAAAAAAAUUAGGAUUGAAUUGGUCUAAUUGAAAGAUUUAGAACUGAAUUGGUAUCAAUACAAUAGGUUUAUGACUUUUUUGAUAUUUUUCCCUUCUCAGGUGUUAGAGGUGCUAUUAUAAUAUCUUAACUUCCUUUAGCAAUAAAAAGACGGUGUAAUCUGCUUAAAUCUUUAUUUAGUUGUGCUUCUACAAAAAUCAACCCUCUCUAUGAUUAUUUAUGUUAAAAUUAUAUCUUGAAUUUGAAUUCGUGAAAGAAAUCCGACUAGAGAUGAAUUGAAUUGUAAGAAACUAGGUCAAUUAAGGAAAAUCCUAAAGCCGAAUAUUUCUGGACGUCGGUAAUGGAAAUCUAGAUUUCAUAUUUGGCGUCAGAGUCCAAAGUGCAGAUUUGGACCUUAAGCUGCCAAUUCGCUAACUCCAACAAAAGGCCAAAACUUGUGGAUUACAAAAAUCAAUUUCCGCAUGGGAGUUGGUCAACACAACAACCGAACAAGAAAGAUCGGAGUUGGACUGGGUUUCCUUCUUCAAUCGGUCAACUUGGCUAUAUUAUGUACGGAGUAACACCUUGAAAAAUCCAAAAUUGACAUUUUUAUAACAAAUUUACCAAAAUUUAAAUUUUUUGACCAUAAAAAAAUCCAAAUUUGUACACCUAUGAUAAAUUCACCUUAAAGAAAUUUUUAACCAUACAAAAUCUUAAACUAGCACAUCCGUUACAAAUAGAGAGUAAAACCCCAAACCGAUACAACAUUAAUUGCCAAAUGUCAUUCAAUUCAAUAAUUUGAUGAGAAAAUUUGAAGGAAAUUAAUGGAGGCUAAAUUUGUUAUGAGUAUAUCAAAGUAUUAGAUAAAUUUAUUACAAGUGUAUCGGUUCAUGAUUUAUUAUGAAAUUACCCUAAAUAUAAAUAUACAAUUGUGGAUUGCUCGUUGGUUAUGAAGAAAUAUUAAAGUGUAGUUUUUGGUGAAUGUCGAGGGAAGUUCUAUAUUUGUUAGUGACGGCCAAUUGGCACUGGAGGUUUGGUAGUGGAUUCUUCAUGGAAUAACAUUAAUAGCUUAUGUGUUGGACUCAAUUAAAUCUUGUGAGGAUUUAUUUAAUUCGUUUUUUGAGAUUGAGGGAUCAUUUCGUGAGGAAUUGUAAGACUAAAUGCUGCAUGAAUUAUUGAGUAUAAUUGGAGGUUGGAAAACAUGAGAGUGUUUGAGUAACUUGAGUAUGGUUGUAAUUUUCAUUGGAUUGCUUGAUCUAGAGUGGAAUUCUUUACUACUCUCCCUAUGGACAUAUGUCACAUCGACAUAAUCAUUUAAAUUUGAUGUUCAAUUUAUUUUCUUAGUUUGUCUAUUUUAUUGUUUGAUCAGUUAGAUUCCACAAUAAUUUAAAAGAUCAAGGCAUUGGUAAAUGGUCUCUCUACUUUUGCUCAACAAUCAAAGUCAUUCUUUUAAUUUCUUUUAAGGAAAAAAAUCACAAAAACUCCAAAUUUUGUCGACUGUGGUACAUUUAUUCUAAACCAUUUUUGGUGACACCAAAAACUCUAAAUUUAUACCCGUAUGACACAUUUACCCUAAAUUUUUUUUCUAUAACACCAAAUUUUUUGGGGUUAAUAUGUCACAUCAUACAAAUUUGAAGUUUUAGGUGUCACAUUAUAUAAGAUUAGAGUAAAUAUGCAAAAUAAGUAUGAAUUUGGAGUUUUUGGUGUCAUAAAAUAAGUUUGGGAUAAAUAUAUUAUAGUAAAUAUAAUUUAGAGUUUUCGGUGAUUUUACAUUUCUUUUUAUUCGAAACCAUUCUUGCACUUAAGUGCCAUUGGUCGUCCCUGUGUUGGAACACUAUUAGCUAUUUUCUAACGUGGAUUUGUAUUUUAUUUGUUGGGGAUUUUUCUUUCUUUCUCCAAAUGUAGACUCUCUCUCUCUCUCCUUUUUAGGUUCUUCAUUUUAUGAAACCAAAAACCCACAACCUUACCAAAAAAAAAAAAAAAAAAAAACCAAAAACCAAAACCCACAAAAUAUAUUGCCUAUACUAAUGCAAAAACACUAUUAUUUGUAUCGACUCACGACAAGCAAUUGAGUAGCUAUGGGUCGUGAGCUCUAUGGCUCAUGACUUGAGCAAAUAUGACUGCUACAAGAUCAAAGCUCAUGCGGCAAUGCCACGAGCUCAAAGAUCAAGUAGCCAUGGCUCAAGCUUUUUGACUCAAAUAGACAUCGUGGAUGGCCAUUUGCGAGCUUGAGCUUGAAUAGCCAUGGCCAAUGCUAUAGAGUUGGAGCUCAUGGUAAUGGUGGGUCAUAAUGGAGCUCACUUGUAAUUGUGCCCAUUUUUUUUUAAUGUUUAUGUUGCCUAAUUUAGCAUCUGUUUUUCCUAAAAUAAUUAUAUGAGCAGAGUACCACAUAAUAGGUAUGCUGGCAUCUUGUUCAUAAAAAUCGAAUGGCAAGAGGAAAAAGUAUAAUAGAAUGAUUAAUGGUGAUACUUCUAAGGGAAAAAGCCACAAAAAAAAAAUCUUAAACUUUAUCAAUUGUGACACAUUUAUUCCAAUUUUUUCUAACAUCAAAAAUCCCAAACUUGUACACAUGUAGUAAUAUAUUUGCCAAAAAAAAAAAUUUUACACCAAAAAACCCAAACUUAUACUUUUGUGACAGCAAAACCCUAAACUUUUGUUUUGUAACACCAAAAACCUCAGACUUAUAGUCAAGUCACACAUCUACCCCCAAAUUUGGUGUCAUAGAAAAAUGUUUUAGGUAUUUUGUGUCACAAAAGAAAAGUUCGGGGUUUUUUAUGUCAUAAAAAGAAGUUUGGAAUAAAUGUGCGACACUACAACAUUUUGAGAUAAAUGUGUCACGUAGAUAAAAGUUAGGAUUUUUUAUAUUACAAAAAAAAAAGUUUGGGGUAAAUAUUUCACAAUGGUCAUAAUUUAAGGUUUUUGGUGGCUUUUUCCAUACUUUUAAAUAGUAGAGAGAUGCUUUAAAAAAAGUAGAGGGGAUUUUGAUUUUCUGGCAAAAACAUAAGGGCCACCGAUAAAUCUAAUCCCAUAAAGAAAGUGGCAUAUGUAUAGGAAUUGAUAAAACAGUAAAAAAAUUAUAAUGGACACAGUGCCAAGUACCAAUCGCUCCAAGUCCAACCAGAGAGGUCUCUUCACACCAACAUCUAUGGCCAGGACAAAGUCUAUAAGGUUUUUCCAAUAAAGGCAGCGACCAUGAUGUUACGUAAAUAUGAAUUGGGGGAAUGAAUCAAUGCGUCGCUCUAGAGUUUAGUCCCUCGACAAACAGGUCAACUCAGCAUGCGUGGAACGAGCACAUUUUGUUGAAGAUACUGACCUCAAGUCUACCUUAGACAAGAGUAGGGACCACAAGAAUAAUGGACAAUGCUACAUGAAAAUCAAAUCUUAUCGGUCUAGCUUUUCAAAUAUAUGAAUGACUUUGACACUUGGAUUUGUUCCUUUGUUGUUGACUAAUGCUGGUAAAACUAUGUUUUAAGUCCUGCUUGAUCGUUCAAAUGUCCGAUGUCAAGUUUGAGUGUUUAGAUUCAUUGUAUGUUAUUCCAGCGUAUGACAAGGACAUGUCCAAGUUGCACCACUAACGUCUUCUUCACUCUGGGAUAUGCCCAUCCUUGUCCAUUGGUAUGAUGCCUGCUUAGAUGCUUCUAUCUACGUACUCGAUGACAAUGCACUAGUCUCAGUUGAAGUUUCCACACGAUACUUUACGCGUUUAUUGACCCGUUCUUCUUUGAGAUCUCUUACCUCGCCCUCGCUCUGAGCACAAACGGGUAUAUAUACUUUUCCCUGUGAAUUUUGUUUCUACACCUAUCCACUCGAACCCUAUACGGUACAGCCAUGGAUAGCAAAAACAGUAGUCCGUGGUCGUUCAUACUCCCAAUUUUCUUGCUUUGCUCAUCUCUGUACACCCACCUCUGUCUUGGCACAGACAAGCUCGACGCGAAUCGAUCUAUAUCUGGUGAUCAAAUCUUAACCUCCUCGGGUGGCCACUUUACGGUUUCAAACGAAAAAAAUGAAAGCCAAGCAAGAGCAGAACGGUUGAAGUCUUUAGCUGAAGCGAGAAUCGCUCGACGAAGAUAAAGACCAGCAGAGGCGUGCACGGGAAGCUUGGCAAAAAGGGGGAAAAGUCAGCAAAUUUUAUCUCUUCCAUUGAUGGCUUUGUCUCCUAAUACUUUCCAACAUAAUUUCCACCAAUUAAUCACACUUUGAUGCAAAUGUUGCACCCCCUCAUCCUAAACUCCAAAUUUAGCUCAUAUUGAACUUCAAUUUCCUCAUUCAAUUCCUCAAAUCGACGUCCAAAUUUUCCAAGAAAAGAGCCCAUACAAUUUUUUGCAAGUCCCCAACACCCAAAGGCUCGGUAUAGAAGCCAAAAUUCCCUUCAAAUGAGCCCAUCCAAAUUUCCGUUAUUUUCUGAUUCGUCCAAAACGAUUUUCCGUAAAAAUCUCGGAAUCUCCGAAAAUUCUUCAGAAGAUGAGUCGACGUUCCUAAAAUGAAUCAUGACACGGCAUAACUUUCAAUUUCUAAAAUUGGGUUCAAAUUCGCGGUUAAUUUCAAUUCGACGCGAUUUUAUCAUAACCUAAUCUACCAUGUAGCUUUUAGGAAUUUUUGGUGCAAUUGUCCUAUGGUCAAUUACUUUUUAGCCAUAUUGUACAUCUUCGACUCAUGGCAACUCUCGGUUGUCGUGGAAAUCUCGAGGUUUCAAAUGCGGACACAUGGUACAUAAAUGACAAAAAAAAAUCAGUCUAGUGCCGUUUGAUGAGAAUUUUGCAAUUAGGUGGAAUCACCCACGCACUAAUCACAUAUCUCCAUUGAAUCGACCUAUCUCCGGUCUCUGAUCGUUUUUUACGGUGCCGUAAUGACCCUUGCAAAUUAGCAUUGUCAAACAAUCGAUUCAUGAUCGAAUUCUUAAGUCCAUUGCGUUAAAAUCCCUUAAUGACUUCCCUAGAUAGUCUAGUUAUUUCAUGAGUGAUCAGUUCAGAGAAUAACACUAUAGACGCGUCGAUGAAAUGUCCGAUUUAUUUAAUUGAAAACAAAAUUUGAAAAUUCAGGCUGUCAUAGUUUUUGGGCUUUUCCAAGGUAAGUGACACUAUUUCUUCUUUGUGUUUUAAACUCAUGUUUUGAAAAAAAAAAAAACAUUAUGGAUUAUAUAUGAGUUGAUAAAUAGCAUCUUUUGUUGCAUAAAACAAGAUCGAGCUUUUGCUGCCAUUUUGUUGUUGAAAGAGAUAAUUAUCCUUUUAAUUAGGUUUGAAUGAUUGUCUAAACCAUUUUAUGAAUGAAUUUCAAAAUGUUUGUGGUUCUUUAAGAACGCUUUGAUAUUUAUAAAUUAAAUGCUUGAAUUAUGAGAUGACUCUCAUUCUAAAGUUGGAUUACUGGAUAUUUGUGAUUGAUGGUUAAUACUUAAUGUCUCUAUGGACCCUAAGGAGUUCUAUGGACCCUAAGGAGUUUAUGGGUAUAUCAUAUUAGUCUAGGAUAUCCUUGUGAGCCGAGCCACCGGCUAAUAAUAGAUGGAGAGCUAAUCAAUGGGGGAAUCUUGGUCGUCCUUUCAUGGGCGUUACGCGUGACCAUGGAUAGACAUUUGAGCAUGAAAUGGAGUGGACCAUUGAUAGGUGAUCUGAGUUUGGUCGAUGAAAUGGACCAUCGACUUAUGGUUUGAUGAGAUUAAUCAAUGGAACAAACUAUCGGUACAGGUUUUUAUGAGAUUGACCAAUGAACUGGACCAUUGAUGUAUUCAGUAUUUGUGUUAUGAAUAUAUAUUAUUUUAAAGUGAGUUAUGGUUGCCUUUUAAGUGUGCAUAGUGAUUUUUCGAUCCGUUUAAAAGAAAUGUGUUACUCCUUGAGCCGUGGUAGCUCACUUCUCUCAUCUAUUUGUUUUGUUUUGUUUUGUUUUUUUCCAGGUUCUUCAGCGAGGCACAAGUAGGCCUGAGCGUUCAUUAUUAGGGAGGACUUUUUAUGGUGGGGAUUUUUUGGUAUGAGUUAUAUAUAAUUGAUAAGUUUGUGAAAUAGCUUUUGGUGGAGGUGUAUAUAUUAAUUUGGUGGUGUAUAGAAAACUCUGAUAUUGUAACCAAAUGCUCUAUUUGUCAUAUAUAAAUAUGUUGAUUUAUAUAUGUUGACCGACGCGCGGACCACUGGAGUGCCUUAACUUUGGCCAAAGGGACACUUAAGUGCCAUAACUUACAAAAGGUACACUUAAGUGCCAAAAUCGGAGUAAAAUGGAUCACUUAAGUGCCAAUCCGGCGAAAAUCCGGCCAAAAUGUGACGUGGCACUUUUCCGGCGAACGGAGCUCAAAAUAACAUCGUUUUUCACACUGACAUGGCCAAAACGGCGUUGUUUUGGCUGACGUGGCAAAAAAAAAUUAAUUAAAUUAAAUUUAUUUAAAAUAUUUAAAAAUAAUAAUUUUAAAAUUAAAUUUAGUUAAAAUAUUUUAAAUUAAUAAUUUUGAAAUUAAAUUUAGUUGAAAUAUUAAAAAAUUAAUAAUUUAAAAUUAAAAAAAAAAAGUUGGGGAGGCUCUCUCAGCCGCCCCCAUCCCCCCCCCCCCCCUAACUCUGGGAUCGUAGACGCAUGUCGCCACCUCUAGUCAAUGCACAUGGAAGAUGGCACAGAUUGAUCAUCNNNNNNNNNNNNNNNNNNNNNNNNNNNNNNNNNNNNNNNNNNNNNNNNNNNNNNNNNNNNNNNNNNNNNNNNNNNNNNNNNNNNNNNNNNNNNNNNNNNNNNNNNNNNNNNNNNNNNNNNNNNNNNNNNNNNNNNNNNNNNNNNNNNNNNNNNNNNNNNNNNNNNNNNNNNNNNNNNNNNNNNNNNNNNNNNNNNNNNNNNNNNNNNNNNNNNNNNNNNNNNNNNNNNNNNNNNNNNNNNNNNNNNNNNNNNNNNNNNNNNNNNNNNNNNNNNNNNNNNNNNNNNNNNNNNNNNNNNNNNNNNNNNNNNNNNNNNNNNNNNNNNNNNNNNNNNNNNNNNNNNNNNNNNNNNNNNNNNNNNNNNNNNNNNNNNNNNNNNNNNNNNNNNNNNNNNNNNNNNNNNNNNNNNNNNNNNNNNNNNNNNNNNNNNNNNNNNNNNNNNNNNNNNNNNNNNNNNNNNNNNNNNNNNNNNNNNNNNNNNNNNNNNNNNNNNNNNNNNNNNNNNNNNNNNNNNNNNNNNNNNNNNNNNNNNNNNNNNNNNNNNNNNNNNNNNNNNNNNNNNNNNNNNNNNNNNNNNNNNNNNNNNNNNNNNNNNNNNNNNNNNNNNNNNNNNNNNNNNNNNNNNNNNNNNNNNNNNNNNNNNNNNNNNNNNNNNNNNNNNNNNNNNNNNNNNNNNNNNNNNNNNNNNNNNNNNNNNNNNNNNNNNNNNNNNNNNNNNNNNNNNNNNNNNNNNNNNNNNNNNNNNNNNNNNNNNNNNNNNNNNNNNNNNNNNNNNNNNNNNNNNNNNNNNNNNNNNNNNNNNNNNNNNNNNNNNNNNNNNNNNNNNNNNNNNNNNNNNNNNNNNNNNNNNNNNNNNNNNNNNNNNNNNNNNNNNNNNNNNNNNNNNNNNNNNNNNNNNNNNNNNNNNNNNNNNNNNNNNNNNNNNNNNNNNNNNNNNNNNNNNNNNNNNNNNNNNNNNNNNNNNNNNNNNNNNNNNNNNNNNNNNNNNNNNNNNNNNNNNNNNNNNNNNNNNNNNNNNNNNNNNNNNNNNNNNNNNNNNNNNNNNNNNNNNNNNNNNNNNNNNNNNNNNNNNNNNNNNNNNNNNNNNNNNNNNNNNNNNNNNNNNNNNNNNNNNNNNNNNNNNNNNNNNNNNNNNNNNNNNNNNNNNNNNNNNNNNNNNNNNNNNNNNNNNNNNNNNNNNNNNNNNNNNNNNNNNNNNNNNNNNNNNNNNNNNNNNNNNNNNNNNNNNNNNNNNNNNNNNNNNNNNNNNNNNNNNNNNNNNNNNNNNNNNNNNNNNNNNNNNNNNNNNNNNNNNNNNNNNNNNNNNNNNNNNNNNNNNNNNNNNNNNNNNNNNNNNNNNNNNNNNNNNNNNNNNNNNNNNNNNNNNNNNNNNNNNNNNNNNNNNNNNNNNNNNNNNNNNNNNNNNNNNNNNNNNNNNNNNNNNNNNNNNNNNNNNNNNNNNNNNNNNNNNNNNNNNNNNNNNNNNNNNNNNNNNNNNNNNNNNNNNNNNNNNNNNNNNNNNNNNNNNNNNNNNNNNNNNNNNNNNNNNNNNNNNNNNNNNNNNNNNNNNNNNNNNNNNNNNNNNNNNNNNNNNNNNNNNNNNNNNNNNNNNNNNNNNNNNNNNNNNNNNNNNNNNNNNNNNNNNNNNNNNNNNNNNNNNNNNNNNNNNNNNNNNNNNNNNNNNNNNNNNNNNNNNNNNNNNNNNNNNNNNNNNNNNNNNNNNNNNNNNNNNNNNNNNNNNNNNNNNNNNNNNNNNNNNNNNNNNNNNNNNNNNNNNNNNNNNNNNNNNNNNNNNNNNNNNNNNNNNNNNNNNNNNNNNNNNNNNNNNNNNNNNNNNNNNNNNNNNNNNNNNNNNNNNNNNNNNNNNNNNNNNNNNNNNNNNNNNNNNNNNNNNNNNNNNNNNNNNNNNNNNNNNNNNNNNNNNNNNNNNNNNNNNNNNNNNNNNNNNNNNNNNNNNNNNNNNNNNNNNNNNNNNNNNNNNNNNNNNNNNNNNNNNNNNNNNNNNNNNNNNNNNNNNNNNNNNNNNNNNNNNNNNNNNNNNNNNNNNNNNNNNNNNNNNNNNNNNNNNNNNNNNNNNNNNNNNNNNNNNNNNNNNNNNNNNNNNNNNNNNNNNNNNNNNNNNNNNNNNNNNNNNNNNNNNNNNNNNNNNNNNNNNNNNNNNNNNNNNNNNNNNNNNNNNNNNNNNNNNNNNNNNNNNNNNNNNNNNNNNNNNNNNNNNNNNNNNNNNNNNNNNNNNNNNNNNNNNNNNNNNNNNNNNNNNNNNNNNNNNNNNNNNNNNNNNNNNNNNNNNNNNNNNNNNNNNNNNNNNNNNNNNNNNNNNNNNNNNNNNNNNNNNNNNNNNNNNNNNNNNNNNNNNNNNNNNNNNNNNNNNNNNNNNNNNNNNNNNNNNNNNNNNNNNNNNNNNNNNNNNNNNNNNNNNNNNNNNNNNNNNNNNNNNNNNNNNNNNNNNNNNNNNNNNNNNNNNNNNNNNNNNNNNNNNNNNNNNNNNNNNNNNNNNNNNNNNNNNNNNNNNNNNNNCCGCAGUUGCCGGCCCUUCCCGGCGGCGGCGGGGCGGCGGCGGAGGCAGCUGAGGGAUCCCUCAGCCGCCUCCCCCACUUUUUUUUUUUUAAUUAUUAAUUUUUUAAUAUUUCAACUAAAUUUAAUUUUAAAAUUAUUAUUUUUAAAUAUUUUAACUAAAUUUAAUUUUAAAAUUAUUAUUUUAAAAUAUUUUAACUAAAUUUAAUUUUAAAAUUAAUUUUUUAAUUUUUUUUUACCACGUCAGCCCAAAACGACGCCAUUUUGGCCACGUCAGCGUGCAAAACGACGUCGUUUUGGGCGCGCUUCGCCGGAAAAACGCCACGUUGGUGUUUUGGCUGGAUUUUGGCCGGAGUGGCACUCAAGUGAUCCGUUUUUCUUCGAAUGUGGCACUUAAGUGUACCUUUCGCAAGUUAUGGCACUUAAGUGUCCCUUUGGCCAAAGUUAUGGCACUUGAAGUGUUCUUUUGCCUAUGUUGACCUUAGGCUGAAUUUUGGUUAUGUUGAGGCUGCGUCCUUUGAUGAAAGUACGGCAGUGUCAUGCUCUUAUUAUGUUGAAUCGGGGUGUGACAUUCUAAAUAUAAAGAGAUGCUUUAUAAAAGAUAGAGGGAGAUUUUUAUUUUCGGGUGAACAUAUAAGGAUUGCGGGGACUCUGUUCCUGAAAAAAGUUGCAUAUGGAUGGAAAUUGAUAAAACAGUAAAAGGUUAUAAUGGAGCUCCACUACCAAUCACUUUCAACCAAAAAAAAAAGAGGUAUCAAUCGCUUCAAGUCCACGUAGAGGUCUCUUCAGGUCAUCUAGGCAGAGGUCUAUUCACCCAUCAAGACUAACUUAGACAUGAACAGGGACAACAAGAGUAUUGGAACAUGAAUCAUGAAAUUCAAAUCUUGUUGGUCCAUCUUUCCAACUUAUGAAUGACUUUGACACUUGGUUUUCUUCCUCUAUUGUUCACUAUAACUGGUAAAAUUGUCUUCUUGCUUUGCCCAUGUCCGAGUCUGCCUGUGUUUUUAGUCUUGCUUGACCACUCAAAUGCCCAAUUUUGACUGCUCAAAUUCAUUCGUUGAUGAGGACAUCUCCAAGUUGCACCUCUAGCGUCUUCUUCACUCUAGGAUAUGCCCGUCCUUCUCCACUGGUUUCAGCAUUCAAGCUUAAAUGCGACCUGCGGAUGAGGCCAGUGAAAAUGCACAAGUCCCAGUUGAAGUUUCCACAUAUUACUCUGCGCGUUUCUUGACCCUUUCUUCUUUGAGAUCUCUUACCUCACCCUCACUCUUGAGCACAAACAGGUAUAUAUACUUCCUCCUGUGCAUUAUGUUUCUAAACCUGUCCGCUCGAACCUCGUUUGGUACAGCCAUGGAUAGCAACAAAAGCAGUCCAUGGUCGUUCAUCCUCCCAAGUUUCUUGCUUUGCUUAUCUCUCUGCAUCCACCUCUGUCUUGGCACAGACAAGCUCGAUGCAAAUCAGUCUCUAUCUGGUAAUGAAACCUUAACUUCCUCGGGUGGCGACUUUGUGCUUGGCUUCUUUACACCAGGCAAGUCGUCUUACUCCUACAUAGGCAUCUGGUACAACAAAGUUCGCGAGCCGACCAUUGUCUGGGUCGCCAACAGAGACAACCCUGUCACCGACAGGUACUCCACUGAAUUGAAGAUCUUGGAUGGCAAUCUUAUAAUUGUCAACGGCUCCCAAGUCCCUGUUUGGUCCACGAAUCUGCGUAUUUCUUCAUCUGGGUCGAGCUCCAUGGUAGCGGUUCUUGGGGACGAUGGCAACUUCGCUCUCAAAGACGGGCCAAAUUCUUCCGUGACCCUCUGGCAGAGCUUUGAUCACAUGACACACACGUGGCUUCCUGGUGCGAAAUUAGAGAUCAACAAGCGCAAAAACACGGUCUUGACAUCAUGGAAGAAUGCCGAGGAUCCUUCGACAGGUUUGUUCUCUCUCCAGCUGCAGCCAUCCAAUGAGUACUUCAUAUUGUGGAACAUGUCGUUUCGUUAUUAUACCACCGGGAAGUGGGAUAGUAAGAAUAAAGUGUAUGAAAACGUGCCUGAGUUGAAAGCGAACACUAUUUUCGAUUUCAUCUUUGUGGACAAUGAAAAUGAGAGCUACUUCACUUAUAGAAGGAAAGAUGGCAGCACUACCCCAUCAAGAUUCGUGAUGGAUCUUUCUGGACAAAUGCAGAUGCUUUCCUGGUUGCCCUCACAGCAGUGGAACAUGUUCUGGUCCCAGCCCCCGAAAAAAUGUCAAGUCCGCAAUUUUUGUGGGCCUUUUGGUGUUUGCAGCGAGAGCACAGAUAACUUUUGCAGUUGCUUGCCAGGGUUUAGUAUAACCUCACUAAGAGAUUGGAAUCUGGGUGAUAUGUCUAGUGGUUGUAAGAGGAAUUCCAGAUUGAGUUGUGCUUUGAGCACUUUGGAUGGGGAGAAGGACCAAUUCUUGCUUAGUCCUAACAAAUUGCCGACGGAUUCCCAAUCUUUACCUGUAAGAGACGCCAACGAAUGUCACCUCUCUUGUUUGAACAAUUGCUCUUGCACGGCUUAUGUUUUCAAGGAUAAUGCCUGCUCAAUUUGGUUUGGGCAUCUUUUCAACGCGCAACAGCUCGCACAAGGUGAUUCCACUGGAAAUAGCUUCUAUCUCCGGCUUGCCGCUUCCGACGUUGAGGAUCCAAGCAAGAAGAGCAAUGUAACUGCGAUAGUUGCAGGGUCUUUUAGCUCUGCAGUGGCAAUAUUGGCCAUUGUCUUGUUUGGCGUCUGGAGAUGGAGGAGAAGGGCAACUGUAACAACAAAGACAGCGGAGGGUUCACUGAUAGCCUUUGCACACCGGGACUUACAAGUAGCAACAAAGAAUUUCUCAGAGAAGUUGGGUGGGGGUGGGUUCGGUUCAGUUUUCAAAGGAACAUUACCUGAUUCAAUUCACAUAGCGGUCAAGAAGCUUGAAAGCAUAAGCCAAGGAGAGAAGCAAUUCCGAACAGAAGUAAGCACAAUCGGCACCAUCCAGCAUGUGAAUCUUGCUAGGCUUCGCGGGUUUUGCUCUGAAGGUGACAAAAGGCUUUUGGUCUACGAUUUCAUGCCAAAUGGUUCCUUAGACUAUCAUCUCUUUCAUAGAAAGGAGUCGAAGACCCUGGAUUGGAAAAUGAGGUACCAAAUUGCUUUGGGAACGGCUCGAGGUCUGGCUUAUCUCUAUGAGAAGUGUAGAGACUGCAUCAUACAUUGCGACAUCAAGCCAGAGAACAUCCUUCUAGAUGCUGAAUUAUGUCCAACAGUGGCAGAUUUUGGCCUGGCAAAGCUUGUUGGCCGAGAUUUCAGCAGGGUGUUGACAACUAUUAGAGGCACAAGAGGGUAUCUUGCACCGGAGUGGAUCUCUGGAGUGGCCAUAACAGCAAAAGCUGAUGUUUAUAGCUAUGGAAUGAUGCUCUUUGAAUUUGUAUCAGGACGGAGGAACUCAGAGCUAUUGGAAAAUGGGGCUAUCAAGUUCUUCCCAACAUGGGCUGCUAGGAAGGUAUCUGAAGGAGGUGACCUGCUUGAUCUUCUGGACCCAAACUUGGAGGCAAAUGCCGAUACUGAAGAGCUAACUAGGAUUUGCAGAGUUGCUUGCUGGUGUGUCCAAGAUGCAGAAUCUCACAGGCCAUCGAUGGGGCAGGUUGUUCCAAUACUUGAGGGGGUUUUGGAUGUGAACCUGCCCCAGAUACCGAGAGCCCUUCAAAUGAUUCAUGAUAAUCAGGAGCAUGUAGUUUUCUUCACUAAGUCAUCAUCAUCUAACCAGAGUUCCCAGAUGGAGAGAAACACAUUAACUGCAUCCAUGCAGAACCAAAAUAGUACACCUUCAACAAAUUCCAAGUCUUGAGGAUGAUAAGAUAAAUGCCUCUGUACAAGUAGUGCUUCACUUAGAUACUGCAUAUUGUUCUCCCGCUUUUUCUUUGGUCAAGAAAGAGUCAGCAUUUGGGGAUUGGCUUUCUUGGGGCUUUUUCCCCUAGCUAUUUUUGUUAUAUGGAUAAAAGCAAAGCUUGGACAAGUGCCAGGCCAAUCCAUUCGUAAAGACCCUUCAUUCUAUAUAAUGAUCUAGUCUGCUUAUGAGAUCCAAUGUGACAUUAGUAAUUAUUUUCAAAAACUGUCAUCUCCACUUUCUUAUAAUUUUUGCACUGGAAUUGGGAUCUACGUCGUCAAACAUGGGAUUUCUCAUGGGGUCCACGUCUUCAAGCAUGGGUUUGCUCAAUGUGGGUGCAGAAAACCUUUUAUCUGCUUUUAACAGAUUUUAGUCAACACUCACCAGGUUUUUGAUCCACCACAUUCAGAGAAUUAAGGUUCAGCCUUUAGGUUAGAACCCAUGAUUAAAAACUGAUGUAUGCCUCGUUGCUUGGAUGUACUUUUCUGGUGCAGAAUUUGCAACUAGAUUCCAGGUGAAAUGUUCUGAUGUCUUGUCCUUGUUCAGACGAAUAUCAUUUUGACCGUGUUAUUCUCCAUAAAAUGGAAUCACUUAGUUUGAUUUUGACGAGUGCAUCACAGGCUAACUGAAUGCAGCAUUCUUGUUCGUGGUUUGCUUCAUGUAGGCUCUCCCAUUCCCAGUUGAUGUGCCGUGAUUUCCCCAACUUAAUCCUAGCUUACUCUCACAUUCUUCUUCCACACUUCACGCUAUGGUAAAUAACAUUGUCUCACUUUUCUUAAUUACAGUAAUUUUUAUCAGCCAGAUGUUGGCAUCUCCCAGCAAUGUUUAGUUCAGAGAACUUUCAUCUUGGAUUUCAGCUGGUGUCUCACAUUGUUCUCAAAUCUGCCCCCACUGCAUACAAAGCAGGCUAUAAGGCUUGGCAUUUCUCAGUAUCAACUCCACUUACUACUUGCUUUGUUUAUAAUGAUUCAUGGCACCAAAACCGCCCUUAUAACUACAACUUGCUGGGACCAGGAACUAUAUCAUGAAAAUUACACGGUGAUCUAUGCUGUAGGAUGUUAAUGCCCGCCCCCUUUAUGUCAUGGCAUUUACAUCUCUUCUAAAGUUGAAUUUUUGUGGAUUGCUCACUCGCUCUAUGUUUUGAGUGAGUAAUGCCAGAGAUUACUUGACCAUUUUGCAAAACUGACGUGUAAAGUGAUGAAUUGAGACUUCCAUUGGGGUCGAUGUAACCGUUGGUCUCUCUAUUUUCACUUGGAAAUCAAGUUAUCAACAUGCUACUGUCUCACAUGGUUCUCGGAUCUGCCACUUCUCCUAGCCAUUGCAGUGCCACAAUCUCACUAACUUUUCCAAGUUUUCCAUCUUCAGUUUUUUCUUUACACUAUGACUACAUUUUUUCUCCUUUUUCCUAUAAAUGCAAUAUGAUAAAUUCAGAUCUAAUACCGUUUCACUUCUCUUUCUGUAAGUGUUUUCUCAGUACCAUCUGAUUGUUGAUCCUUCUCUGGUGCCAGAGGUGCUGUUAUAAAGUCUAACCUGCUUCUAUCAAUCAGCACCCUCUCUUAGAUGAAGCAACCUUGACUAGAUCUGGAUUUGCUAUGAUCAUUUAAAACUUCAAGCAUUCCACCUGGACUUGGUAAAAUAUGGAAUAAACAGAAAAUUGAACUGCUCCAAACAAAAGAUAAAAAGAAAGUUGCAUGUGUAAGGGAAUCGAUAAAAAAGGAAAAGGUUAUAGUGGAUGCAACCUCAAAUACCAAUCACCCCAAGUCCAUGCAAGGGACUCUUCAAAACUUCAUCUGUCCAUGUCCACACAGUCUAGAUGAUUUUCUUGUAGAAAUUACAUAGAAACUAACCAUGGAUAUUACAAAAAGAUGAAGUGGAGGAAUAGCAAAUCGCAGUAAUCUAGAGCCUAGACCCUUGGGAUUAUUAUUGGAUGAGCUCGCUGCAUUGAAUGCUCAUUCAAAGUACAGAACAGAAACGAAGAUCAGAGAAAAGAAUAUGCACAAGAUGUAGUAGAUUGUUCUCUAUCAAUUGUUUCACAAUGAUCUCCGUGAGGGACAACAAACUUUUUAAAAGCAUGUAAGCAUUUGUCAUAUCUCAUGAGCCUGACCUAAGGACUUCAACAAGAUACUCUCCUUCCAUGGGUUCUGAAGAUCAGAGCAAAGAAUAUGCACAUGAAAAAUUGAUGUUUUGAUCCGUUCUCUAUCAAUUGUUUUGUGAUGAUUUCUGUGAGGGAAAACUGCAAUUGGAAGAUAAAAACAGUGUCACUGUGAUUCGCAGGGAUUUGCAUUCCAGUAGCUUGUGAAGGUAGUUUUUCCAUCAGAUUUGUGAGAGUAGUUGAACUUGGGUAUGAAAGGAGACUAUAUCUGUAGAGGAAAGCGAAGGGCAUCAGAGUAACGCAUAGAGCUGUAACAAAGGAAGUUGGACCGUGCAUCAUGAAUAUCAAAUCGUGUUGGUCCUGCUUCUGGAUGUGCGAUUAGCGUCGACACUCGGUUUUCUUUUACUGUUGACAAGAUCUGGUAAAACUAUCUUUCUUGAUUUGCUAAUGACCGGUCUGCCUAUGGUUUAGUUGCGCUUGAUCAUUCUAACGGAUGAUGUCGUGUUUAAGCGAUGGAUUUCAUUGCAAAGUUCUCUUAUUGGUUGUGACUGAAAGUUAUCUUCAAGCCUCACCACUAAGGUCAUCUUCACUCUUGGAUAUGCCCCUUUUUGUACGUUGGUUCUGGCAUCCAUCACGCAGCAUGCAAAGACAAAAUGUCUUUGCUAGCAUAACAGUCGAGCUACCGUAAAAAUAAUAGUUUGUUGUGAGUCACAAAUUAUUGAUAGAGUAGACCCUACAAAUAUUUUUGAUUUUUUGUUAUUUGAUUUUUUGUGGUCUAUAAUAAUUUGUUGUUUUUACAGUAUAGCUUUUGUCAUACACAUUCAAUGUAUAGAUGAUAUAAUGUGGCAAAAGAAAAAAAAAUCUCCAUAGGAUAAAAUAUAUGAACGAAAUUUGCACAUACUAUUAGUCGACAUAGUAUAUAUUCUCAUCAUUUAUGAAUGGAUAUUACUAGAGAGGUUACAAGAUAGGAACAUUAACUAAAAUUUGUUCUCAAAGAAGCAAUAAAACCUAGGAUAGGUAUUUUCUUUCUUUGUAUAUCGAUUAUGUGGUUUGUUCAGACCACUUUUGGAACACCACAAUUGAUUCACCUCUCCCGAUAGAUUUUAAAGGAACCUCCUUUUUUAGGAAAAGUAUCAAAAAAUUCAUAAACAUAUUAUCUUUGUACUAAUUCAAUUCUAAAUCUUUCAAUUGGAGCAAUUUAAUCCUAAAACUUUUCACAUUGGUACCAAUUCAAUUCAUCAGGCCAAUUUUGGCCGACCGGCACUGACGUGGACACUAGCCGGUGGCCAAACACUAACGUGGCAAUUUUUAAAGUUUAGAAUUAAAUUGAUAUAAUUGAAAAUGUUAUGACUGAAUUUGUAUCAAUGUAAUAGAUUUAGGACUUUUUUGGUACUUUUCUCUCCUUAUUUCAAUCCGAUUCGUUUAGGAUUUUAAUGUGAAGUGCUCUGAAAAAUAGUCGAACCGGAGUCACACACCACAGGGAAUUGAGCAAACUUAUUUUUCAUCUAAACCAACAUCUUAUCGGUUGCCAGUUGUAUUUAAAAAAUGCUUGACUCACUAAGACUGAUUUAUACUAUUGGUUUAUUAAGUGAUGUGCUAAACCGUUAUUAAUUCUUAAACACGACCCACCUUUUUUUAAAAGCUUAUCCACAAUCUCACCCAUUAUUUAGUUUUUUCAAUUCGCUAUUAAAAAGUCCAGCACUGUUAUUUGUAUUUCAAAAGCCUAUCCAAUUUGCGAAAGAAUUCCAUUUCAGAUCUAAACACUCAUGCCAAUCUUACGACAUUCUUAUUACCCUAACAUUUCCCCUUUUCUAUUGAUACCAACCUGACUUCGAAUUCAAAAUGAAUAUAUAUACAAACCAUAAUUUGCCAGAACGAAAUUCUCGUCGCCAAAAGUCUACUAACUAGCUAGACGCUAAUCUCGAUCUAUCACGCGAGACAGCAUUUUCACGUAAAGGAUUUAAUGCAACAGCGGCCCUCUCUUCAUUUUUUGGGACGGUUCCUUUCACGCAUCCUCCCUAGCACUUCCAUAAAUUGCGCUACAGUCUUUCUUCUCUUCUUCUCAUCUGUCUCUACGUGCUAAACCUUCACUCUCUCCUGUCUUCCUGUCCUCACAUCAUCAUCAUUGUCAGUGACGCUCCAGCAAAGCCGGCGAGUUACCACAAGAAGCCACAUCAACGCAAAGACUAUUGCAUAAGCUCUGCCACACAACACCGUCCCCAUCAGACUAAUGAACAGCAGAUAUGUCACACCCCAAACUACAAGGCAUGGGGAUGACAUGGCCAACCUUAUAUAUAUAUAUACACAUAUCAAAUAACUAACAAAUUUGUUGCAACAUUAGAGUUUCUAUAAUCCACAAAAAAGAAAUAUACAUUUAGAACUCAAUCGGUGCAACCACUAGCAAAGAUUAUGUACACCACUUUCUUAAAUCAUACCCAAAAUAGAACUCCCAAAAGUUUUCCAAAAGCGCUCUCGUCCUACUAGUUGCUAACCCUGGGACCUGAAAACAUGGAAGAUGAAUGGAACGAGCAACCAUAGCUCAGUGAGUAGUACAUACCAUAAAAACAUAUCAAACUUCCGCAUUACACAUUUAAAACUCAAGACAUGACUCGUUAUUGCCUAACAAAAUAUGAUAACUUGCAUGAACAAAAUGUGUUAAAUGUUACCUCAACCUAACUAUAUCAAAUAGCCAAAUUCUCCAUUCAUCCAUAAUAACAAAACCAGCAUGGACUCAUCCUAUCUCAUAUCAAUAGUUCAUUCCACGCUCAAUAUCCAAACUCAAAGCCCUAGAGGUGACUUCCACGAAAUUGCAUUAUCAUGUAGCACUUAGCUCUUGAUCACAUAUAACAAUAGUACAAGGCUCUAGAGGUGGCACACACGAAAUUAUGUUAUCAUGUACCACUUAGUCCUUUACUAUGCAUGUCAGUAGUACGAGACCCUAGAGGUGACUCCCAUGUGACUUUAGUCGCCAUGUAGCACUUAGGGCGCGCAUGAUAAAAUUUUUGUUUCUCGAUUUCUCUGUUUCUCUGUUCCCCGGAAUAGGUUUGUAACAGAAAUUCGUUUGGUAACGCAAUUUGAUUUCUCUAUUUCUGAAACAGAUUUCUAUUCCAGAAAUAGAGAAAUCGAAGAAAUCAAAAGCUGAAAUUUUUAACUUUUCAGUUUCUGAAAUAGAAAUAGAAUUUUUUUUCUCAACUUUUCAAUUUAGUUAAUUUAGUCCAAAAUAUUUAAAUGAUUUUUUAAUAUAAUCAUUUCAAUCAAUAUUGAUUGAAAAUCUUAACCAUUGGCCAUAUGAUAGGAAUGGAAUGAACAUGGCUUCAUUUGUUGCACGCAAGAGAUUUCAUGCAUGGUAAUAGUCAACUUGCCAUAUUCAUAUCUAACGAGUCUUUCUUCACCUACUCUUUCGUAGUACGCCAAACAACGGCUCUAUCUGGCUAACUAUUUUUUUAAUCAUAAACUUCAUAUUGAGGCAGUAAAAAUGGGUCAAAUCAUUAGGGUUUCAUUUGAUUUUUCUUUUAUAUAGUGUCAUCACUUAUCAAGACACGGGUAAAAAAAGAUCUAAUAAGGAAUCUGUUGUUCUUGUAAGAGUGUUGAUGAAAAUAUAGAUUUUGAUAAUAAAUUUUUAAAUAAUCCUAGUGUUGAUAAUUUUAAAAAAAAAAACUAGUGACGAUUUUUUAACAUGGUGAGGAUUUUUUUAACAAAAUUUGGAAAGAAAUUGGAAUUAGACUUGAAGUUAGAAUUUCUUUUAGGAGAUUAGACUAUUAUAAUCAUGGCUAUCAUUAGACUUAUUUGAUUAAUGUGAAAUCAAUUUCGGCAAAAACAUAAUGACAUAUUCACUACAAUUGAAUUUCAAUUGAUUUUUUUUCCACGUUUAUUUUUCGAAAGAAAAUAUUACGUAAUAGGAAACGUAAGCACAUGUAAUAGGAAAUUCCAUGAAAUUGUAUUUUCAACUUUUGUAAUGUAUUAGUAUUAUUUUGACUAUUGUUUUGUAUUUGAGGAUUUCUUAUGUUAUUUUAGUAUUAUUUCGACUAUUAUUUUGUAUUUAAUGAUUUCUUAUAUUGUUAUAUAAUCAAUUUCUAUUCCUAGAAAUAGAAAUUUGUAUUCUGUUGGGGUGCGAAUGGUAACGUUUCUGUUCUUUUUUUGUUCUAGGGAACAGAAACAAAAAAAAAUGUUUCUGUUCCGGGGAACAAUUUUUGAACAAAGACACGUUUGGUAACGUUUGUUCUGGGAAUAAAAAAUGAAUAGAAACACGUUUGGUAAAUUUUAUUCUUUUUUUAUUUCUUUUAAUUUUGUAAACAUUUUUAUUUUAUUUUUCAUUUUUUCCUUUCUUUUUUAUUUUUUCUUUUUUCGGCCGGUCCCCGGCCUCCGGCGACCGACCGACUGGGCCGGCAGCCUCGCCCAGCCACGGCGAGCCUCGCCAUGGCUGGGUGAGCUCGAGUUCGCCCAACCAAGGCGAGGCUCGGCCUCGCCCGCGCCAGCGACGCUCGGGCUCGCCAGGGGCCGGCGACGCUCCGGCGAGGUCGCCGACCCUCGAGGGCGUCGCCGGCCCUCGACGGCCGAUCGCCGGCCAUGGCCGAGGCUGGCGACCGGCGAAAGAAAAAAGAAGAAAAAAAGAAGAAGAAAAGAAGAAGAGAAGAAGAAGAGAGAGAAGGGAAAAACGUUUCUUCAUUUUUGUUUUUGGAACAAGAAACAACAAUUUGUUGUUUCUUUUUUUUGUUCUUAUUUUGUUCCGGAAACAAAAAAACAAAAAAAGAACAAAAACGCAACCAAACGCGUUUCUGUUCUUUUUUUGUUCCCGGGAACAAAAUCCGUACAGAAGUGUUCCAGAAACGUUUCUUUGGAACGUUUCCAUGCACGCCCUUAUCAAACAGAUUUCUAUUAUAGAAAUAGAAAUUUUGAGUCAUUAUCAAAUGGGUUUCUUUGCUCAGAAACUUUUCCGGGGAAUAGAAAUUGAGAAUUCAAUUUCUCGCCAGAAAUCAAUUUCUGGAGCAGAAAUUUUGUCAUGCGCGCCCUUAGCCCUUGACUACAAAGCCCUAGAGGUGACUCACACGAAAUUUCAUUAUCGUGUAGCACUUAGUCCUUUACAUAUUCACAACACGUGAUUUUCUCAACAUGACACAUAUCAUGUUUCAAUAGUCAUCACAUAACCACAUAAAUCAAUUGUACCAAAACAGCAUACAUAACCCUUCAAGAGAGAUUUGUCAAAUCAUCCCAUAAUAACUCAAAAUUUCCGAGCACUAUAUCCAUCAAUAUAUAGCAAAUAGAUCAUCACUUCCUCACAAGUAUAUGUCAAUUAAUCUUAUCUUAGUAAAUGAGUUUCACAAAACCAAAGAAGACAUUAGUACUACUCACCUGGGGAUGCCCCAAAAUCAAAUAACGUGUGUUAUUUGAUUCUUCGAUCUCGCGAUCCGGGUGCUGCAUUAUAAAGUUGAGUCAGCUUGACGAGGCAUCCGUGGCAUGCACGUGCCAAAACCCCUUUUCUCUUUUCCCCCUUCUUCUUCCUCUUCUUCUUCUUCUCUCUCUUUUGGUCGAGGGAGCUCUCUGCUGCCCUUUUUAGCUGAGCCCUUCCCUCCCCUCCUUUUUACUUUUUUGACAUUUCAACUUAUCUUUCUUUUUCUUCUUUUGGGCCCCACCAGCCAAAUAUUACAAGAUAUGCCAUAUCAAGUUUGGCUCGUUUCGUUCAUGACUGAUCUUGAUGAUCUGGACUUAGCUCUUGCUUCAUUGAUGAGCCAUUGUACAAGAAUCCACCGUGAGACCACUGUUCGGACACACAAUCCACGUACUCUAAUGCCAAACUUGAACCUGAAGAAAGAGAGGUAGAAGAAAAAUGAUUUGCCUGAUCAUCGAUAAGCUUCUAAUCGUUGUUAUCACAUAACGACCGCCUUGGUUUGGCAUCCAUUGAAGGACAGUGUUUCGUCAACAAUGAGUUUCAAACUGAACUACUUCUUUUCCGGUAGAUAGUCCGAGCCUGCAAAAAAAAAUGGAGAAAAAUGAGUACAUAUGGAAACCACUAAAAUGUUCUCACAUAGUUCUCAUACCAUAAGUGACAUUUUCACGAUAAUAAUAGUUUCUUCCGCAACAUAACAUGUAAUCCUCGCUGGACAUUUCUUUAAUGGCACAAACUAGAAAAACGAAAAAAGUGGGAUAACAAACCAAAGCGGUGUAGAAGAGAGCGGACUUCAACAUGCGCGAAAAGCUAUGCUUUCUCGAUCGAGCAUACGGUGGUUUCACGCUUGCUCUCUCAUUGUCGUCCUCAUCGAUCAAAAGAUGCAUGAGCUGGUUCCGCCUACGCCUGGGCUCGAGCAUCAUGUCCUCGAUGACGGGCCGUCUAAAGCAAUGCAAGAACUUGAUCCUCGACACAUUCUUCAUGGUCUCUCUCUGACGUUUCAUGCGUUGCAGAUCGCAACCCGUGUUUCAGACUCAAUGGAGAAAAGAAACGAGGCAGGAAAAGAUGGGGAGGCACACGUUAUUUUGGGAUGGCUUCGAGUCGGAAGGCCAUAGAUUUAGUGUAGUUUUGGAUCACUUGUUUUCUUUUUCUUUGGUGCAAGUGUAAGUACAUGAAGACAUCUCUCUUUAUGUAAUAUUAGAGAUUUUUGAAAAAGUCAAAGAAAAGGCGGUGGACCCACUUUAAAUAAAGAAAUAAAAAGAAAACAAAAAGGAGAAGAGAUAUAAAGGAAAGGAAAGGAAAGCCCACGUUCGGGGCGGCAGAAGAAAAGAGGAAAGAAGAAGAAAGAAAGAAGAAGAAAAAGAAGAAGAAGAAAGAGAAGAAAGAAGAGAGAGGGCUUUGUGUGUUCACACCGUAGGCAACUCACCGAGCUUAUUUACAAUGCCCGGUAAGUGAUCGCACCUUUCGUUCUUUCAAUUGGAGUAGUUUCGGAGUUAGGGUUUGAAAUUCGGAAUUUGGGAAAAUCGAGCAGCGAAGUCUGAUUUUGGAGUUAUUGAGCCGUGUAUUUUUGUAAGAAUGAUAGUUUAGAGCGUUGUAGAGCCGUGGGAUUUUAUGGAUCAUGAUUUGAGCUUAUGAUUUGUCCGAAACAAAAUUUCAAAAUUUCUUGAGCGCAGUGAAAAGUACAAGUCCAGCAGUUUUGGGCCCGUAUUUUGUCAUUUUUUGGCUUGAUUGGGACGGUCAAGUUUGGAUUCUUGUAAUAUGUUUGAAGGGCUUCUAUUGAUUAUAAGUAUGUUCAGAUCGGGUUCAGAGGAGAAAGUUAAGGCACGAUCAAGUUUUGCGCUUAAACCCCGUGUUGCAAAUGGCUUGAAUAAUCGCUUUGGUUAUGCGAUUUAUUAGCGCAGAGAAAUCGUUUUGUUAACAUUUAGACAUAUUAUAGAUGUUUCAUGGUUAAAGUAGUGUGUUACCCAAAUUUAAUGUUGUUUCUCGCUUAUUCGAUAGGACCGCGAGAUCGAAUGAUCAAAUAAUGUGUGUUAUUUGAUUUUGGGGCAUCCCCGAGUGAGUAGUACUAAUGUCUUCUUUGGUUUUGUGAAACUCAUGUACUAAGGUAAGAUUAAUCAACAUAUACUUGUGAAGAAGUGAUGACCUAUUUGUUAUAUAUUGAUGGAUAUAGUGCUCGGUAAUUUUGAGUUAUUGCGGGAUGAUUCGACAAACCUCUCUUGAAGGGUUAUGUAUGUUGUUUUGGUACAAUUGAUUUAUGUGGUUAUGUGAUGACUAUUGAAACAUGAUAUGUGUUGUGUUGAGGAAAUCAAAUGUGUUGUGAAUAGAUAAAGGACUAAGUGCUACACGACAACGAAAUUUUGUGUACAUGACGACUUGAGUCAUAUGGAAGCCACCUCUAGAGCCUCGUACUACUGGCAAGCAUAAUAAAUGACUAAGUGCUACACGAUAAUGUAACUUCGUGGGAGUCACCUUUAGGGCCUUGUACUAUUGCUAUAUGUGGUCAAGGGCUAAGUGCUACAUGAAAACACAAUUUCGUGAGAGUCACCUCUAGGGCCUUGAGUUUGGAUAUUGAGCGUAGAAUGAACCAUUGAUAUGAGAUAUGAUGAGUCCAAUUAUUGAACAAAAUUGGUGAUGCUGGUUUUGUUAUUAUGGAUGAAUGAGAAAUUUUGUUAUUUGAUAUAGCUAGGUUGAGGUAACAUAUAACGCAUUUUGUUCAUGCAAGUUAUCAUAUUUUUGUUUGGCAAUAAUGAGUCAUGUCUUGAGUUUUAAAUGUGUAAUGUGGAAGUUUGAUAUGCUUUUAUGGUAUGUACUACUCACUGAGCUAUGGUUGCUCAUUCCAUUCAUCUUCCAUGUUUUCAGGUCUCAAGGUUAGCAACUAGUAGGACGAGAGUGCUUUUGGAAAAAUUUUGGGAGUUCUAUUUUGGGUAUGGUUUAAGAGAGUAGUGUACAUAAUCCUUGCUAAUGGUUGAACUAGUUGAGUUCUAAAUGUAUAUUUCUUUUUUGUGGAUUAUAGAAACUCUAAUGUUACAACAAAUUUGUUAGUUUAUCUGAUAUGUAUAUAUAUGGUUUGAGAUAUAUACAUUUCAUGAAAGGACGGCCGUGUCAUCCCCAUUCCUUGUAAUUUUGGGGUGUGACACUUUAUAUAAAUAUUUCUAUUUCCAGAGUGAGAAUUACUAUCGGGUGGUUAAGGAUUUAAAUGCUUGAAUGAGAAGAUCAGAGAAAAGGGCAAAAACGGAUAAUGGCUUAUUGUCACUGAUGGACAGACAGGAAGAAGGAGAGGGUAUGACUACGCUACGGUUUUAGUGAAGAGAAAUGGCUUUAAAUUUGAAUGGUCCUUAUGAUCGUCAAGACAUCUCUAGAUAAUCAAUCUCUGAGUGGGGCUAAUUGUGAUAGUGGUCUUCCAAGAAAUUCUAAAAUUAUUCCUUUUAUUUAGGAGUAUCCAAAAAAAUCGAGAAUCACCCAGAAUCGGACCAAACCCACCUAGAACCAACGGUUCGCGGUUCUCAUGGGAACCGGUCCGGUUCCAAGGAUGGAACCAUCCACCUGAGUUGGACCGGUAUAUAUAUAUAUAUAUACCGGUCAAGUUUUCUAUCAAUUCUAAAGUCCCUAGCCAUGGACUUGCUUCUUUGAUAUCUUAAUGAGGACAUUGAUGCUCCCUUCUUAUUGUCCAAAUUGAGACCCAUCUCAACUAUUGUCAUCGUCCACCCUUCUACAUCUCUUCCUUCAUUAGGAUCACAUGCUAGUUUGGUGUCCAUACAACACACAUUAGAAACAUUUUGGCUUUAUUCCUUCCUCUAGAAGACCGGUUCCAACGAUCCACUUGAGAACCAGAUUGGUAACCAACGGAUGGUUCUUGGUUCUAGGAGGGAAUAGCCCACUGCCCAUCUUGGAACCAAUCACCCUUGCGUUCAAUUCAAGAAAUGUGUUAGCUUCUUCAAAAUCCCGGGGGUGCCUUGCAAAUGCCUGUGCUAAUAAGCAAUUUGCUUGCACGCAUGCUAUAAGCCAAAAGUUCCACCUGCUUACACGAUCGCAAGAAAUCGAAUCAUGUCGUUUCGGUGGGUGAAUAAAUGCAAUGGUGGUUUGUGGCCAUUCGAGCAGAGAAACAGUGGAUGGGAUAUCUAACGAUUUUGCAUAUGUAACAUCUGCCUUUCCUAUCUACACGUCGAACAACCCUCUCGUGUCCGAAAUUUAUGCAUCACCCUUUGAGCAUUAUCAUUAGAGUCUUCUAAAGAAAUAAGUCGGCUAAGCCUAUUAAAUGAGUGAGUUGAAUUGAGUCGAAAAAAAUGUCUGACCCACUUAACCUGCAUUAACCCAUUUUUAUGCUACACAAUUUUAGAGUUCCAUACCCGACCCGAUUAACACCUAACAUAUAACUGAUACAAUCCAUAUUACUAAAAAAAUCCAUAACUAACCCAAUUUAUGCAAACUCGUACCCAUUCGCUCAAACAACUUUAAGCCUUUCCUAUGAAUCUAUCAUUUAUAUAAAGUUUUAUAUCAAUUUAAAAAAUAAUAAACCAAAUAAAAAGUCGCCACUCGUUGUCGCUUGCCUAACCAACUCAACUAACGUUGUCUCUCCUCCGUCCAAGCCCCACACCGCUGCUGUGGAGACCCCAAACAUAGUCGCCUCUCUCUCGCGCACGCGAUAUCGAAUAAGAGGUCGUGAACCUAUGUCUAACUUCACUGAUCGUUGUGGUUGUGGCAUCGCCAUGACCCAAGCCCAUCUAUAUAAUUUCUAUUUUGAAUGCAAUAACAAAGUAACCAAUGACAUUACUCGGUCAUUGUGGCACCCCGAAACACCUAAGGCUGUCACAGGUACUUAUUACUCCACCAAAUGAAUACUAGUUACAUUUCUUAGCAGAAGCACCAUAGUCCAUAGGCAUUUUUUUUUUAAAUGGUCCCAGCGCAACUCAUUAGCGGAAACAUAAACAAAUCUCACUACUCCUCCUUCCAAUAACCAUAAUGCAACGCACACCAAUUACACAUCAUAUGAAAAGAUGAAGCUGAGCCAUUUUUAUUUACAUAUUUUCAUGAUGGAUUUCUUGGGUCGGUACAACCAAAAAGAAAAGUCAAGAUUUUUCAACUAAACUUGGCUACAACCCAAAAGAGAUCUCGACCCCUAUAUCGAUCACAUGUCACCCUCCAUCUACAAGUGUCGGCUAUCCUAAAAAAAAAAUAUUAGCUCCCACUCCUCACGUGGGCCAUCACACCCAUCCUGGCGCAUUGGGCGGUGGCGGCGGCAAAUUCUCGAGGGGGUGUUGGAUGUGAACCUGCCCAGGAUACCGAGAGUCCUUCAACUGUUUCUUAGUAAUCAGGAGCAUGUAGUUUUUUUCACUGAGUCGUCAUCGUCGAACCAGAGUUCCCAGAUGAGGAGUAACAACCUAAAAUGCUUCCUUGCAGAAGCAAAAUAGUUCAUCUUCAACAAAGUCCAAGUCUUGAGGAUGAUAAGAUAAGAGCUUAGUACAAGAAGUGCUUCAGUUAGUGCAUAUACUCUUCUACUUUUUCUGUAGUCAACAAAGAAUCUCAGCAUUUGGGGAUUGGCUUUCUUGGGGCUUUUUUCCCUAGCUAUUUUUGUUACGUAUAACUACAAGCGAGCUUGGAUGAUCGGUUGUAAAGAUCCUUCGCUCUGUAUAAUGAUCUGUUCUCUGCUUUUUGAGAUCCAAGGUGAUAUUGGUAAUUAGCAUCGAAAAAUUUCUGAUAAUUUUGGCACUGGAAUUGGGAUCUAACGUAUUGGUAUCACCUAGCUUGGAUCCCAGCUAGUGUCUCACAUGGUUCUAAAAUCUGCCCCCAUCGCAUGCAAAGCAAGCUGUAAGGCUUGGCAUUUCUAAGUAAUAACUCCUUUUGUUACUUGCAUGGUUUAUAUAAUGAGUCAUGGUAUGAAAACCACCCUUGAAACUACGGCUUGCUAGGACCGGAAUAUUAGAUCAUGAUAAUUUCCAACUGAUCUAUGUAUUACUAGCAGAUCCUAUUGUUGGUGCAGUAGGAUGUUAAUGCCUGCUCCAUUUUUCACAUAGCAUUUAUAUCUCUUCUAAGGUUGAGUUUUGAAAAUGAGUACUCGAACCUUUUAGCAAAACUGAUUUAUAAAGUGAUGGAUGAGAAUUCUGUUGGGUGCUCUUACUCACUUUAUAAGUUCUGUAAAACCAAAUUCAGCAUCUCAAUGUUACUUGUUAAAAAUCUCUAUUGUUUGUUCUAGUGGGAAAUUGGUUGAGUUUCUCUAUUUCAAUCGGGUUGAUCCAAACAGUAUUUUCCAUUGCAAGUGGGGAUUAAAUGCAAGUCCAAGUCCACUUUAAUUUAUCGUUGAAGAAGCCUGUUUUGGAAGGCCUAGCUUUUAUUUUUCAGUUCUUAAUCUAUUCAUAUUAAGGCUAAUCUUGUUCGGCCUUUGCAGUACCAUAGUCCCCUCACUUUUGCAAAGCUUCCCCUCAUUUGUUUUUCCUUUUUGCCAUUACACCUUUUUCUUUUCCUUUCUCCUAUACACAAUUCUUUAAAUACUUUCAAUAUGAUGUGUUUUUUUUUUUUAUAAGGUCGAUAUGAUGUGUUGUUUCACUUUUCUUGUGGUAAUUAUUUUACUCUUAUCGUUGAUCCUUCUCCGGUGGGGAAAAAUACCAAAAAAGUCAUAAAUAUAUUACAUUGAUAUCAAUUUAAUGUUAAACUUUUUCACAUUAGUACUAAUUCGGUACAUCCGGCCAAUUUUGGCUGGCUAGUGUUAAUAUGCACGCCAGCCAAAAUUGGACCGAUGGACUGAAUUAGUACAAAUGUAAAAAAAAAAAAAAAUUAGAAUUAAAUUAGUCUAAUUAAAAUAUUUAAAACUGAAUUGAUACCAAUGCAAUAAGUUUAUGACUUUUUUGAUACUUUUCCCUUCUCGGGUGCUAGAGGUGCUAUUAUAAUAUCUUAACUUCCUUUAGCAAUAAAAAGACGGUGUAAUGUGCUUAAAUCUUUAUUUAAUUGUGCUUCUACAAAAAUCAACCCUCUCUAUGAUCAUUUAUGUUGAAAUUAUAUCUCGAAUUUGAAUUCGUGAAAGAAAUCCGACUAGAGAUGAAUCGUAAGAAACUAGGUCAAUAAACUAGGUCAAUUAAGGAAAGUCCUAAAGCCUCAUAUUUCUGGACGUCGGUAUUGUAAAUCUAGAUUUCAUAUUUGGCGUCAGAGUCCAAAGUGCAGAUUUGGACCUUAAGCUGCCGAUUCGCUAACUCCAACAAAAGGUCAGAACUUGUGGAUUACGAAAAUCAAUUUCCGCAUCGCAGUUGGUCAACACAACAACCGAACAAGAAAGAUCGGAGUUGGACUGGGUUUCCUUCUUCAAUCGGUCAACUUGGCUAUAUUAUAUACGGAGUAACACCUUGAAAAAUCCAAAAUUGACAUUUUUAUAACAAAUUUACCAAAAUUUAAAUUUUUUGACCUAAAAAAUCCAAAUUUGUACACCUAUGAUAAAUUCACCUUAAAGAAAUUUGUAACCAUACAAAAUCUUAAACUAGCACAUCCGUUACAAAUGGAGAGUAAAACCUCAAACCGAUACAACAUUAAUUGCCAAAUGUCAUUCAAUUCAAUAAUUUGAUGAGAAAAUUUGAAGGAAAUUAAUGGAGGCUAAAUUUGUUAUGAGUAUAUCAAAGUUUUAGAUAAAUUUAUUAUAAGUGUAUUGGUUCAUGAUUUAUUAUGAAAUUACCCUAAAUAUAAAUAUACAAUUGAGAUUGCUCGUUGGUUAUGAAGAACUAUUAAAGUGUAGUUUUUGGUGAAUGUCAAGGGAAGUUCUAUAUUUGUUAGUGACGGCCAAUUGGCACUGGAGGUUUGGUAGUGGAUUCUUCAUGGAAUAACAUUAAUAGCUUAUGUGUUGGACUCAAUUAAAUCUUGUGAGGAUUUAUUUAAUUAAUUUUUUGAGAUUGAGGGAUCAUUUCGUGAGGAAUUGUAAGACUAAAUGCUACGUGAAUUAUUGAGUAUAAUUGGAGCUUGGAAAACAUGAGAGUGUUUAAGUAACUUGAGUAUGGUUGUAAUUUUCAUUGGAUUGCUUGAUUUAGAGUGGAAUUCUUUACUACUCUCCCUAUGGACAUAUGUCACAUCGACAGAAUCAUUUAAAUUUGGUGUCCAAUUUAUUUUCUUAUUUUGUCUAUUUUAUUGUUUGAUCAGUUAGAUUCCACAAUAAUUUAAAAGAUCAAGGCAUUGAUAAAUGGUCUCUCUACUUUUGCUCAACAAUCAAAGCCAUUCUUUUAAUUUCUUUUAAGGAAAAAAAUCACAAAAACUCCAAUUUUUGUCGACUAUGGUACAUUUAUUCUAAACCAUUUUUGGUGACACCAAAAACUCUAAAUUUAUACCCGCGUGACACAUUUAUUCUAUUUUUUUUUUCUAUAACACCAAAUUUUUCGGGGUUAAUAUGUCACAUCAUACAAAUUUGAAGUUUUAGGUGGCACAUUAUAUAAGAUUAGAGUAAAUAUGCAAAAUAAGUAUGAAUUUGGAGUUUUUGGUGUCAUAAAAUAAGUUUGGGAUAAAUAUAUUAGAGUAAAUAUAAUUUAGAGUUUUCGGUGAUUUUACAUUUCUUUUUAUUCGAAACCGUUCUUGCACUUAAGUGCCAUUGGUCGUCCCUGUGUUGGAACACUAUUAGUUAUUUUCUAACGUGAAUUUGUAUUUUAUUUGUGGCCAACAACUGAUUUAUUAAUAAAUUUUAGAUAACAAAUAUCAUUACUUCAACCAAUGGCCUAUAAAUUGAGUUAAACCACAAAACUAAAUAUCUAAACUUUUUUGCCUUAUGAACUCAUGAGUGAUAAUGGAUCAGCUGUCAAGCUUGUCAAUUUGGUUCUUUCUCCAAAUGUAGACUCUCUCUGUCCUUUUUAGGUUCUUCAUUUUACGAAACCAAAAACCCACAAAAUAUAUUGCCUAUACUAAUGCAAAAGCACUAUUAUUUGUAUCGACUCACGACAAGCAAUUGAGUAGCUAUGGGUCGUGAGCUCUAUGGCUCAUGACUUGAGCAAAUAUGACUGCUACAAGAUCAAAGCUCAUGCGGCAACGCCACGAGCUCAAUGAUCAAGUAGUCAUGGCUCAAGCUUUGUGACUCAAAUAGACAUCGUGGCCAUGGCCAUUUGCGAGCUUGAAAUUGAAUAGCCAUGGCCAAUGCUAUAGAGUUGGAGCUCAUGGUAAUGGUGGGUCAUAAUGGAGCUCUCUCAUAAUUGUGCCCUUUUUUUUUAAUGUUUAUGUUGCCUAAUUUAGCAUCUGUUUUUCCUAAAAUAAUUAUAUGAGUGGAGUACCACCAAUAGGUAUGCUGGCAUCUUGUUCAUAAAAAUCAAAUGGCAAGAGGAAAAAGUAUAACGGAAUGAUUAAUGGUGAUACUUCUAAGGGAAAAAGCCACAAAAAAAUCUUAAACUUUAUCAAUUAUGACACAUUUAUUCAAAUUUUUUUUAACAUAAAAAAUCCCAAACUUGUAAGCGUGUAGUAAUACAUUUACCCAAAAAAAAAAAUUACACCAAAAAAUCCAAACUUAUACUUUUGUGACGCCAAAACCCUAAACUUUUGUUUUGUAACACCAAAAACCUCAGACUUAUAGUCAAGUCACACAUCUACCCCAAAAUUUGGUUUCCUAGAAAAAUGUCUUAGGUAUUUUGUGUCACAAAAGAAAAGUUUGGUGUUUUUUAUGUCAUAAAAAAAGCUUGGAAUAAAUGUGUGACACCACAACAUUUUGAGAUAAAUGUGUCACGUAGGUAAAAGUUUAGGAUUUUUGAUAUUACAAAAAAAAAAGAAGUUUGGGGUAAAUAUUUCACAAUAGUCAUAAUUUAGGGUUUUUGGUGGCUUUUUCCAUACUUUUAAAUAGUAGAGAGAUGCUUUAAAAAAAGUAGAGGGGAUCUUCAUUUUCUGGCAAAAAUAUAAGGGCCACCGGUAAAUCUAAUCCCAUAAAGAAAGUGGCAUAUGUAUAGGAAUUGAUAAAACAGUAAAAAAUUAUAAUGGACACAGUGCCAAGUACCAAUCGCUCCAAGUCCAACUAGAGAGGUCUCUUCACACCAACAUCUAUGGCCAGGACAAAGUCUAUAAGGUUUUUCCAGUAAAGGCAGCGACCAUGAUGUUACGUAUAUAUGAAUUGGGGGAAUGAAUCAACGCGUCGCUCUAGAGUUUAGUCCCUCAACGAUAGGUCAACUCAGCAUGCGUGGAACGAGCACAUUUUGUUGAAGAUACUGACCUCAAGUCAACCUUAGACAAGAGUAUGGACCACAAGAAUAUUGGACAAUGCUAUAUGAAAAUCAAACCUUGUUGGUCCAGCUUUUCAAAUAUAUGAAUGACUUUGACACUUGGAUUUGUCCCUUUGUUGUUGACUAAUGCUGGUAAAACUAUGUUUGAAGUCCUGCUUGAUCAUUCAAAUGUCUGAUGUCGAGUUUGAGUGUUCACUGCUCAAAUUCAUUGCAUGUUAUUCUAGUGUAUGACGAGGACAUGUCCAAGUUGCACCACUAGGGUCUUCUUCACACUGAGAUAUGCCCAUCCUUGUCCACUAGUAUGAUGCCUACUUAGAUGCUUCUAUCUACGUACUCGAUGACAAUGCACUAGUCUCAAUUGAAGUUUCCACACGACACUUUGCGCGUUUAUUGACCUGUUCUUCUUUGAGAUCUCUUACCUUGCCCUUGCUCCGAGCACAAACGGGUAUAUAUACUUUUCCUUGUGAAUCUUGUUUCUACACUUGUCCGCUCAAACCCUAUAUGUUACAGCCAUGGAUAGCAAAAACAGUAGUCCAUGGUCGUUCAUACUCCCAAUUUUCUUGCUUUGCUCAUCUCUGUACACCCACCUCUGUCUUGGCACAGACAAGCUCGAUGCGAAUCGAUCUAUAUCUGGUGAUCAAACCUUAACUUCCUUGGGUGGCCACUUUACGCUUGGCUUCUUCUCGCUGGAUAACUCCGCGUACUCCUACAUAAGCAUCUGGUACAACAAAAUCAGGGUGCAAACCGUCGUCUGGGUCGCCAACCGAGACAACCCUGUCACUGACAGGCACUCCACUGAACUGAAGGUCUCAGGUGGCAAUCUUGUGAUUGUUAACAACUCCGAAGUCCCCGUUUGGUCCACGAAUCUGACUACUUCUUCAUCUGGAUCGAGCUCCAUGGUGGCGGUUCUUGAGGACGACGGCAACUUCGCUCUCAAAGCGGCGCCGAAUUCUUCCGUGACUCUGUGGCAGAGCUUUGAUUACCCGACACACACAUGGCUUCCCAGUGCCAAAUUAGGGAUCGACAAGCGCAAAAACACGAGUCAGACCUUGACAUCAUGGAAGAACGCCGAGGACCCUUCGACAGGUUUGUUCUCUCUCCAUCUCCAACCAUUUAGUGACGGUGAGUACUACAUACGGUGGAAUGGGUCUAACCAUUACUGGACUGGUGGGAAGUGGGACAAUCAGACGAAAAUUUUCUCUGGUGUCCCUGAAAUGAGAGCGAACUAUAUUUAUGAGUUCAAAUAUGUGGACAAUGAGAACGAGAGCUACUUCACCUAAUCAAUCAAAAGCUCCUUCAACACCAUAUCAAGGUUUGUGAUGGACCUUUCUGGGCAGAUCAAGCAGGAGUCCUGGUUGCCUUCCCAGGCGUGGACCAUGUUCUGGUCUAAGCCCUCGCAACAAUGCGAGGUGUAUAGACUUUGUGGGCCUUUCAGUGUUUGCAGCGAGCAGAGCGAAGUUUUGUGUAGCUGCUUGCCGCGAUUUAGCAUAAGCUCUCCAAUGGAUUGGAAUCGGAGUGAUUGGUCCGGUGGUUGCAAGAGGAAUUCAAACUUAAAUUGUGCAGCGGAUGUGGAGAAAGACCGUUUCUGGCCUAUGUCUAACAUGAAAUUGCAUGAUGAUCCUCAAUCUUUAGUUGCAGGGAGCGAUCAGGAAUGCCGAACUGCUUGUUUGAGCAAUUGCUCUUGCACGGCUUAUGCUUUCAAGGAUAAUAACUGCUCAAUCUGGAUCGGGGAUCUCUUCAAUGUGGAAUGGCUCAAACAAGGCACUACCCCUGGAAGGAGUUUCUAUGUCCGGCUUGCUGCCUCCGAAAUUAAGGAUCCCAGCAAGAAGAGUAAUGUAAUUGCAACAGUGACAGGGUCUGUUGGUGCCGCGGUAGUGAUAUUAGCCAUUGUCUUGUUUGCCGUUUGGAGAUGGAGGAGAGGGGCAACCGUAACAACAAAAAUAGUGGAGGGUUCACUGAUAGCCUUUGCAUACCGGGACUUGCAAGUAGCAACAAAGAAUUUCUCAGAGAAGUUGGGUGGGGGUGGGUUCGGUUCAGUUUUCAAAGGAACAUUACCUGAUUCAAGUCACAUAGCGGUUAAGAAGCUUGAAAGCAUAAGCCAAGGUGAGAAGCAAUUCCGAAUGGAAGUAAGCACAAUCGGCACCAUCCAGCAUGUGAAUCUUGUCAGGCUUCGUGGAUUCUGCUCUGAAGGUGACAAGAGGCUGUUGGUCUACGAUUUCAUGCCAAAUGGUUCCUUAGACUAUCAUCUCUCUCAUAGAAAGGACUCGAAGACCUUGGAUUGGAAAAUGAGGUACCAAAUUGCUUUGGGAACGGCUCGAGGUCUGGCUUAUCUCCAUGAGAAGUGUAGAGACUGCAUCAUACAUUGCGACAUCAAGCCAGAGAACAUCCUUCUAGAUGCUGAAUUCUGUCCAAAAGUGGCAGAUUUUGGCCUGGCAAAGCUUGUUGGCCGAGAUUUCAGCAGGGUGUUGACGACCAUGAGAGGCACAAGAGGGUAUCUUGCGCCGGAGUGGAUCUCUGGAGUGGCCAUAACAGCAAAAGCUGAUGUUUAUAGCUAUGGAAUGAUGCUCUUUGAGUUUGUGUCAGGAAGGAGGAACUCAGAGCUUUCGGAAAAUGGGGCCAUUAAGUUCUUCCCAACAUGGGCUGCUAGUAAGAUAGCUGAAGGAGGUGACCUGCUUGAUCUUUUGGACCCAAACUUGGAGACAAACGCUCAUACUGAAGAGUUAACUAGAAUAUGCAGAGUUGCUUGCUGGUGUGUACAAGAUGAGGAAACUCACAGGCCAUCGAUGGGAAAGGUUGUUCAAAUACUCGAGGGGGUGUUGGAUGUGAACCUGCCCAGGAUACCGAGAACCCUUCAACUGCUUCUUGGUAAUCAGGAGCAUAUAGUUUUCUUCACUGAGUCAUCAUCAUCGAACCAGAAUUCCCAGACGAAGAGUAAUACCUCAACUGCUUCCUUGCAGAACCCAAAUAGUUCAUCUUCGACGAAGUCCGAGUCUUGAGGAUGAUAAGAUAAAUGCCUCUGUACAAGAAGUGCUUCAGUUAGAUAGAUUGUUCUCUUCCGCUUUUUCUGUAGUCGAGUAGGAAUCUCAGCAUUUGGGGAUUGGCUUUCUUGGGGCUUUUUCCCCUAGCUAUUUUUGUUAUAUGGAUAAAAGCAAAGCUUGGACAAGUGCCAGGCCAACCCAUUCGUAAAGACCUUUCAUUCUAUAUAAUGAUCUAGUCCGCUUUAUGAGAUCCAAUGUGACAUUAGUAAUUAUUAUCAAAAACUGUCAUCUCCACUUUCUUAUAAUUUAUGCACUGGAAUUGGGAUCUACGUCUUCAAACAUGGGUUUCCUCAAUGUGGGUGCAGAAAACCUUUUAUCUGCUUUUAACAGAUUUUAGUCAACACUCACCAGGUUUUUGAUCCACAACACUCAGAAAAUGGCUUCAUGCCAGUACUUGAGAGCGAUGCUGAACGGGCAUUGGGAAGGAGGCAUUCUUCCCUCGGAGGGCAAAAGAUGUUCCAUUUCCCUCAGAGGCUAAAAGAUGUUCCACCCAUGGCUUCUUAAUCUGAUCCAAAUGAAUCGAGAAGAAACAAAAUCGAAGUCUCAUCAAAAGGGUAUUGGGAAGGAGGCAUUAUACAAAAUCAUUGCAUUGGUUUGCUACUACAGUGACAUAAAUGUUGUGAAAAUUUUGAAUACAUGGGGUCUAAAUAGUUAGAUUCCUACGCCGCUUGGCAUUCGAAUUCUCUUUUUAUGUUUUUAUUUUUUGUGAUUAAAGGGAAAGUCAAUUGAAACUACUAAUCAGAGUUGGUUUGCAAUGCCUAUCCUAACCAACUUAAGGAAUUUGAAGGCCCAUAUUGCAGCAACCUGACAAUCUCCAUGAGCAUAUGGUUUUUGGUGUUAAAUGCAAAGCAAUGUCAUCGUAAAGUUGCAUAUUAACUUGCAAAUCUCACAUCAUAGGAUAUUAGAUCUUCUAGCUCAUAUCAGGUGAAAUAGCCGCAAGUUUGAAUACAGAACACAGGAUAUAUUGUAAAACUCAGCCACAUCUGUCAAUUUCAUGAAGUGAAUUCACCUCUUGAGCCCCUCCAUAGAUCAUAGUUCAGAUAGAAUAUGUUGAAUGAUUUCAUCUAGGUGUGUAUAUCAUAUAUAUUUGACCAAACGAAGCAUUAGAUAUUUACUCAUAUAAAUCAAAAUUUCAAAUCACAACUUGAAUAUUGCAAAUAAACUAAACAAAUUGAGCUCAUCCAUCAAUACCAGGAAUCUAUUAAAAUUAAGAUAUAUAGCUCUUUAUGCUUCGCAACAUUCAAAGCAGCUAUUGCUGUUGUCCACAAACGUGUCAUGUUCCCAUUAAACGUACAUUGCUUUUUCAUGUAAUAAAUGACUGAACCCAUGUGUUCGUGUUGAUUGUGCACGUUCAUGUGAGAACUGUAAUUAUACUUCAGAAAAAUUCUCUGUUUGAAGCACAUCAUACACAAGCAGAAUCAUCCUUUCGGUUUUCCGAACCGUUAGAGCGCCCCCAUGCAUCCAACAGAAUACAAACUCCGAAGUAAUUCCUUUCAAAAUAAGGAUCAGAUGAGCUCCAAUAGACAAAGUAAUAUGCAAAAUAUAAGACAAACAGAGUAUAUUUGCCUCUUCCAGCAGCAAAUAGAUGAAAUAUUAAAUGUUUGGUGACAGUCACUAUUUCUUUUUCUUUGCCAAAUUAGUACGAUACCGACAAUGAAACCCUACAGCGUAUAUACAUGGGCCAGCAUUAUAGGCCACCACCCUCAACACACAACAAGGGUAAACACAGGCCGAAAGCUGCUGCUGCUCGUGCUUGAAUCAGUCAGCACACCACACCAACAGUUAAGCCUCCUAAUAAUUGAUAUGUCACUGGGAACUUGAACGAUUCAUACCAAUAAUCCUUUUAUAGGACACUGCCCAUGCGCUUGAACUGGUUCCUUGUCCAUGAAAGUCAUGUUUCUGGAGAAAACCAUCCUUCUUUGUAAAUUUUCCCGUCACUGCCCUCAUUUGCAAUGCUGGCACAUCUGGCAAGUGGUUGCAGAUUUAACAUUAACAUACGUCGGUUCAGCUGGAACCAGCUCGAGUGCUGGUAGUUCCUUUUCCCCUUCCACCUCCUCUACUUGCCUUGCUGCUCCCUCCAUUCUUAGAGCUCGCUGCCCUGCUACAACCACCAUGGGAAUUCACAUCUGAUAGCCCAUUCUCCAAUGCUCUCACGAGGUUGUCAAAGUAGUUUCUGGUCACACUGUAGCAACAAAAACAGAUGUAAGAAAGUCAAAAUGCAUGUCUAUGUGCACACAUGGGUGCUACUUCUGGAAGUCACAACAGAGGCUAUUAAGAAAGUGUCUAUGUAAACUACAUUGCAGCUGAAGUAGAGAGGGCCACCGAUCUUUUAAUAAAAGGAGAGAUGUGUUUGUGAUGGAAAAACAGCUCCAAGAAUUAUUGUUUCCCACGGAUACUCUAUGAACUUAAAUAAAUAAACAAGUAACGGUCCAACAGCCUUAUAACAACCAACCAAUGCCAUAUGCACUGGAAAAUCAUAUUCUUGGUAAGUCCACUGUCCAGGUUUGACUUUCGAAUCAACAAUCUUUUUAGCAUAAAAAUCCAGUCAAAAGAACUAGUGAGAAUGCUUUUGGCUCGAAUCAGCUUUUAAGUUAACAAUAAACUGCAGAGUCAAUAUUAUUCCAUAAAGUAAACUUUGAAAGCUUGACAAUAAAGAGCAGGAUUAGAAAUAGGAAUGCUAUGCUCAGGAUGAGUCAUGAGCUUCACCAGAACUUUUUUACAUAAUAUAAGAAGCCAAAAAGAAGAUUCCGCAGGAAUAUUACAUACACUAAUUUAUCAGGAAGAAGCUGCUCAUUGGUACAUAUCAUGCUCUCUCCAGGAACAAUAAAGCACAUUUUUUUGCGAAAGGAAUGUAAUCACCAAUUCCAAUAUUAGUAUUUUCAUGUGCUAUUCAGAAUAAAAAUGGGCAGGCAUUCGCCUAUAUGACAGAAUGCCUAUCCCCCCUCCUUUACGAGACACUUUUUUUUUAAUCGUAGCCUAACUAUUUCCCAUUUCAUAGAUGGAUAUCUAGGGACUCAAGUCUAAAUAAAAUUGACUGUACACAAUUAUAAUUUGUACCAGACAUAUUUUACUCGACUAAUUAUGAAAAUUGAAUCUGACAAGAAGAUACCUGGUAAGUCCAGCUAACUUGGUGCGGAAGUCAUUAAAGUUACUAGAAGGAUUCUCAUCACUAAGGAACUGGUGAAGUUCCUUCUCUGCACACUAAUGAAGCCUUUCCAAUCCGAACUCUGCCUCACCUGGUAAAGAAACCAUUUCAUGUAAGUAAAUAGGAAAACAAGAAGGAUAUGCAUGGCCAUUGUCUAUCCACAAUCCUACUCUCCAAUACAAACCUUGCAAAUACUCAAAAAAUUGUUUCUUAGCAUGAUCAUAUUCUGGUAGAUAAUAACCAUAUGCAUAUGUCCACUUGAGCACUCGCCUACACUCAACUAUCUGCAAACAUCAAAGAAGCCUAAUUUAGUUUCACAGAAGCAAGUCAGGAUAAUAAAUCAAAAACACUCCAUCAGAUUUUAACCUAUAUAACAGCCGUAUUUACAUUCCAAACUGAAAAUCACAAAUUAUAUUUAAGUUGAAUUAAGUAAUAAAACCUGCUGCCAGGCCUCUAUGAUGAACUUCAACUGUGACUCCGGCUGGCAUUGUGUGUCACUAAGCUUAUUGAGCUGACAAGAAGAAAAGACAAAACCUUAUUUAAUCAAUAGCAAAGGUCAGGAAGCAUCAGCAGCACAACAUAAUUAAACCAGAUGAAUAGAAAAGCCAUGCGUCUUGCUUCCUAUCACAAGAAAACAAAGAUCAAUUUGUUAAUUUAACAUCAUAAGCAGUUUAUCACAACUCAACCUGCCCAGUUGCCACUUAGCAUCAACACAUUUACCCAGUAUAGAUUCUUCAGACACAACUGCAAUCCUUAGUGUACUCAAUACCCAUGACUGUCAGACUAAAAUGUUAGCCCAAGUACAGAGAGGCAAACACAUACAGAAACAAAGAUCUUCCUGGUCUUGUAGCACUCCUUAAUACAGUAAUGUGAACCUAAGAUCUAUUUCUGCAGAAGUUACAACCAGAAUACAUUUGUCACAAAGACUCUUAAGUAAUAUUAUUAAUUAAUAGAAAAUUUGGCUGUUAGUGAUGCAAAAUGCUGUGAAAUUAAAUAACUGAUAUGGAAUACUAUUGAUUUAGUAAGCGCUUCAUCCUCUUCCUCCAAUUUCCUUUCAUGUCACGGCAACAAUUGAAAAUGUUGCCACAAGAAAACAAAAACCAUAUACACACAGCAAUCGCAAAUCAAAGUAUGUUCUACUCCAGAGAGAACAAAAUACUGAUGAAGAAAACGUCAUAAAGAAAGUUUCCUCUUGAUGCUGCAUGUAAAAACUGAGAAAAGAAGGACAAGUUGGGCAUCGCUGAUUCAAUUCACCCUAAAAAUAGAUACAUAUUCACGUGACAGGAUAUGUGCUGACUGCUGAGUAGUUAUGAUGAAUUCGCUUGUAACUGCGGAAAAGCUUUCCUCGAGUCCUACAAGCGAAAUGUAAUCCUGUAUUCUGAUUGGUCUGCCUAUUAAAUACGCUAUAUCUAUAUUACAAGACCACACCCCAAAUUGAAAUUAUUACUGAUGAUGUACCAAUAAAACCUCCCUAUUUUCACGCUCUCUGGUACACCAAUCAACAUCUCUUCCCUCGUAUUCCUUCUAUCCUUCAAAUUCUCUCACAUACCAAACGAGUCAACACGUACCCUCCGCGAAAAGUCGCUCCUUUACAACAAAUCUCAAACAUCAAAGCAACAAGCUCUCCUUCAUUCUUCAGAUAGAUCCCAGGACUACCCCCAAACAGUAAGACAAAGAAGAUCAGAGCCCAGAAAUCCUCUCCAUUUCCACUACCCACUAGAACGACCAAAACAGAGGCAGCCGGAAAAAUCGCUCCUUUACAACAUAUCUCAAACUUCGAAACAACAAGCUCUCCUUCAUCCGACAGAUAGAUCCCAGGAAUACCCCUAUACAGCAAAACAAAAGAAGAGCAGAGCCCAGAAACCCUCUCCAUUUCCACUACCCGCUAGACCGACCAAAACAGAGGCGGCUGGGAAAAGCCCCACGAAUCAAAUCGACACGAGAGGGACCAACUCACCAGUUCCGACCAAGGACCUCGUCGGCCCUGUAGGAAGUGAAGCGGGGAUUGUCGUCGCAGAUCUAGGGCUUCUCGGGAGAGACGGCUUUGACCAUAGCGGAGAGAGCGCGGUCCUCGUCGGAGAAGGCCCAGCGUCAGGAGAGAGCGCGAUUCGGGAAGAAAGAGGUCAGGAGGAGGAGGCCGUCGAGUAGAGAGAGGGGCCGUAGUCGGCAGGGAGAGUCGCCGUCGUCGGAGAGCGAAGAGGCCGUGGAGUAGAGAGAGAGGCCGUCGUCAGGAGGGAGCGUCGCCGUCGUCGAAGAGAGCACGGCCGUCGUCGGGAGGGAGCGUCGCCGUCGUCGAAGAGAGCACGGCCGUCGUCGGAGAGCGAAGAGGCCGGCGAGUAGAGAGACAGGCCGUCGUCGGCAGGGAGCGUUGCCGUCGUCGGAGAGAGCGCGGCCGUCGUCGUCGGAGAGCGAGCGCUAUUUGGGAGAGAGUCGUCGGGUCAGGAAAGAAGGGAUAGAGUGAGAGAGAGGAGAGAGAGGAGAGAGGAGAGAGAGAGAGAAUGCCCGCGCGUUGGUUUGAAUUGGAACGACGUGGGAGAGAAGAGGAGGAGAGACAGCAAGGGCCCACACUUCCACGUGGCGUCGCGUGAGUGGUCCGGGACCACGCUGAUGCGGAGGUCCCGGACCACCCAAUAUUUUCUUGGCUCCCCCCUCUUUCCCUAUUUAUAGGAACACUCCACCGACUUAGCCCAUAUUCUAGGAGUUUCUUUUACAAUUUUUUUCUAGAAAAAUAGGCCUUUUUAAGGCAAAUAUCUCUGCCAUUUGCUAAGAUAAUUCCAUAGAUUCUUCUAUGAUUUUCUUGUAUUUUCUAGCUCAAAUAUUUCAAUAAGUUUCUAGAAAUUGGCUCAAUAAUUUAACAUUCCUCCUUGAUCCAAUUUCGUGUUACUCCAAGCAUUUCCCGCAAUGUCUCGAACUUGGUUAGCGGUAGUGCUUUAGUGAAGAUGUCCGCUACUUGUUCCUCGGUUUUGCAAUAUUUCAGCUCAAUCUCUUUGUUAUUUUGCGACUCUCGUAUGAAGUGAUAUUUGAUGUCGAUAUGUUCUUUCAUGGAAUACUGGAUUCUUUGAUAUUUGAUGUCGAUAUUUGAUUACCGACUUAUUGUCGCAAAGUAUCGGAGUUGAUUCCAUCUGUGUUUCUCCAAUGUCUUCUAUAAUUCUUCGAAGCCAUAUUGCUUGACUAGUAGUUGUAGUAGCUGCGAUGUAUUCAGCUUCUGCAGUAGACUGUGCCACCGAGUCUUGUUUUUUGGAUGCCCAUGAGAAUAUUCCAGAACCCAAAGUGAAUGCAUAGCCAGUUGUACUUUUCCUAUCAUUAGUUGAAUCAGCCCAGUCGCUAUCAGUGUAGUCAAUGAGCUUGGAGCUAGCACUUGGGCAAUACCGAAUGCUGUAAUCUAUAGUUCAUUGUAAAUAUCUAAGAAUUCUCUUGGCAGCUCCAAAGUGUAUUUGACUCGGACUUUACAUGAAUCGUGAUAGUAGACUUGUUACAUACAUAAUAUCCGGUCGUGUAGCAGUGAGAUAUAACAAACUGCCAAUCAGACUUUUGUAGAGAGAGGCAUCGACUUUUUCUACUCCAUCUUCCUUCAAUAGUUUCUCAUUUGUCAUGAGCGGAGUUGAAACUGCUUUGCAAUAGUUCAUCUUGAAUUUCUUCAGGAGGUUCAUGGUAUAUUUCUUUUGCGAGAUAAAAACUCCUUCAUUUUGGUUGAUCUCGAUGCCAAGGAAGUAAUGCAUCAAGCCCAAGUCUGUCAUCUCAAAUGUUUUCAUCAUUUCUUUUUUGAAUUCUUGGAUCAUUGUCUCAUGGUUUCCUAUAUAUAUAAGAUCAUCUACAUAUAGAGAGACAAUGAGAGUGUUAUACUUACCUUGGGUCUUGAUGUAGAGUGUCGGCUCACUCAUACUCCUCCUGAAUCCUUGCUUGAUGAGGUACUCAUCAAUUCUACUAUACCAUGCACGUGGUGCUUGUUUUAACCCAUACAAGGCUUUCUUGAGUUUGAGAACUUUUUCUUCUUGGCCUUUGAGGAUAAAGCCUUGUGGUUGUUCUAUGUAUAUUUCUUUUUCAAGAUAUCCAUUUAGGAAUGCUGACUUCACAUCUAGUUAAUGGAUCUUCCAUUCUUUUUGUGCUGCUAGGGUUAUGAGUGCUCAAAUAGUAUCAAGGCGAGCGACGGGAGCAAAAGUUUCAGUAUAGUCGAUACCUGGUUGUUGCAAUUAUCCUUUCACCACAAGCCUUGCUUUAUGCUUUUGGAUUGAUCCAUCUGCGUUGAGCUUCGUCUUGUAGACCCACUUGACGCCAAUGAUCUCUUUGUCUUCGGGUUGAUCGACAAGCUCUCAAGUUUCAUUUUUCUCAAUCAUCUUGAUCUCUUCCUCCAUGGCUUUUAUCCAGACUUCAUCUUUGGAUGCUUGUUCAUAGUUUUCUGGUUCCAAAAUAGCAAAGUUGCAUGUGUCGUAAAUUCUUCUAAGGGCUUUUACCCUUAGCACUAGAGACUCUGGAGUAGAUUCUUCUUGCGUUACUCUUGGAGAGCUUGGUGGAGUUAUGUCAUGAGUGGCGGAAUCCGGUACAUCUUCUUCUUGUGACGUUGACUCCUCUUGAGCAGGUGGUAUGUCUGGCAAGGUGAUGUACUUUUUCUCGAUCUUCUCGUCCUCCUAAUUCUAGGUAGCAUUCUCGUCGAACUCGACGUCUUUACUAAUCAUUAGCUUUUUAGUUCUUAGGUUGUAAAUCCGAUAGCCUUUUGAUUGGUCACCGUAGCCAAGGAAUAUUCCUUUUUAUGUCUUUUCAUCUAGCUUACUCCUUUUCUGAGCAAGGAUGUGGACGUAGCAAAUGCAUCCAAACACUUUGAGAUGCUUUGCUGAAGGCUUCCGUCCACUCCAUGCUUCGACUGGUGUUUUAUUUUGAACAGCUUUAGUUGGACACCUGUUUAACAGGUAUACUAUAGUAUAAACUGCUUCUGCCCAAAAAGUGUUGGGAAGGCCUUUCUCCUUUAGUAUAGACCUUGCCAUCUCCAUGACGGUUCUAUUUUUUCUUUCAGCUACUCCAUUUUGUUCUAGGGCGUAGCCAACCGUUAGUUGAUGAUGGACUCCUUCAUCUUCACAAAAUUUAUUAAACUCAUUUGAAUUGUAUUAUGUGCCUCUAUCACUCCUUAGGACUUUGAUUCUUUGGCCACUUUGAUUCUCGACGUGGUUCUUGAAUUUUUUGAAGAUAGAGAAAACCUCUGAUCUUUCUCGAAGAAAGUAUACCCAUGUCAUUCUUGUGUAAUCGUCAAUGAAUAGGAUGAAAUAUUUAUUUUGACUGGGUGUAGGUGUCCUCAUCGGACCGCACACGUCCAUGUGAACAAGUUCCAAUGGCUUCUUAGCUCUCCAUGCACCUCCAGAUGGGAAGGACUGUCUCUGUUGUUUUCCAAGAAGACAGCCUUCACAAACAUCUGAAAUUUCUGAAAUAGCUGGAAAGUCUCUCAUCAUAUUUUUUUGAUGGAGAGUUUUUAGCCCAGCAAAAUUGAAGUGGCCAAAUCUUCGAUGCCAUAGCCAUGAAUCAUCAAGUUGAGCUUUCAUGGCUAUAUCUUUGACAUAUUUCCAUCGAAUAGGAAAAUUAUUGUUUUCCAUCUUAACAGAGGUAAUGACAUUUUUAUAUUUAUCAUAGAUAAUGCAGGCAUAUCUAUUAAAAUAUAGAGAAUACCUACUUUGUAUCAUUUGGCCCACACUUAAGAGAUUUUGUGCAAGACGAGGGACUAGAUAUACAUUAUGUAUAUAUUUUGGGCCUUUAUUCGUUUCCACGGUGAUGGUGCCUUUUCCUUUGACAUCUACUAAUGCACCAUUGCCCAACUUUACUUGGGAUUUCACCGACUUAUCAAUAUCAGUGAAUAUAGAUUCGUCCCCCGUCAUAUGAUUGCUACACCUACUAUCAAUGUACCAUGUUUCACUUUUAUUAUUAUUUGCCGCUUGGCCUGCGUAGAAUGUAUUCUCUUCACUUUCUUUUUUUACUACAUAGUUUGCUCGAUUAUUUGUUUUCGAGCGACAAUCUUUUUCUACGUGGCCAUAUCUUUUACAAAAGCGGCAUUGUUUUUUAUUUUUAAACCAAAAAUCAUUCUCCAAAUGAUUUGUUUUCUUGCAAAUACCACAAGCUGGAUAAUUUUCCUUUUUUUUAUAAUUUCUCAUUCUCUUUUGUUUUUCCAUGAGCUCCUUCCACCAUUUUUAGUUUGAUGAGACCGUAUAUUUACUUUAGACUGAAAGGCGUUUUCAACUGAAUCUUCAUCUUGUGCCAUUAGUCUUUUCUCAUGUGCUUCUAGAGAGCCAAUUAAUUCACUCACUAAUAGGGUCGUCAAGUCUUUAGUUCCUUCUAUAGUUGUAACUAUGGAGUUGUAUUUUUUGGUAAGUGACACCAAUAUUUUCUCAACAACCUUUGAUCAGUUAUUCCAUCUCCAUAGGCUCUCAUUUGAUUAAUGAGUUCCUUUAAUUUCCACAAUAUUCUUGUACGGUCUCAUAAUUUUUCAUUUUAGAAUUCUCAAAAUCUCUUCUCAGAGUUUGAAGGCGAAUAGUGCGUACCUUUUCCGAUCCUUGAAAUUAUUCUCGUAGUAUAUCCCAAGCCCCUUUUGCAGUCCUUACUCCAAUUAUUCUCGGAAAUAUGGUUUUCGAGAGUGCUUGCUGGAUAAAGUAUAGCGCUCUUGCAUCAAGUUGAUCCUUCGAAACACUUGCACCUUCUGGCGGAGCCUCGCAACCUUUUUCCACGAUGUCCCAUAAGUCUUGGGCCAUCAAGAAUGUAGUCAUUUUUUUGCUCCAAAAGUCAUAGUUGUUCCCAUCAAAAAUGAGAAUGGGAAAUGAUGAUGAGGUAGAGUUGGCCAUGGUUUAGUUAGUGGGUAUUUGGAAAGGGUAGUUUUAGGAAUGGGUAGGUAGGACAAAUGCCCAAUACCAACCAAAGACGUGGCUCUGAUACCACUGUUGGUAUUUGCAGAGGCGUGUGUUUGAUGUGUGUGCAAGUGUGUUUUGUGUGAGAACUUUCAAGAGGGCUAAGGAAAGAACAAUGUGGGUAAGAAAAUAAUUUGCAGCAAGGGAGCACAAGGGAACAAAAUAAAACCUUUUAUUUAUUUAUUUGUAGUACAAAGUACAAAGGAAGGGGAGGAGCUUACCUUUUUGCUCCGCCUUUUUUCUACGCUCCCCCCUCCUUCCCUAUUUAUAGGAACGCUCCACCAACUUAGCCCAUCUUCUAGGAGUUUCUUUUACAAUUUUUUUUUCUAGAAAAAUAGGCUUUUUUAAGGCAAAUAUCUCUGCCAUUUGCAGAGAUAAUUCCAUAGAUUCUUCUAGGAUUUUCUUGUAUUUUCUAGCUCAAAUCUUUCAAGAAGUUUCUAGAAAUUGGCUCAAUAAUUUAGCAGAAAUGUUCUGAUGUCUGGUCCUUGUUCAGACGAGUAUCAUUUUGACCGUGUUAUUCUCCAUAAAAUGGAAUCACUUAGUUUGAUUUUGACGAGUGCAUCACAGGCUAACUGAACGCAGCAUUCUUGUUCGUGGUUUGCUUCAUGUAGGCUCUCCCAUUCCCAGUUGAUGUGCCAUGAUUUCCCCAACUUAAUCCUAGCUUACUCUCACAUUCUUCUUCCACAGUAUUACUUCACGCUAUGGUUAAUGACAUUGUCUCACUUUUCUUAAUUACAGUAAUUUUCAUCAGCCAGAUGUUGGCAUCUCCCGCCAAUGUUUAGUUCAGAGAACUUUCAUCUUGGAUUUCAGCUGGUGUCUCACAUUGUUCUCAAAUCUGCCCCCACUGCAUACAAAGCAGGCUAUAAGGCUUGGCAUUUCUCAGUAUCAAUUCCACUUACUACUUGCUUUGUUUAUAAUGAUUCAUGGAACCAAAACCGCCCUUAUAACUACGACUUGCUGGGACCAGGAAGUAUAUCAUGACAAUUACCAGGUGAUCUAUGCUGUAGGAUGUUGAUGCCCGCGCCCUUCAUGUCAGGGCAUUUACAUCUCUUCUAAAGUUGAAUUUUUGUGGAUUGCUUACUCGCUCUAUGUUUUGAGUGAGUAAUGCGAGAGAUUACUUGACCAUUUUGCAAAACUGACGUGUAAAGUGAUGAAUUGAGACUUCCAUUGGGGUCGAUGUCACCGUUGGUCUCUCUAUUUUUACUUGGAAAUCAAGUUAUCAACAUGCUACUGUCUCGCAUGGUUCUCGGAUCUGCCGCUUCUCCUAGCCAUUGCAGUGCCACAAUCUCACUAACUUUUCCAAGUUUUCCAUCAUCAGUUUUUUCUUUACACUAUGACUACAUUUUUUCUCCUUUUUCCUAUCAAUGCAGUAUGAUAAAUUCAGAUCUAAUAUCAUUUCACUUCUCUUUCUGUAAUUGUUUUCUCAGUACCAUCUGAUUGUUGAUCCUUCCCUGGUGCCAGAGGUGCUGUUAUAAAGUCUAACCUGCUUCUAUCAAUAUUAUGUCGUGCUACAGCAAAGUCAGCACCCUCUCUUAGAUGAAGCAACCUUGACUAGAUCUGGAUUUGCUAUAAUCAUUUAAAACUUCAAGCAUUUCACCUGGACUAGGUAAAAUAUGGAAUAAACAGAAAAUUGAACUGCUCCAAACAAAAGAUAAAAAGAAAGUUGCAUGUGUAAGUGAAUUGAUAAAAAAGAAACAGGUUAUGAUGGACGCAACCUCAAAUACCAAUCACCCCAAGUCCAUGCGAGGGACUCUUCAAAACUUCAUCUGUCCAUGUCCACACAGUCUAGAUGAUUUUCUUGUAGAAAUUACAUAGAAACUAACCAUGGAUAUUACAAAUAGAUGAAGUGGAGGAAUAGCAAAUUGCAGUAAUCUAGAGCCUAGACCCUUGGGAUUAUUAUCGGAUGAGCUCGCUGCAUUGAAUGCUCAUUCAAAGUACAGAACAGAAACCGAAGAUCAGAGAAAAUAAUAUGCACAAGAUGUUGAAGAUUGUUCUCUAUCAAUUGUUUCACAAUGAUCUCCGUGAGGGACAACAAACUUUUUAAAAGCUUGUAAGCAUUUGUCAUAUCUCAUGAGCCUAACCUAAUGACUUCAACAAGAUACUCUCCUUCCAUGGGUUCUGAAGAUCAGAGCAAAGAAUAUGCACAUGAAAAAUCGAUGUUUUGAUCCAUUCUCUAUCAAUUGUUUUGUGAUGAUUUCUGUGAGGGAAAACUGCAUUUGGAAAAUAAAAACAGUGUCACUGUGAUUCGCAGGGAUUUGCAUUCCAGUAGCUUGUGAAGGUAGUUUUUCCAUCAGAUUUGUGAGAGUAGUUGAACUUAGGUAUGAAAGGAGACUAUAUCUGUAGAGGAAAGCAAAGGGCAUCAGAGUAACGCAUAGAGCUGUAACAAAGGAAGUUGGACCGGGCAUCAUGAAUAUCAAAUCGUGUUGGUCCUGCUUCUGGAUGUGCGGUUAGCGUCGACACUCGGUUGUCUUCUUUUACUGUUGACGAGAUCUGGUAAAACUAUCUUUCUUGAUUUGCUAAUUACCGGUCUGCCUAUGGUUUAGUUGCGCCUGAUCAUUCUAACGGAUGAUGUUGUGUUCAAGCGAUGGAUUUCAUUGCAAAGUUCUCUUCUCGGUUGUGACCGAAAGUCAUCUUCAAGCCUCACCACUAAGGUCAUCUUCACACUUGGAUAUGCCCCUUUUUGUACGUUGGUUCUGGCAUCCAUCACGCAGCAUGCAAAGACAAAAUGUCUUUGCUAGCAUAACAGUCGAGCUACCGUAAAAAUAAUAGUUUGUUGCGAGCCACAAAUUAUUGAUGAAGUGGACCCUGCAAAUAUUUAUGAUUUUUUGUUAUUUGAUUUUUUGUGGUCUAUAAUAAUGUGUUGUUUUUACGGUAUGGCUUUUGUCAUACACAUUCAAUGCAUAGAUGAUAUAAUGUGGCAAAAGAAAAAAAAAUCUCCAUAGGAUAAAAUAUAUGAACGAAAUUUGCACAUACUAUUAGUCAACAUAGUAUAUAUUCUCAUCAUUUAUGAAUGAAUAUUACUAGAGAGGUUACAAGAUAGGAACAUUAACUAAAAUUUGUUCUCAAAGAAGCAAUAAAACCUAGGAUAGGUAUUUUCUUUCUUUGUAUAUCGAUUAUGUGCUUUGUUCAGACCACUUUUGGAACACCACAAUUGAUUCACCUCUCCGAUAGAUUUUAAGGGAACCUUCCUUAUUAGGAAAAGUACCAAAAAAGUCAUAAACAUAUUACAUUGGUACUAAUUCAGUUCUAAACCUUUCUAUUGGAGCAAUUUAAUCCUAGAACUUUUCACAUUGAUAUCAAUUCAAUUCAUUCGGCCAAUUUUGGCCGAUCGGCACUGACGUGGACACCAGCUGGUGGCCAAACACUAACAUGGUAAUUUUUAAAGUUUAGAAUUAAAUUGAUCUAAUUGAAAAUGUUAUGACUGAAUUUGUAUCAAUGUAAUAGAUUUAUGACUUUUUUGGUACUUUUCCCUUUUUAUUUCAAUCUAAUUCGUUCAGGAUUUUAAUGUGAAGUGCUCUGAAAAAUAGUCGAAUCGGAGUCCCACACCACAGGGAAUUGAGCAAACUUAUUUGUCAUCUAAACCAACAUCUUUUUUUUUUUUUUAUUAUUUUUUUUUGGUGCUGGAGGAACCGGCUUGCAGCCGACAGUCGCGCCGUAAACCCCCAGGUGACACUUAAGCAGGAGGACCCACCACCCUUGAGUCACACUUGAUACACCUAGUGCCUCCCCUGGGUUUUGAACCUUUCACCUCUGGGUUGAGGAUCAACAAGGCCUUAUUCAGCGGAGCCACCGCGGCCGGUGGUAAACCAACAUCUUAUUGGUUGCUAUUUGUAUUUAAAAAAUGCUUGACUCACUAAGAUUGAUUUAUACUAUCGGUUUAUUAAGUGAUGUGCUAAACCGUCAUUAAUUCUUAAACACGACCCACUUUUUUUAAAAAGCUUAUCCACAAUCUCACCCAUUAUUUAGUUUUUUUAAUUCGCUAUUAAAAAGUCCAGCACUGUUAUUUGUAUUUCAAAAGCCUAUCCAAUUUGCGAAGGAAUUCCAUUUCAGAUCUAAACACUCAUGCCAAUCUCACGACAUUCUUAGUACCCCUAACAUUUCCCCUUUUCUAUUGAUACCAACCUGACUUCGAAUUCAAAAUGAAUAUAUAUACAAACCAUAAUUUGCCAGAACGAAAUUCUCGUCGCCAAAAGUCUACUAACUAGCUAGACGCUAAGCUCGAUCUAUCACGCGAGACAGCAUUUUCACGUAAAAGAUUUAAUGCAAGAGCGGCCCUCUCUUCAUUUUUUGGGACGGUUCCUUUCACGCAUCCUCCCUAGCACAUCCAUAAUUAACUGCGCUACAGUCUUUCUUCACUUCUUCUCAUCUGUCUCUGCCUGCGAAACCUUCACUUUCUCCUGUCUUCCUGUCCUCACAUCAUCAUCAUUGUCAGUGACGCUCCAGCAAAGCCGGCGAGUCACCACAAGAAGCCACAUCAAUGCAAAGACCAUUGCAUAAGCUCUGCCACACAACACUGUCCCCAUCAGACUAAUGAACAGCAGAUAUGCCAUAUCAAGUUUGGCUCGUUUCGUUCGUGACUGAUCUUGAUGAUCUGGGCUUUGCUCUUGCUUCAUUGAUGAGCCAUUGUACAAGAAUCCACCGUGAGACCACUGUUUGGACACACAGUCCACGUACUCUAAUGCCGAACUUGAAACUGAAGAAAGAGAGGUAGAAGAAAAAUGAUUUGCCUGAUCAUCGAUAAGCUUCUGAUCGUUGUUAUCACAUAACGACCCCCUUGGUUCGGCAUCCAUUGAAGGACAGUGUUUCGUCAACAAUGAGUUUCGAAAUGAACUACUUCUUUUCCGGCGGAUAGUCCGAGCCUGCGGAAAAAAAAUGGAGAAAAAUGAGUACAUAUGGAAACCACUAAAAUGUUCUCACAUAGUUCUCAGACCUAAAGUGACAUUUUCACGAUAGUUUCUUCCGCAACAUAAUAUGUAAUCCUCGUUGGACAUUUCUUUAAUGGCACAAACUAGAAAAACGAAAAAAGUGGGAUAACAAACCAAAGCGGUGUAGAAGAGAGCGGACUUCAACAUGCGCGAAAAGCUAUGCUUUCUCGAUCGAGCAUACGGUGGUUUCACGCUUGCUCUCUCAUUGUCGUCCUCAUCGAUCAAAAGAUGCAUGAGCUGGCUCCGCCUACGCCUGGGCUCGAGCAUCAUGUCCUCGAUGACGGGUCGUCUAAAGCAAUGCAAGAACUUGAUCCUCGACACAUUCUUCAUGGUCUCUCUCUGACGUUUCAUGCGUUGCAGAUCGCAACCCUUGUUUCGGACUCAAUGGAGAAAAGAAACGAGGCAGGAAAAGAUGGGGAGGCCACACGUUAUUUUUGAAUGGCUUCGAGUCGAAAGGCCAUAGAUUUAGCGUAGUUUUGGAUCACUUGUUUUCUUUUCCUCUGGUGCAAGUGUAAGUACAUGAAGACAUCUCUCUAUAUAUAAAUAUUUAUAUUUCCAGAGUGAGAAUUACUAUCGGGUGGUUAAGGAUUUAAAUGCUUGAAUGAGAAGGUCAGAGAAAAGGGCAAAAGGGGAUAAUGGCUUACUGACGCCGAUGGACAGACAGGUAGGAGGAGAGGGUAUGACUACGCACGUCUUGGCUUAUGGUUUUAGUGAAGAGAAAUGACUUUAAAUUUGAAUGGUCCUCGUUAUGAUCGUCAAGACAUCUCUAGAUAAUCAAUCUCUGAGUGGGGUUAACCGUGAUAGUUGUCCUCCAAGAAAUUCUAAACUUAUUCCUUUUAUUUAGGAGUAUUCAAAAAAAUCGAGAAUCGCCCAAAAUCGGACCAAACCCACCUAGAACCAACGGUUCUCAUGAGAACAAUCCGGUUCCAAGGAUAGAAUCAUCCACCUGAACUGGACCAAUAUAUAUAUACUGGUCAAGUUUUCUAUCAAUUCUAAAGUCCCUAGCAAUGGACUUGUUUCUUUGAUAUCUUAAUGAGGACAUUGAUGCUCUCUUCUUGUUGUCCAAAUUGAGACUCAUCUCAACUAUUGUCAUCGUCCUCCCUUCUAUAUCUUUUCCUUCAUUAGGAUCACAUGCUAGUUUGGUGUCCAUACAACACACAUUAGAAACAUUUUGGCUUUAUUCCUUCCUCUAGAAAACCGGUUCCAAGGAUCCACCCGAGAACUAGAUUGGUAACCAACGAAUGGUUCUUGGUUCUAGGGGGGAAUAGUCCACUGCCCAUCUUGGAACCAAUCACCCUUGCAUUCAAUUUGAGAAAUGUAUUGCUUCUUCAAAAUCCCAGGGGUGCCUUGCAAAUGCUUGUGCUAAUAAGCAUUUUGCUUGCAUGCAUGCUACAAGCCAAAAGUUCCGCCUGCUUACACGAUCGCAAGAAAUCGAAUCAUGCUGUUUUAGUGGGUGAAUAAAUGCAGUGGUGGUCUGUGGUCAUUCGAGCAGAGAAACAGUGGAUGGGAAAUCUAACGAUUUUGCAUAUGUAACAUCUGCCUUUCCUAUCUACACGUCGAACAACCCUCUUGUGUCCGAAAUUUAUGCAUCACCCUUUGAGCAUUAUCAUUAGAGUCUUCUAAACAAAUAAGUCGGCUAAGCCUAUUAAAUGAGUGGGCAGAAUUGAGUCGAAAAAAAUGUCUGAUCCACUUAACCCGCAUUAACCCAUUUUUAUGCUAUACAAUUUUAGAGUUCCAUACCUGACCUGAUUAACACCUAACAUAUAACCGAUACAAUCCAUAUUACUAAAAAAAUCCAUAUCUAACCCAAUUUAUGCAAACUCGUACCCGUUCGCUCAAACAACUUUAAGCCUUUCAUAUGAAUCUAUCAUUUAGAUAAAAUUUUAUAUCAAUUUAAAAAAUAAUAAACCAAAUAAAAAGUCGCCACUCGUUGUCGCUUGCCUAACCAACUCAGUUAACGUUGUCUCUCCUCCGUCCAAGCCCCACACCGCUGCUGUGGAGACCCCAAACAUAGUUGCCUCUCUCUCUCGUGCGCGCGAUAUCGAAUAAGAGGUCGUGAACCUAUGUCUAACUUCACUGAUCAUUGUGGUUGUGGCAUCGCCAUGACCCAAGCCCAUCUAUAUAAUUUCUAUUUUGAAUGCAAUAACAAAGUAACCAAUGACAUUACUUGGUCAUCAUCAUAGCCAUUGUCAGCACAAUCACAUUAAUGUUGUUGGAAACUUUUGUAAAUUAAAAUUUUGAAUCUUAAGGUAAACAUUAAAUUAAGAAAAGAUCUAAAUUGUUUCCACCAAACGAUCUCCAAAGUUUGAUAAAAAUAAAAAUAAAGUAAAUUAUAUUAAAGUUGCGCUCCAACUUCUCUUUAGAUGUGCAACAAUCAAUGUAAAUCACUGCAGAUAUGUACCGUGGGCCACAAGGGAGUACAAUGUGCUUGUUGUUCAUAUUUAUUCGCUUCAGUUUUUGAACAAAAGCGAUCCAACCGAAUAUAUUAAUAAAUUUGGACUUGCACUCUAUUCUCGGCCUGGUCUUUGGGCUUUUUUAUGCAAAGAAUGAAGAUGCAUUAUAUUCAGUGAAAUAUUGUUUGAUGCAGUGUAUAUUUUAUUCCGACCUGGAAAAAUGAUAAUAAUCCCCUGUAAAAUUUCAUUAUUUCUAUUUAAACUCGGCCCAUACACUAGACAUUAAUACAAACCAAAUAUCCUCCCAAGCGCACAUUCCUCCUAUCAAUUUUAUGAAAAACUUACAAUAUUUCCCAUCGUAGUUCAUCUCUCCAAGAGCUGUGCGUUUUGCAGAUUUUCCUUUCCAGUUUUCCUUUGAGUUAAGUCCCCAAGCCUGUUUUAGUCUUGGAAGUCCAAGCGAGUUGAAAUAUGGAUCGUUUAAGCGACCCAUCAUCUAUGUAGCACGGACACUCUCCAGAAGCCUUUAUGUCGUGUCCGACAUGCUCCGACACGCGGUCAACGAGUAUUGAAAAAUCCGACACGUGGUCAACUCUCUCCGACACGCUCCGACACGUGAGUCCAGAAUUUUGACAUGCGAUUCCGAUACGCACAGGGUCAAUUUCUAAUACUUGAGGGGUCAAAAUAUAAAUAUACACAAAAAAAGUAAUAAAAAAAGUAAUAAAAUUGCUAUAAAUAUACACGCACGGGGUCAGUUUUUUUUUUUCAGUUUUGUUUUUUUAGAAUUGUUUUAUUUUUUUUAAAAGUCUUUUACUAUGAAAGAAGUAAUAAAAAAUGCUAUAUAUGAUAAAUUAAUAAAUUUAAAAAUAUCAUUUCAGCAUUUUUCUUUAAACAAUGUUUUUUUCCUCUAAGUUUUGUGUAUUAUUGUAACAAAUUAAAAUAAUGAAGAUAUUAUUUAAUAUUUUUCGUGUAAAUUAAUUAUAUGCUAUUAUUUAUUUAUGUAUUUAUAUAUAAAAAUAUAUUUAAUAUAUAACGUGUCGGAACGUGUCUAAAUUCUCUAUUUUUAAGAAAUGACGUGUCGGCGUGUCGUGUCGUGUUGUGUCGUGUGUCGUGUGUUCGUGUCGGUGCUACAUAACCCAUCAUGACCCAUUUUACUGAAUCUUAACCCAUUUUGCCCCGACUUUGUUGCCAAACAACUUACCCAUUCUACAAGGGGCCAUUAAAUAUGGGUUGCAAAAUCAGUUUGUGAUUCAUUUUACCAGCUUUAGUGACCACACGGAUAAUUCUGAUCUAUGACCAAAGAUUUCGAUUUAUGGGUUUAUCAAUAUAGUUUCCUUUAAGACGCAAAAUAAAGCAAUUUAACACGUAGUCACUUUUACCGUUUCCUAACUAGUAAGCUAAAGACCCUUUUUCUGAUUUUAUUUGUAUCACCUUUUCUAAUGUAUAAAAUAAGUGACAGAAUCAUGUAAUCUCGUCCCGAAGCCAAUGUUUUGCUAUAUCAGGCUCAAUGUUAUAUGAUCUGACAGUGCCUAUAUCAUUGGGCUUCGCUUGGAUUCUGAUUAAUUUAAUACAUUGGCCCGUAGUCCUAAAUGGAUCCUACCAUCAUCAAAGGACGGAACAAUAAAUGUUUAUUCCCAUGGAUUAAUGAGAUUUAAACAACGAUUUUUGGAACGGGCCAGCAACGACAGCCAUAUUUCUUUAUGACCGAUAUCUAUUGUUUUCACAAAAAAAAAAAAAAAUACAAAUUGAAACCUUUCAAAAUAUCCAAACAUUGAAAAUUUAGAAUCAUAUGGAAUCUUUUCAAAAUAUUUUCGCAUUUAAAGUAAUUUGUUUUCAGUUUGAAAAUAUAGAAGUAGGGUCACGAAGACAAGUUAGAAGUAGGUGAAUAACACCACCAAAUAGCCCCUGCCUUCAUGAUACAAAACUUAAAUAUUGCUAGACUUUCAUCAAAGGUCAUUGCAAUUUCCAUCUUGAUAUACCAGAUUGGAAAUGAAAUCGAAGCCGAGCUGCAAUUCUAGUGGUCCACUUGAAAGUGAGGAUAUAUGAUGUCAAGGAUGAUGUGAAGUACUUUCUCCAAGAUAAAAAUACCUUAAAUGAAAAAAAAAAGAAAUUCAGACGCAAGGGUUAGGACAAAAACAGAAAAUAGGAACUUGCAAAGAUAUCAGGUUAACCUGUCUGGUCUUCAAUUUCCAUUCGGAAAGAACAAAAAGGAAAGAGAUUUUCCACAAAUAUAGGGUCAAAUUAACCUAAAUCUAUCAUUAGCACCAACCAAAAUUGAUAGUCAAGUGUAGCGAUGAAGCCGCCAUAGUAAUGUUCCAAGCACCAAGAGGACUACAUUGACACUAGUCCUGCAGAGAAAGUUACAUAUGUACGGAAAUUGAUAAAACCGUCAAAGCCUAUAAUGGACGCUACGCCAAGUACCAAUAGCUCCAAAUCCGGGAGGAGGUCUCUUCACGCCAUCACCCGUAGCCAAGGGCCUAGGACCCACCGACAUAGUCGAUAAGGCUUUUUUUGAUAAAGACAUACAACCAAUGUGAUUCGUAUAUAUAGGGAAUAAAUCAACGCGGUAAUCUAGAGUUUAGUCCCUUGACUAACAAGUCGGUUCAGCAUCUGUGUGGAAUGAGGGCAUUUUGUUGAAGAUACUAACCUCAAGAUUAGCUUAGACAAGAGUAGGAAUAUCAAGAAAAUUGGACCAAGCAUCGUGAAAAUAAAAUCUUGUUGGUUCAGCUUUCCAAUGUAUGAAUGACUUUGACACUUGGUUUCUUCCUUUGUUGUUGAAUAGAGCAGUUAAAACUGUGUUCUUGCUUUACCAAUGUCCAGUCCGCCUAUGUUUCAAGUCUAGCUUGAUCACUCAACAUACGAUCUUGAGUUGGAGUGCUCACUGCUCAGAUUCAUUGCAUGUUAUUUAGUUGGACUAGUAGCGUCUUCUUCACUCUAGGGUAUGCCCGUACUCGUCCAUUGGUCUUGGCAUUCGAACUUAAAUAAGACCUAUUGUAUGAUGCCGGCCUAAAUGCUUCUAUCUGCGUAUUCCAUGAAAAUGCCCUGGUCUCAGUAAGUUUCCACAUAUUACUCUGCGCGUUUUUUGACGACUUCUUUGAGAUCUCUUACCUCACCCUCACUCCAAGCACACCCAUAUAUAUACUUCCCCUGUGAAUUAUGUUUCUAAACCUGUCCGCUCGAACCUUGUUUGGUACAGCCAUGGAUAGCAACAACGGUAGUCCAUGAUCGUUCACACGCCCAAUUUUCUUGCUUUGCUUAUCUCUCUGCACCACCCACCUCUGUCUUGGCUCCAACACCAUCUCCACCAACCAGUCCCUCUCCGGCAACCAAACCUUAAUCUCCUCUGGCGGCAACUUCAAGCUCGGCUUCUUCACACCAGGUAACUCCUCGUACUCCUACAUAGGCAUCUGGUACAACAGAAUCAGCGUGCAAACGGUUGUCUGGGUCUCCAACAGAGACAACCCCGACAGGUACUCCACUGGACUUAAGAUCUCGGGUGGCAAUCUUGUAUUGGUCAACGACUCUGAAGUCCUCGUUUGGUCCACAAAUCUGACUCCUUCAUCUGGGUCGAGCUCCAUGGUGGCAGUUCUUGGGGAUGAUGGCAACUUCGCUCUCAAAGACGGGCUGAAUUCUUCCGUGACUCUGUGGCGAGCUUCGAUCACCUGACGCGCACGUGGCUUCGGGGUGCGAAAAUGGGAAUCGACAAGCGCACGAGCACGAGUCAGCUAUUGACAUCAUAGAAGAACGCCGAGGAUCCUUUGACAGGUUUGUUCUCUUUCCAGCUCGAGCCAUCUAGUGAGUACUACAUAUGGUGGAAUAGGAAUGAGCAUUACUGGACCACUGGGGUGUGUGACGAAAAUUUUCUCUUUGGUCCCUGAAAUGAGAUUGAACUAUAUUUACGAUUUCAAAGUUGUGGACAACGAGAACGAGAGCUACUUCACCUAAGUGUACACCAAUGCCAACACCAUAUCAAGGUUUGUGAGGGAUCUUUCUGGGCAGAACAAGAUGGUGUCCUGGUUGCCUUCUUCACUAGCGUGGAACUUGUUCUGGUCUCUGAGAUAGCUAGUAUAAUCACCUAGAGGGGGGUGAAUAGGUGCACAAACAAAUUUUCGAGAUACGAAAGCGAUUUUAGGCAAUCGAUAGAAAAGAAAAUACGAUCAAAGUAAAGUAAAGGUUAGGGAAGAGAGAAAUGAACACAAGAUUUAUAGUGGUUCGGCUUAUUCCAAGCCUACGUCCACUCUUCCGCACUGACAGCCCACCGGCUAGAUUUCACUAUGAACAAAAGAGAAGUUACAGCACCGCUUUUCCUUGAUUCCACAGUGUAGAUGUUUUACCACACUUCCUCAAGGUUUCUCACGAAUAUAGACUCUCUUUUGUUUACACGAUUUUGCUCAACAAAUGAAUUGACUAGGAACAAGAAGCUUCAGACUUUGGAAUUCUUCUAUCGUGCACACUUUCGAACAACUAGAACGUCUUCCUUAUAUACUCCUUCAUGCCAUCAUACCCGUUGGCACUUACCAAAGGAAUUCCUCCAAUCUACCCAUUGGACGGAAUCAAUUAGGAAGAUCAUUCGAGCUAUUAAAGGAACACGUCGAUAGCCCAUCAAUCAUGUUCGCCCAUACAAUCAGGAUCUCGGUUUCCAUAAGUAGAACAUUCCAAGUAUACUUCGUCAAUCAUCGGAUCCUUAAUUUUCGAAUCAAUUAUGAUCAAAUAAAGAAUUCCGUUAUGUUAUAUCCAGCCAAGAGAUCUUUUCCAGUCGAUAAGGCCUCAUCCUUAAUGAAACAUCCAGUUCUGGAUAGCCUUUCUACAACGGAUUAGAAACUGUCAAUGAGGAUAGACUUUGAGUCUUGAGUCUGGCUGUCCGGAGGUCUUCAGACUUUAAAUAGCAGAGUCUGCAAGCCUUCAGACUAGACUGAUGGAAACGUUUUGUCAACUUCAAAACACUUCAAGAGGAAUUUCUCCAACAAUCUCCCCCUUUUUGAUGGUGACAAAACUUUCCUGCAGAUUUGGAAAACUUUGACCUGCAAAACAUUUCUUAAACACAUAUGCAUAUCUUAUAGAUAAAUGGCUAAAUGAAUAACACUAGAAUCUGCAACCACAGAAAAUAGGUUAGUCCAGUAUGCAAUAAAGCCAUCCAUAAGACAUCAAUAGUAGUUAAUAAUAAUCAGUCAAAUCCAAAUCCCAGAUUUAGUCCACAUCCAGACACAAGUCAAGUCAAAACAAACCACAAACCAAACAAGCCAAAAGUUCGACAAAUUUAAGUUCAAAUUUAAGUUCAAAGUUUUUCAAGUCUCGCAACUCUCCCCCUUUUUGUCAGCAUAAAAAAAAUUGAGAUGAAAAUGAAGUCAAGGAUUUUUGGGAACACGAACAAGCUGGAAAUCUCCCAUUGACUGAACGAUGCCUUCCAGCCUUUUAAAGUCUUCCUUUAGCUGAGCAACAUCCUCACCCUUAGCAUUAGCCUGAAUCUAAAGAGAAAGGGCUUGGAUUUGAUCAUUUAAUGAACCCGAAGAGACUUGUCAUGCAUUCUGCAAGUUCUGAACUUCACAUCCCAAUGCAUAUAUCUGACAUUGCAUCUCCAAGAGAAUAUCCAUCACUCUGCGAAAGUCUGCUGAAUUUUCGGUCUGCGUACUGGCAUUAGCACGAUCUGAUGGAGUAAAUGCAGAUGAUGGUAGAUCAGCAUAAUCACGCAGAUUUGGAGAAGAAACCUCAUGACCUUCCUUAGGAAACUGAGAGGCAAAAACUUCCUCUGGAUCUGCUGGGGAUCGAUUGACUCCCUCACUGGUUGCAGGAUUUGAGGUCAUUCCUCUUUUCUCUUGGUCUCCCCCUGUGUCCAUGCCUUCAGGUGGAGAGUGCUCCUCAUGUUCUCCUUCUUCUUGAUCUCUUUUAUCUUCUUCUUAUUUUUCAACUCUCUCUUGCUCAGCAUCUCUUUCUUCUUCUUCUCCUCUUUCCUCUGUUUCUUUUUCCUCUGCUUCUUUCUCUGCUCUUUCUUCUGUCUGCUGUUUUGACUCUUUCUUUGGAACAGAUCGACUGAGAUUCUUCAAAGCAAAAAUAGUGAUGUUUUCCUCAUCAUCUUCAUCCUCAACGAGGAGAGCUCUUCUUCUCUUAGAUGGAGCAUCCAUGGGUUCCUUCCCUUUCCUUUUUCUUGCAGAAGAGAAUUGAUGAGAUUUGACUGGAGUCUUCUCCUUAAAUUUCUCCAAUGCCUUACUUAGUUCCUUCAGACGCAUCUUGGUCACCAUUUUCAGUCCUACCACCAUAUGAUCGCACGAUCGAGCACAAAGAAUUUGCGGAGGCUGAAUGUUCAGAUGUCUGAAUAACUUCGUCACAAGACCUGGAUAAGGAAGUUGUCCUCUGUCCUUCAUCAUAGCUCUAUACAUGUGGAACAUAAUAGUGUGAGGAAGAGAAAACAUUUUCCCAGUGAUGAUAGCAUACAUUAGCUUUGCCUCUGAACUUGAGACAUCAGUCUUGGAAGUUGAUUUCGGUCUGAGGCAAUUUAUUACAAUUUUGUGCAGCAAGAUGUUAAAUGCACUCAUUCUUGAAUAGGAAAUCUUUCCCUCUGUUCUCCUGUCCUUAACCAGUUCCAGAGUAGUACGAGCAAUAGAAACUUUGAUCCGUUGAUAUCUUCCUCUCUCAACUCCUAACACAUCUACCAGCAUAUCCAUAUCCACAACAAAGUCUUGAUCUUUGACACUGAAGGAGAAUCUAUUCGCAUCCAAGAAACUAAGAUUUGAAUAGAAAUAUGCAGUUAGUUGAGGAUAGGCCUCUGUGGAGUCAGAGCAGAAUUUCUCAAGUUGAAGAUGACCUAAUUUUUCCCUCAAGUUCACAUUUACAGCAUCCAGAAAGUCAAAAUCCACACUCCUAGGGUUUAUCACCUCACGCUUCAGCAAUUUUGAGUAUAGAUCCAUCUGUUCCUUCGAUCUAAACAAAUCUCCCAUUUUUCCUUGAUUUUCCGCUGCAAUUCCCAUUCUUGGCUGAAAUUCGCUGUAUAAUUUGUCAUCAUCAUUUCCAUCCACUGGAUUAACUCCCCAAUCACGAGGGUCACUUGGGAUAUUCGCAAGGGAUUCUUCUGCCACACCUUUACGAGCAAUUCCCAAACUUUCCAUUUUAUGCAAAAAGAUAUAUUCAUUUCCAUAUCCUUUGUCCUUAAGAAAAUCAUCCACAUAGUUCAAUGGAGUACCAGUCCCUUUUAAAGCACGAUACAUCUUAUAAAUAAAAGAGGGCCUUUAAACUCUUACAGGGUCUGCAUCCUCAAUGAUUUCUUCAUUUUGAUGAUGAUCAACAUCUUGAGGACUAGAUGGAGGAGAAUGACGCUGCUGAGAAUGUUGUGGGCUCUGCUGCUGAUUUGGAGACACUUCUUCUUCAGUGAGAUCGAAGUGCGUAGGCCCCUCACUCAUUCGCCGUGGUCCCCUGCUUGCGAUCCUUGAUGACUUUCUUGAAAACGACAUCUUUCUUAGUCUUUGAGAGAUUCCUUGCUUGACUUUCCCAAGAAAGAUGACAACUUUUUCGAAGAUUAAACAAGAGAAGAAAACAGGAAUGGAAGAUUGGUGCUUUUUAGGGUUUUGGAGUUAAGCGAGGAGAAAACGACUAUAUAUAAGACAGUCGUAAGGAGAGGAUACCAAUCGUCGUAAUGGUAAGUGAAAAGAUGCCUUUUUAAAAAAAAUAACUGCCUUUUUCAAAAAAUGGUCACAUCAAAAUAACUUCUUUUUAUAAAAGAAAUGAUGCAAUAAUUUCGUCAAUUAAAGAUAGCGAUUGAGAUAACAUACCCUUUUUCAUUUUGAACCUUUUUAGCAAACUUUUCAAAGUAAGAGAAGGUUUCAGACUUACUUGCCAAGAAAUAUACCCAAGUGAAUCGUGAGUAAUCAUCCACAAUUACCAGGCAGUAUUUCUUACCUCCAAUGCUUUGCGUUCUGGUUGGUCUAAAAAGAUCCAUAUGCAGAAGCUGCAAUAUACGGUUAGUGGAAACUUGAUUUAUUGGCUUAAAGAAAUUUCUUACCUGUUUUCCCAAUAUACAUGGUGUACAUAGAUCAGACUUUUGAUACGAUAAAUUAGGUAGACCACGAACAAGCUUCUUUGCUGAGAUUUUGGCUAUUUGCUUCAUAUUGACGUGCCCAAGCUUUCUGUGCCAUAAGUUUGCUUCGUCUUGGAUUGAGAUUAGACAUUGUGAUUCAUCUGGUUUCACAUCCAAGAGGUAGAUAUUUCCAUGUCUUCGACCCAUGAAUGACUGAGUAGAAUCUUUACUAAUUCCAGAACAUAUUCCCUCUUGAAAGUUGAUUUUGAAACCAAUAUCACAUAGCUAACUAAUACUGAGCAAAUUGUAAUUGAGCCCUUCCACUAAGGAAACAUUGCUGAUUUUGAGAUUUCCAAUCUUUACAGUUCCAAAUCCCACAAUUUUUCCUUUGCUGUUUCCUCCAAAAGAAACUUUUCCACCAAUUACUCGAACAAGCUUUAUGAAGAAAUUUGAGUCUCCUGUCAUGUGUCUUGAGCAUCCACUAUCCAGAUACCACUUUACCUUUUUUCUUGAUAGUGGCCUGCAUUUAAAAAAGAAACUCAAGCCUUCUUUGGAACCCAUAUUUUCUUGGGUCCAUUGGUGUUAGUAUGAUAUGCGGUUUUUGCCUAUACAUUUUUAACAGGUUUCCAAAUCAUAGGACAUUCUUUUUCAAAAUGAUCUGCACUAUUGCACUUUGAGCAUCUGAGAGCAUUGCGACCUACUGGUUUUACAAAGAUUCUUUUAAAAUGAUUUUUGUAAGCAUCUCUUGUGGGUCUUUGUUUGAUUCUUUCCUUCACCUUAGGAAAAUCAAUUAAAGGAAUGGUUUCAUCAGUCAUUCCCAAACCAGAUUUAUUAAAAUAAGGUCUUUGAACAGAAAGAAUUUUUUCUAGUUUCUCAGAUCCUAUAGAAAAUCUUUUGGAAAUAUUUGAGAUAUCUCUUUUCAAGAAUGCAUUUUCUUUUAACAAAUUAUCUUCACUUUCUUUAAGAGAAGAAACAUUCUUGUCUAAACUUUUCACUUUUUCUUUCAAAAUAUUUUCCUGUUGUUUUAGAGCAGAAUUUUCUUUCUUGAGUUCGGAAAUCCUUUUAAGAGAAGUCUUAAGACUGAAACACAAUUCAUCAAUAUACUUUGAAACCUUAAUAGGGAUUUUGAAGUUACUUACCUCAAAUUCGCUUUCUGAGUCUGAAUCUGUCUCGGAAUUUGAAUCUGAAUCCGAUUAUGCCAUCAGACAUAUAUUGGCAUAAUCAUCAUCACUUUCUUCACACUCUGUAUCACUCCAUGUUUUAGCUUUAAGAGUUUUUCGGUACUUUUCAGUUUUUCCUUUCUUCUUCCUCAGAAGAGGACAGUUGGGUCUGAUGUGUCCCUUUUUCUUACAUUCAAAGCAUACUACAUCUUUGUUUGAUUCAUCAUCUUCAACAGACUUAGUCUGUUGCUUUUGAAAACUUUGUUUCUUUGGAUUGAAUCUUCUUCAUUUUCUGUUCAGCUUUCUGAAUCUUCUUAUCAUGAGAGCAAGUUCCUCAUCAUCCAUAUCGUUUUCAGAAUCUGUAACAUCAGAAUCAUCAUUAGAUUUUAAUGCAAUGGAUUUCUUACCUUUAGGGUCUUCGUCUUCAUUGAUUCGUUCCACUUCAUAAGACUGAAGAGUCCCAACCAACUCAUCAACAGAUAGAGGCAUGAUUCUUUGGGUCUCUCUGAUUGAGGUCUUUAUGUGAUUCCAAUCAUUGGAAAGUCCACACAGUAGCUUGUUUACUUUCAUGGGAUCAGAAAUUGGUUGACCUUGAUUUUCAAGACCAUUCACAAUUUCAGUAAAGCGACUGAACAUAUCCGUUAUAGAUUCUCCUGGUUUCAUUUUGAAGGCUUCAUAUUGACCGAGGAGAAUGUUGAUUCUGGUCUCUUUCACUCGAUCGCUUCCUUCAUAGGUAAUAUGUAAUCUAUCCCAUACUUCUUUAGCUGUAACAUAAGAAGAUAUUCUAUUAUAUUCAGUAGGGGAUAAAACACAAUAUAAAAAAUAAAUUGCUUUUACAUCAAGAGCUUGUCUCUUGAUUUUCUCUUCCUGAGUCAUUUUGCUAGACUCAACAGCAUCUUUUCCUCUUUCUGAGACAGAUGCAGCUUUAGGAAUGAUUCCUUUUUCUGCAACGUCCCAUUCCAAAGGAUCCUUUGAUCUUAGGAAUGCUUUCAUCUUGUUUUUCCAUAUGUUGUAAUCCUUUCCAUCAAAGUAAGGUAGUCUAGUAUUGCUUUGCCCUUCUACCAACCCUGGAGCCAACAUACUAGCCAUGGAUCUUUAACUCUGAAGUAAAACACUUCAAACAAAGUGAGUACACAGGCUCUGAUACCAAUUAAGAUAGCUAGUAUAAUCACCUAGAGGGGGUGAAUAGGUGCACAAACAAAUUUUCGAGAUACGGAAGCGAUUUUAGGGAAUCGAUAGAAAAGAAAAUACGAUCAAAGUAAAGUAAAGGUUAGGGAAGAGAGAAAUGAACACAAGAUUUAUAGUGGUUUGGCUUAUUCCAAGCCUACGUCUACUCUUCCGCAUUGACAGCCCAGCGGCUGGAUUUCACUAUGAACAAAAGAGAAGUUACAGCACAGCUUUUCCUUGAUUCCACAGUGUAAAUGUUCUACCACACUUUCUCAAGGUUUCUCACGAAUAUAGACUCUUUUUUGUUUACACGAUUUUGCUCAUCAAAUGAAUUGACUAGGAACAAGGAGCUUCAGACUUUGGAAUUCUUCUAUCGUGCACACUUUCGAACAACUAGAACGUCUUCCUUAUAUACUCCUUCAUGCCAUCAUACCCGUUGGCACUUACCAAAAGAAUUCCUCCAAUCUACCCGUUGGACGGAAUCAAUUAGGAAGAUCAUUCGAGCUAUUAAAGGAACAUGUCGAUAGCCCAUUAAUCCUGUUCGCCCAUACAAUUAGGAUCUCGGUUUCCAUAAGUAGAACCUUCCAAGUAUACUUCGCCAAUCAUCGGAUCCUUAAUCUUCGAAUCAAUUAUGAUCAAAUAAAGAAUUCCGUUAUGUUAUAUCCAGCAAAGAGAUCUUCUCCAGUCGAUAAGGCCUCAUCCUUAAUGAAACAUCCAGUUCUGGAUAGCCUUUCUACAACAGAUUAGAAACUGUCAAUGAGGAUAGACUUUGAGUCUUGAGUCUGGCUGUCCGGAGGUCUUCAAACUUUAAAUAGCAGAGUUUGCAAGCCUUCAGACUAGACUGAUGGAAACGUUUUGUCAACUUCAAAACACUUCAAGAGGAAUUUCUCCAACAGUCUCAGCCCCAGCAACAAUGCGAGGUGUACAAACUUUGCGGGCCUUUUGGUGUUUGCAGCGAGGGUACUGACAAUUUCUGCAACUUCUUGCCAGGGUUUAGCAUAAGCUCUUUGAGUGAUUGGUCUGGCAGCUGCAAGAGGGAUUCGGACUUGAAUUGUGCGGCAAAUGCUUCAAAUGCGGAGAAAGACCAUUUCUUGCUAAGGUCGAAAAUGAAAUUGCCUGAUGAUCCCCAAUCUUUAGUUGUUAGGAGCAAUCAGGAAUGCUGAGCUGCUUGUUUGAGCAAUUGCUCUUGCACGGCUUAUGCUUUCAAGGAUAAUGCCUGCUCAAUUUGGAUUGGAGAUCUCUUCAAUGCACAACAACUCGCACAAGGCGAUACCACUGGAAGUAGCUCCUAUCUCGGGCUUGUUGCCUCCACUGUUGAGGAUCCAAGCAAGAAGAGCAAUGUGAGUGCCGUGGUUGCUGGGUCUGUUAGCACCACGAUAGCCAUAUUAGCCAUUGUCUUGUUCGGCAUUUGGAGAUGGAGGAGAAGGGCAAUUGUAACUACAAAGACAGUGGAGGGUUCACUGAUAGCUUUUGCAUACAGGGACUUGCCAGUAGCAACAAAGAAUUUCUCAGAGAAGUUGGGUGGCGGCAGGUUCGGUUCAGAUUUUAAAGGAACAUUCCCGAUUCAAUUCACAUAGUGGUCAAGAAGCUUGAAAGCAUAAGCCAAGGAGAGAAGAAAUUCCAAACAGAAGUAAUCACAAUCGGCACCAUCCAGCAUGUGAAUCUUGUAAGAAUUAUUGUGACCCACAUGAUAUGAUUUAUUAUAUGGUUUAAUAAUUAUUGAAAUGCUAUAAAAUAAAUAAUUAUUGGUUACGAGAAGUUGCGACUUUAAUAAACGAAAUUGUAUAUUGCUUUGAUGGAAGGCACAUUUUCAAUGAACGUAUAUAUAGAGUCCGGUCCUCUCUCCACUCACAAUAAACAACAAUAACUGAAAAGGAAUUUGGUAUUCUCUCCUCCAUCGAUUGAAUACAUUAAGGAAUAGUGGGUUAAGGGAGAGAAAUUGGAUUUCUUCAUUUGGUUCGAGUUCUUUGGAUUUACUACAAUGAUCAUCAUCAAGCAUAGCGCUAUGGAUAAAGGUAUGUCUUCAUCUAAUUGUGAAAAUCAUGAAGAUCAAAAGAUCAUUGUUUAUUUUGAAUUUCCGCAUCAAGUAUUAUAUGAAUUAUCUAACAGUUGGUAUCAGAGAGUUUGGUUUAUGAUAUCAUGAUUUUUCCGUUUAAAGAAAUAUUAUAGUUUAUGUUUGAUGAUUCGUUGAACGAUCCUGUUCGUAUUGUUUAUUGUUGUUAAAAUGUUUUCAGAUGAUUAUGGAUAAAGAAAAUCCGAAUGAUGGAAUGUUCUUCAUGGACGAAAAUGGCAAAUAAAAGUUACUGUGCGCGAGUGGAAAAGGACGAAAAUGGAAAAAUUCGGAAUUUUGAGGGCAAGUAAGAAACUCGCCGAUUUCGGGGAAAAUCCAGUCACCCACCGCUUGAUUUCGGACUCACACCGUCGCACUACCAUGAGGAACAUUAGCCAUGAGUUUUUCCAGUAUAUCGGUGUUCGCCGGAGGCUAAUCGAGUGGCGGAAGCCGUGUUGGUGGACUUUUUGUGUUCUGAAAAUUUUGGUUUGUUUUGGGGCCAAUUUUUUGUCAUUUUCUCCGAAACUUGGACCCAUGUGGUCAUGCCGGCAUGCUCUUCAAAACCCAUUAUUUAUUUGUGUCUGGGAUGGGCUACCGAAGAAGAAACGGCCGGCGAAACCGCGGCGGAACGGCGAAAAACGGCGAAGAAUCGUGUCUGUGCACGAGGAAGAGGGCGUGUGGGCUCCACGCGCGCGCUGCGGUUGUAGGCGCGUGGGACCCACGCGUCACGCGCCGUCACGUGCGCGCAAGCGCUGCGCGCGUGGGAUCCACGCGCGCGGGGCUUCCCGUGCGGUUGCAGGCGCGUGCAACGCAAGCGCCUACGCAUUGGGCACGCGCGUGCCCCGCACGCGCCCGCGGCGGAUGAAGGCGCAUGCUCGGUAUGCGCCUGACGUCCCCGCGCGCCCUUUUUACGUUUUUGCCCCUAUGUCAUUUUUAAAAUUUCCAUUUUGUCCUUCUUGCAAUUUAUUUACUGUUCUGCCCUUGCUUAAUUUAUAAUUACGAUUCUUCCAUUGCUGAUUAUUUACCAUUUUGCCCCUGGAUUAUAAUUUUAUGAUUUUGCCCUUAUGGAAUUAUGAUUUUACAAUUUUACCCUUAUGCUUUAAUUACUGUUUUGUCCUUAUGUGCAAUUUGGUAAAUAUUUGUAUUUUACAAUAUUAAAAAUCCAUAUUAUGAAUGGUUUAUUAGUCACCAAAGUGGCCGAACCUUGAAGUCUUUUGAUAUUUUGAUAUUGUAAAUUAUUUUAUUCAAUUACCCAUGAUUAAUUGAUGCUAUAUAUGAAAUUGAUAUGUUUUAUAUUAUUAUUAUUGGAGUUAUGGGUAUAUUGAAGUUCAUUUAUUAUAAGAAUUUAGUGAUUAACCCAAAGGUUAAUUAUUUUCUUAUAAUUCAUGAACAUGAUGGUUGAUAAUUAAUGUGACUUGUUAAAUUUGUUUAUAUAUCCAAAGAUAACAAAUAAAUUUUAAUAAGAUAUAUUUACAAUUAUCAAAUAAAAGUUAUUAGCAUCAUUAUGGUAUAUAUAUCCUUGUUUAUCAUAGGAUCGGCCAAAGGAGAACUAUGAUGUACAUGUGUCGUUUAGUUUGAAUUUGAUUAUGUGAUAUUCUCAAAGCAUUAAUGUAUGAGUAUUUUCUUGCACAUUUGCAGUAUCUGUACCUAUUUCACUCCAUUCGCACGCCUCAUCUGUUCCUUUAUUCAAUGGGAUAAAUUUUCCUAAUUGGAGUGAACAAGUCUAGUUUCACUUAGGUGUCCUGGAUCUUGAUUUAGCACUUCAAGCUGAGAAACCAGCUGCUAUUACUGAUGAAAGUAGCAAUGAUAAAAAGUCUUUCCAUAAAGCUUGGGAAAGAUCGAACAGACUGAACUUAAUGUUCAUGCGAAUGACAGUUGCUAACAACUUAAAGACUUCUCUUCCCAAGACUAACAAUGCUAAGGAAUUCAUGAAGUUUGUGGAAGAGCGUUCUCAAACUGCUGAUAAGUCACUUGCUGGUACAUUGAUGAGCACACUAACCACCAUGAAAUAUGAUGGUUCGCGUACCAUGCAUGAGCAUAUACUUGAGAUGACGAAUUUAGCAGCAAAGUUAAAGACUUUGGGAAUGAACGUGGAUUAGUACUUUUUAGUACAAUUUAUACUUAAUUCCUUGCCUCAUGAGCAAUAUGGGCCAUUUCAAAUGAAUUACAACACUAUAAAGGAUAAGUGGAAUGUAAAUGAAUUGGCCAGUAUGUUAGUUCAAGAGGAAACAAGGAUAAAAAAUCAAAAGGCUCAUUCUAUUCAUCUCUCAAGUCAUCAAGAAGUUCGAAAGAAUUUCAAGAGGAAAGGUGGAAGGAGCAAGAAGAAAGGACUACACGUCCUGAAUGACUCUUUAAAGGCUUCUCAAAUCCACAAGAAGGAACACAAUCUUAUUAAGUGUCAUUUUUGCAACAAAAUUGGACACUUGAAGAAAGAUUGUCUGAAAUGUAAGGCUUGGUUCGAAAAGAAAGGUAAGCCUUGUGCUUUAGUAUGUUUUGAAUCAAACUUUACUGAAGUUCCUCAUAAUACUUGGUGGAUUAAUUCUGGUGCCAGCACUCAUGUGUCAAAUACAAUGUAGGGAUUUCUUACGAUCCAAACUAUAAAGCCAAAUGAAAGUUAUGUGAUUACGGGGAACAGAAACAAAGCUCCAGUUGAAGGCAUUGGCACUUAUCGUUUGAUCUUAGAUACUAGGCAUUAUUUAGAUUUGUUUCGAACCCUUUAUGUACCUACAUUUUCUCGCAAUUUAGUUUCUUUGCCAAGACUUGAUGUGGCGGGAUUUUAUUGUAAGUUUGGAUAUGAAUGUGGCGGGAUUUUAUUGUAAGUUUGGAUAUGAAUCUUUCAGUCUAUUUAAGAGUGAUAAUCAUAUUGGAACUAGAACUUUAUGUGAUGGUCUCUACAAAUUUAGACUUGAUAAUACUUUUGUUGAGAUAUUAAUGACCUUGCAUCAUAAUGUUGGCACUAAACGAAGUUUGGUGAAUGAAAAUUCUGCUUACUUGUGGCAUAAACGUUUGGGUCAUAUAUCCAAAGAAAGGAUGCAAAGAUUAGUGAAGAAUGAAAUUCUUCCAAAUUUGGAUUUUACUGACCUUGGAGUGUGUACUGAUUGUAUUAAAGGUAAACAAACAAAACAUACUAAGAAAGGUGCCACAAGAAGCAUAGAGCUUCUUGAAAUUAUACAUACUAACAUAUGUGGUCCUUUUGAUGUUCCAUCUUUUGGUAAGGAAAGCUAUUUCAUAACCUUUAUUGAUGAUUUUUCACGUUAUGAUUACAUUUGUCUAUUGCAUGAUAAGUCUCAAUCAGUGAAUGCACUUGAAGUGUAUAUUAAAGAGGUUGAGAGGCAAUUAGAUAGAAAUGUGAAAAUAGUAAGAUCGGAUAGAGGCGGUUAAUAUUAUGGAAAGUAUGAUGAAUCGGGACAAUGUCCAGGUCCAUUUGCUAAAUUCCUUGAAAGACAUGGCAUUUUUGCUCAAUACACAAUGCCAGGUACACCACAACAAAAUUGUGUAGCAGAAAGGCGUAACAGUACUUUAAUGGAAAUGGUUAGGAGUAUGAUGAGUCAUUCAUCUUUACCCUUGUCUUUGUGGAGGUAUGCUUUAAAGACUUCUAUGUACUUAUUAAAUAGGGUUCCCAGUAAAGCAGUUCCAAAGACUCCAUUUGAACUGUGGACGGGAAGGAAACCUAAUUUACGACACCUGCAUGUUUGGGGUUGUCAAGCAGAAGUAAGAAUUUAUAAUCCACAUGAAAGAAAAUUGGAUUCAAGAACGACCAGUGGUUAUUUCAUUGGUUAUGCAGAGAAAUUCAAAGGGUAUAAAUUUUAUUAUCUAAAUCGUAGUACAAGAAUUGUUGAAUCUGGAAAUGUUAGGUUCAUUGAGAAUAGUGACAUCAAUGGGAGUGAAAGAAUGCGUGAUGCUUGCAUUCAAGAAGUAAGGGUAGAAGUUCAUAUGCCUAAAGCUUAUAAAGUUGUUGUUCCUGAUAUUGUAGUACAAUCUAACAAUAAUCAAGAACAACAAAUUAAUGAACAAACACUCGAUAAUGGAGAUGUCAAUAAUGAACCUCCAAUAGCCGAGUCACAAGAAAUAGCAUUAAGGAGAUCUCAAAGAGAAAGGAGGUCAGCUAUUUCUGAUGACUAUAUGGUUUAUCUACAAGAGUCAGAAAUUGACUUAGGAAUUGGAAAUGAUCCAGAUUCAUUUUCCCAAGCCAUGGAAUGUGAAGAUUCUAAUGAAUGGUUUAAUGCCAUGGAAGAAGAGUUAAAAUCCAUGCAUCAAAAUCAAGUUUGGGAUAUUGUUGAAUUGCCUAAAGGAUGUAAGAAGGUCGGGUGUAAAUGGGUUUUUAAGACCAAGCGCGACUCAAAAGGCAAUAUUGAACGACAUAAAGCUAGACUUGUUGCAAAGGGUUUUACUCAGAAAGAAGGCAUUGACUAUAAAGAGACAUUUUCACCAGUCUCUAAGAAGGACUCACUUAGAAUUAUUAUGGCUUUGGUAGCUCAUUAUGACUUGGAGUUACACAAAAUGGAUGUAAAAACCGUCUUUCUUAAUGGGAAUUUAGAAGAAGAGAUUUAUAUGGACCAACCCAAAGGCUUUUCAGUUAAAGGAAAGGAACACAUGGUAUGUAAAUUAAAGAAGUCAAUAUAUGGACUUAAACAAGCUUCCCAACAAUGGUAUCUUAAGUUUAAUGAUACCAUAACUUCAUUUGGAUUUAAGGAAAACACCGUUGAUCGGUGUAUAUAUAUGAAGAUUAGUGGGAGCAAGUUUAUUUUUCUAGUUCUGUAUGUUGAUGAUAAUUUUGCUUGCUGCUAAUGAUCUUGGUUUGUUACACGAAACCAAGAAAUUUCUCUCUAAAAAUUUUGAAAUGAAGGAUAUGGGAAAGGCAACAUAUGUGAUAGGAAUAGAAAUAUUCCGUGAUAGAUCACGAGGAUUAUUAGGAUUGUCUCAGAAAGCCUACAUUGAGAAAAUUCUAGAGAGAUUUAAUAUGAGUAAAUGUUCAGCAGGAAUAGUUCCAAUUCAGAAAGGUGAUAAAUUUAGCCUUAUGCAAUGUCCGAAAAGUGAAUUGGAAUGAGAACAAAUUAAUAAUAUUCCUUAUGCAUCUGUUGUGGGGAGCUUAAUGUAUGCACAAACUUGCACCAGACCAGACAUCAGUUUUGCUGUCGGAAUGCUGGGCAGGUAUCAAAGUAAUCCUGGAAUGAAUCAUUGGAAAGCUGCAAAGAAAGUUCUUAGAUACUUGCAAGGAACGGAGAAUCAUAUGCUCACUUAUAAAAGAUCUGAUCAUCUCGAGGUGAUUGGAUAUUCAUAUUCAGAUUUAGUCGAAUGUGUCGAUACAAGAAAAUCAACAUUUGGUUACUUGUUUCUUCUAGCUGGAGGGGCAAUUUCAUGGAAGAGUGCGAAGCAGUCAGUUAUUGCUACAUCCACUAUGGAAGCUGAAUUUGUGGCAUGUUUUGAGGCCACAAUUCAUGGAUUAUGGCUGCAGAAUUUUAUUUAAGGGCUUGUGAUUGUUGACAGUAUUGCCAAGCCGCUGAAAAUUUAUUGUGAUAACUCUGCAGCAGUUUUCUUCUCUAAGAAUGAUAAGUAUUCUAAUGGUGCUAAGCAUAUGGAGAUCAAAUACUUGUCUAUCAAAGAAGAAGUUCAGAAACAAAGAGUGUCAAUUGAGCACAUUAGCACUAAUCUUAUGAUAGCAAAUCCCUUAACAAAAGGACUGCCGCCCAAAACAUUUAAUGAGCAUGUUGAAAAGAUGGGCGUUAUUGGACGUCAUUAAUGUUUGUAUUAUGAUUGAAUUGAGUUUAUGUAUUUGACACUUUGAGCUCACUUACGUGUUUCUGAUAUUUCCUGUUUUUUAUUUAGUAUACAAUAUGGAAAUAGAUGAAUGUUAAACAGGAUAGUUUCUAAAGAAACAUUAUGGUUGGACUAUUACUGUACUUCUCAUUUAUGGAUCAUGUUAAGUAAAGUGCUAUAGUUGUAGUACAUAGAAGGGACUAUGUCGAUUAAUGACAUACAACCGCUAUGACUCGCAUUAGUUUUCUUUACUUAAUUCUGAUUAUUAUGUGAUUGCCAAUUUAAUGAAAUUUUAUAGCAUAAUCUUAUUGUGCACAUUAUAGUCUUUAUUAAACCAUGAAAGGAGAAUCAUAUGGGCCAAGUGGGAGAAUGUAAGAAUUAUUGUGACCCACAUGAUAUGAUUUAUUAUAUGGUUUAAUAAUUAUUGAAAUGCUAUAAAAUAAAUAAUUAUUGGUUACGAGAAGUUGCGACUUUAAUAAACGAAAGGGUAUAUUGCUUUGAUGGAAGGCACCUUUUCAAUGAACGUAUAAAUAGAGUCCGGUCCUCUCUCAACCCACAAUGAACAACAAUAAUUGAAAAGGAACUUUGUCACGCCCCGACCCUCAGGCACGCACACAUCCCUUACUUUUGGUCGAUUUAAAAAUGCGAUAUCCCAGGACUAUGUAUCGCCGACCCUUUCAUUUAUAUAUGCACAUGCGGAAGCAGUUAUAAUUCCCUAGACAAUAAAGCAAUGGGAUAGAAAAGCAGGCCAUACAUUUUUCAUACUAAAAGUUCACAACUACAACUUUUUACAUGCAAACAAGGUCUGACAAUACUGGACGGGAUCUUAGUCCUCAUCCGGGUCGUACUCGGGGUCCUCCUCCACGUACUCCUCUUCGGGUUCCUCAUCAGGGACCUCCUCAUCAGAUUCAUGCUCCUUAGGCUCCUCAUCCAGGUCCUGAAAUGGUUAUUCAAUAACCACUGAGACCACGUCUCAGCAAGUUCUACUCCCUAAGACCCGAUUAGUAAACUAAUACACCUUAGGGCUGCCUACGCACAACAUGAGUCAGAGGACGUACCUUAGCCUCAGAUUCCACCUGCAUAUUAGUACAGAUUAAAUAGGCACACAAGCAAGCACAUCACAGAUCGAAGCAUCGAUCUAAUCGACUUAGUCGAUUUCACAUCAGGAAGACCACUCACGAUCAUCUCCCUUCAAUCAUUCAAUUCAACACAUCGAACCAAGGCAAUGAAUCAUAUCAAGACAUUCUCAGAUCGAAUCAUCGAUCAAUUGACCUAGUCAAAUCAUUUCUAGGUCAUUCAUCCAACACCAAGCAAUUCCUUAGAUUUAGUGGCUUUACGGUCCCACCCGACCCUCUCGAGAACUAGUGGCUUUACGGUCCCACCCGACCCUCUCGAGAACUAGUGGCUUUACGGUCCCACCCGACCCUCUCGAGAACUAGUGGCUUUACGGUCCCACCCGACCCUCUCGAGAACUAGUGGCUUUUCGGUCCCACCCGACCCUCUCAAGAACUAGUGGCUUUACGGUCCCACCCGACCCUCUCGAGAACUAGUGGCUUUUCGGUCCCACCCGACCCUCUCAAGAUGUCAUACUAUGUCACCGAGCCACGUGCAUUCUCCAGGAAGACAUACCGAGUCUCCGAGCCACGUGCAUUCUCUAAGGCUAUCUUUUCGCCAAGAUGACAUAUCAAAUCACCGAGCCACGUGUCCUUCCCAAGUGAUAUUCCAAUUCACUGGGCCACGUGCAUCCUCAAGGUGAUUUACCAACUCACUUUCGAUACUAACAACCGAUAUCCGACCAAUUCUCAAUCACAAGGCCAAAAUUGCAUUAUUGAAUAACAUACUUAAAAAUGCACCAUUAAAUCAAUUCGACACGAAUUAAAGCUCAAAUAAGUAAACGGACUGCUCCACGACAAUCAGCACGAAAUUCCGGUCACUGGCCAUCCCAGUUGAAUUUCCGGAAAAUAAAUAAUUAAACAAUUAAUUUCGAAAAUUAAAUAAAUAAAUACAAUAAAUUCAAUUUAGCACAAUAUAAAGCUCAAUUAAAUAAACGGACUGCGCCACGAUCAUCAGCAUAAAAUCCUGGUCACUGGCCAUCCCAGUUGAAUUUCCGGGAAAUAAAUAAUUAAAUAAUUAAUUUCGAAAAUUAAUAUUUAAUUCCUAAAAAUACGACAUAAGCCCAAAUCGCUUAAUUAACACCCGAUAAGGGACGGGAAAAAUCCCAAGAAGCAUCCAAUAAAUACUACAAGCAAUUCUCUAUCUAAUUACACUAAUCACACAACUAAUAUGCAAACCAAUUAACUAAUAAUCACUAAUCAAUUCUAAUCUAACAACCUAAUUACACUUAAUUAACACUAAUCAACCUUUAAGUAUAAUUAGCGCACUAAGAAGGCAUUAGUGAGUAAAACUCACUCAAAACGACGGGCUCGACGCGAGGAUCGACUUUCCUCAAAGCGGGCCGAGCAUCCGGGCUCGGGAAGGCGGCCAAAACGGGCCAAACAGUUGCUGCAAACCCAUUUCUGCAGUCCUCUGAUCGCUGCUGGUUGGAGGCGAAGGUGGGCGGAUCCGAGGCUGGUUGAGCUCGGGAAUGGGCGGAGGAGCUGAACAAGACCAAGGCGAGUCUUCACGGUGGCCGGAGGUGGUCGGAGGAAGCUCCGGCGGGUCUUGCACGAGCUGGACAGAGGCGGAACAGGGGUUGGACAGCAGCUCUGGAACAGCGAGCUGGGCGAGAGGGAGACCGAGCUGAGCGAUGCAGCGGCGGAGCGCACGGCGUCGCGCGGGCGGCGGUGCGGCAGCUCCGGUCCAGCAACGCCAGCUGCUGCCUCAACUCCGGUGUCCUCCAAGAUCUGGAACCCCGAGCAGCAAACGGAGAGGAAGACAGAGGGUGGACGGCGUUCAAGCGGGCGGGCAGGAGACGGACGGCAGCAGCGUUCCGGCACGACGGCGAAGGCAGCUCUGGCGUGACGGUGAUGGCGGCUCCUGCUUCGAACAACAUAGCUACUGUCCCUGCUUCUGCUUCGUUCGAACCAGAGGAGGGAGAGGGGGCGGAGAUGUGCAGACAGCAGCACGGCAGCGGGCUUGGGUGCACGGGAGCAGCUCCGGUGGCUUGCGGGCGUGCGACGGCGGCGGCGAGAGGCGGCGACGGGCGAAGCUGCUGUUGCUGCUUCGGCUGCUCUGGUCUUCGCACAGCCAUGGCACGAGCAGCAAGAAGGGGGAGAGAGGGUGUCGACGGAAGAGAGAAGAGAAGAAGAGAAAACCAAAUUUUCUUUCUCUUUCUCUCACUCUCUCUCUCUCUUAGGUCAGCCAUACGUGGGCCACCAUGGCUGUCAUCCACCCACAUUUCUAGCCCAAAACUACCCCUUCUAGAAGCAUUUAGGUAGGCCAAAGUUUGGGGUAGAGGUGGCAUACGAAUUUUGCCAAGUUCUCUUCCCAAUUGGACCUUAAUCCCUCUUGAUUCAAUUUAAAUUGACUCCUAUAAUUUCAUUUAACACCUCGUCAUUCCAAUUGGUAUUUUUCCUUACCAAUAUAGCCCACUUGCAUCCCAAUUCCACAAUCCUUAGCUUCAACUGAACCAAAGCGGCCCUAUUUAUCCAGUCGAAAUUAGGACCCGAAAAUCUGGAUGUCACAAACUUGGUAUUCUCUCUUCUAUCGAUUGAAUACAUUAAGGAAUAGUGGGUUAAGGGAGAGAAAUUGGAUUUCUUCAUUUGGUUCGAGUUCUUUGGAUUUGCUACAACAAUCAUCAUCAAGCAUAGCGUUAUGGAUAAAGGUAUGUCUUCAUCUAAUUGUGAAAAUCAUGAAGAUCAAAAGAUCACUGUUUAUUUUGAAUUUCCGCAUCAAGUAUUAUAUGAAUUGUCUAACAAAUCUUGUCAGGCUUCGUGGGUUCUGCUCUGAAGGUUACACAAGGCUGUUGGUCUACGAUUUCAUGCCAAAUGGUUCUUUAGACUAUCAUGUCUUUCAUAGAAAGGACUUGAAGACCUUGGAUUGGAAAACGAGGUACCAAAUUGCUUUGGGAACGGCUCGAGGUCUGGCUUAUCUCCAUGAAAAGUGCAGAGACUGCAUCAUACAUUGUGACAUCAAGCCAGAGAACAUCCUUCUAGAUGCUGAUGUAUGUCCAAAAGUGGCAGAUUUUGGCAUGGCAAAGCUUGUUGGCCGAGAUUUCAGCAGGGUGUUGACAACCAUGAGAGGCACAAGAGGGCAUCUUGCGCCGGAGUGGAUCUCUGGAGUGGCCAUAACAGUAAAAUCUGAUGUUUAUAGCUAUGGGAUGAUGCUUUUUGAGUUUGUGUUGGGAAGGAGGAAAUUAGAGCUAUCGGAAAAUGGGGCCAUCAAGUUCUUCCCAACAUGGGCUGCUAGUAAAUUAGCCGAAGGAGGUGACCUGCUUAAUCUUUUGGACCCAAACUUGACGGCAAAUGCCAAUACUGAAGAGCUAACUAGGAUUAGCAGAGUUGCUUGUCGGUGUGUCCAAGAUGGGGAAACUCACAGGCCAUCGAUGGGGCAGGUUGUUCAAAUACUCGAGGGGGUGUUGGAUGUGAUCCUGCCCAGGAUACCGAGUCCUUCAACUGUUUCUUAGUAAUCAGGAGCAUGUAGUUUUUUUCACUGAGUCGUCAUCGUCGAACCAGAGUUCCCAGAUGAGGAGUAACAACCUAAAAUGCUUCCUUGCAGAAGCAAAAUAGUUCAUCUUCAACAAAGUCCAAGUCUUGAGGAUGAUAAGAUAAGAGCUUAGUACAAGAAGUGCUUCCGUUAGUGCAUAUACUCUUCUACUUUUUCUGUAGUCAACAAAGAAUCUCAGCAUUUGGGGAUUGGCUUUCUUGGGGCUUUUUUCCCUAGCUAUUUUUGUUACGUAUAACUACAAGCGAGCUUGGAUGAUCGGUUGUAAAGAUCCUUCGCUCUGUAUAAUGAUCUGUUCUCUGCUUUUUGAGAUCCAAGGUGAUAUUGGUAAUUAGCAUCGAAAAAUUUCUGAUAAUUUUGGCACUGGAAUUGGGAUCUAACGUAUUGGUAUCACCUAGCUUGGAUCCCAGCUAGUGUCUCACAUGGUUCUAAAAUCUGCCCCCAUCGCAUGCAAAGCAAGCUGUAAGGUUUGGCAUUUCUAAUUUAUAACUCCUUUUGCUACUUGCUUGGUUUAUACAAUGAGUCAUGGUAUGAAAAUCACCCUUGAAACUACGGCUUGCUAGGACCGGAAUAUUAGAUCAUGAUAAUUUCCAACUGAUCUAUGUAUUACUAGCAGAUCCUAUUGUUGAAGCUGUAGGAUGUUAAUGCCCGCUCCAUUUUUCACAUAGCAUUUAUAUCUCUUCUAAGGUUGAGUUUUUUUAAUCACCUCAUUGCUUUAUGUUUCGAAUAUGAGUACUCGAACCUUUUAGCAAAACUGAUUUAUAACGUGUGGAUGAGACUUUUGUUGGGUGCUCUUACUCAAUUUAUAAGUUCUGUAAAACCAAAUUCAGUAUCUCAAUGUUAUUUGUUAAAAAUCUCUAUUGUUUGUUCUGGUGGGAAAUUGGUUGAGUUUCUCGUUUCAAUCGGGUUGAUCCAAACAGUAUUUUCCAUUGCAAGUGGGGAUUAAAUGCAAGUCCAAGUCCACUUUAAUUUAUCGUUGAAGAAGCCUGUUUUGGAAGGCCUAGCUUUUAUUUUUCAGUUCAUAAUCUAUUCAGAUCAAGGCUAAUCUUGUUCGGCCUUCACAAUACCAUAGUCCCCUCACUUUUGCCAAGCUUCCCCUCAUUUGUUUUUCCUUUUUGCCAUUACACCUUUUUCUUUUCCUUUCUCCUAUACACAAUUCUUUAAAUACUUUCAAUAUGAUGUGUUGUUUUUUUUUUUGGUAAGGGUCGAUAUGAUGUGUUGUUUCACUUUUCUUGUGGUAAUUAUUUUACUAUUAUCGUUGAUCCUUCUCUAGUGAGGAAAAAAAUACCAAAAAAGUCAUAAAUAUAUUACAUUAGUACCAAUUUAAUGUUAAAAUUUUUCACAUUAGUACUAAUUCGGUCCAUCUGGCCAAUUUUGGCUGGCCAGUGUUGAUGUGCACGUCAGCCAAAAUUGGGCUGAUGGACUGAAUUGGUACCAAUAUAAAAAAAUUUAGGAUUGAAUUGGUCUAAUUAAAAGAUUUAGAACUGAAUUGAUAUCAAUGCAAUAGGUUUAUGACUUUUUUUUAUACUUUUCCCUUCCAGAUGCUAGAGGUGCUAUUAUAAUAUCUUAACUUCCUUUAGCAAUAAAAAGACGUGUAAUCUGCUUAAAUCUUUAUUUAGUUGUGCUUCUACAAAAAUCAACCCUCUUUAUGAUCAUUUAUUUUAAAGUUAUAUCUCAAAUUUGAAUUCGUGAAAGAAAUCUAACUAGAGAUGAAUUGUAAGAAACUAGGUCAAUUAAGGAAAAUCCUAAAGGCGAAUAUUUCUGGACGUCGGUAAUGGAAAUCUAGAUUUCAUAUUUGGCGUCAGAGUCCAAAGUGCAAAUUUGGACAUUAAGUUGCUGAUUCGUUAACUCCAACAAAAGGCCAGAACUUGUAGAUUAUGAAAAUCAAUUUCCGCAUGGGAGUUGGUCAACACAACAACCGAACAAGAAAGAUCGGAGUUGGACUGGGUUUCUUCUUCAAUCGGUCAACUUGGCUAUUAUAUACGGAAUAACACCUUGAAAAAUCCAAAAUUGACAUAUUUAUAACAAAUUUACCAAAAUCUAAAUUUAUCCAAAUUUGUACACCUACGAUAAAUUCACCUUAAAUAAUUUUUUUAACUAUAAAAAAUCUCAAACUAGCACAUUUGUCACAAAUAGAGAGUAAAAUCCAAAAUUGAUACAACAUUAAUUGUCAAAUGUCAUUCAAUUCAACAAUUUGAUAAUAAAAUUUGAAGGAAAUUAAUGGACGGUAAAUUUGUUACAAGUAUAUCAAAGUUUUAGAUAAAUUUUAUUACCGGUUCAUGAUUUAUUAUGAAAUUACCAUAAAUAUAAAUAUACAAUUGUGGAUUGCUCAGUUGGUUAUGAAGAAAUAUUAAAGUGUAGUUCUUAGUGAAUGUCAAGGGAAGUUCUAUAUUUGUUAGUGACGGCCAAUUGGCACUGCAGGUUUGGUAGUGGGUUCUUCAUGGAAUAACAUUAAUAGCUUAUGUGUUGGACUCAAUUAAAUCUUGUGAGGAUUUAUUUAAUUCAUUUUUGAGAUUGAGAUAUUAUUUCGUGAAGAAUUGUAAGUUUAAAUACUACGUGAAUUAUUGAGUAUAAUUGGAUCUUGGAAAACAUAAGAAUGUUUGAGUAAUUUGAGUUUGGUUGUACUUUUCAUUGGAUUGCUCGAUCUAGAGUGAAUUCUUUGCUGCUCUCUCCAUUGACAUAUGUCACAUCAAUAGAAUCAUUUAAAUUUGGUGUCCAAUUUAUUUUCUUAUUUUGUCUAUUUCAUUGUUCGAUCAAUUAGAUUCCACAAUAAUUUAAAAGAUCAAGGCAUUGAUAAACGGUCUCUCUACUUUUGCUCAAUAAUCAAAGUCAUUCUUUUAAUAUCUUUUAAGAAAAAAAAUCACAAAAACUCCAUAUUUUGUCGAUUGUGAUAUGUUUACUCUAAACUAUUUUUGGUGACACCAAAAACUCUAAAUUUAUACUUGUAUGACACAUUUAUCCUAAUUUUUUUUCUAUAACACCAAAUUUUUUGGGGUUAAUAUGUCACAUCAUACAAAUUUGAAGUUUUAGGUGGCACAUUAUAUAAGUUUAGAGUAAAUAUGCAAUAUAAGUAUGAAUUUGAAGUUUUUGAUGUCAUAAAAUAAGUUUGGGAUAUAUAUAUAAUUUAGAGUUUUCGGUGAUUUUACAUUUCUUUGGAUUUGAAACCGUUCUUGCACUUAAGUGCCAUUGGUCGUCCCUGUGUUGGAACACUAUUAGCUAUCUUUUGACGUCAAAUUUUAUUUUAUUUGUUGAGGAUUUUUCUUUCUUUCUCCAAAUGUAGGCUGUCUCUCUCCUUUUUAGGUUAUUCAUUUUACGAAAACUAAAACCCACAAAAUAUAUUGCCUACACUAAUGCAAAAACACGAUUAUUUGUAUAGACUCAAGACAAGCAAUUGAGUAGCUAUGGGCCGUGAGCUCUGUGGCUCAUGACUUGAGCAAAUAUGACUGCUACAAGAUCAAAGCUCAUGCGGCAAUGCCAUGAGCUCAAAGAUUAAGUAGCCAUGGCUUAAGCUUUGUGACUCAAAUAGACAUCAUGGCCAUGGCCAUCUGCGAGCUUGAGCUUGAAUAGCCAUGGCCAAUGCUAACUUAGAGUUGGAGCUCAUGGUAAUAGUGGGGUCAUAAUGGAGCUCUCUCGUAAUUGUGCCCAUUUUUUUUAAUGUUUAUGUUGCCUAAUUUAGCACCUGUUUUUCCUAAAAUAAUUAUAUGAGCGGAGUACCACACAAUAGGUAUGCUGGCAUCUUGUUCAUAAAAAUUGAAUGGCAAAGUAUAACGGAAUGACUAGUGGUGAUACUUCAAGCCACAAAAAAAUCUUAAGCUUUAUCAACUGUGACACAUUUAUUUCAAUUUUUUUUUUUGUAACAUCAAAAAUCCCAAACUCGUACACGUGUAGUAAUACAUUUACCCAAAACUUUUUUUUUCGACACCAAAAAACCCAAACUUAUACUUUUGUAACAUCAAAACCCUAAACUUUUGUUUUGUAACACCAAAAACCCGAGAUUAAUAGUCAAGUCACACAUCUACCCCAAAAAUUUGGUGUCAUAGAAAAAAGUUUGAGGUAUUUGGUGUCACAAAAAGAAAAGUUUGAGGUUUUUUAUGUCACAAAAUAAAAGUAUGGAGUAAAUGUGUGACACUGCAAUAUUUUGAGAUAAAUGAGUCACAUAGGUAAAAGUUUGAAAUUUUUAAUAUUACAAAAAAAAAUAGUUUGGGGUAAAUAUUUCACAAUGGUCAUAAUUUAAGGUUUUUGGUGGCUUUUACCAUACUUUUAAAUAGUGGAGAGAUGCUUUAAAAAAAGUAGAGGGGAUUUUGAUUUUCAGGCUAAAAUAUAAGGGCCACCGGUAAAUCGAAUCCAUAAAGAAAGUGGCAUAUGUAUAGGAAUUGAUAAAAUAGUAAAAGAUUAUAAUGGACACAUCGCCAAGUACCAUCGCUCCAAGUCCAACCAGAGAGGCCUCUUCAUGCCAACACGUAUGGCCAUGACAAAGUCUAUAAGGUUUUUCUAGUAAAGGCACACAACCAUGAUGUUACAUAUAUAUAAAUUGGGGAAAAAAAAUCAAUGUGUCGCUCUAGAGUUUUCCCUCGACAAACAGGUCAGCUCAGCAUGUGUGGAACAAGCACAUUUUGUUGAAGAUAUUGGCCUCAAGUCUACCUUAGACAAUAGUAGGGACCAUAAGAAUAUUGGACAAUGCUACAUGAAAAUCAAACCUUGUCGGUCCAGCUUUUCAAAUAUAUGAAUGACUUUGACACUUGGAUUUGUUCCUUUGUUGUUGACUGAUGCUGGUAAAACUAUGUUUAAAGUCCUGCUUGAUCACUCAAAUGUUUGAUGUUGAGUUUGAGUGUUCUCAUUGCAUGUUAUUCCAAUUUAUGACGAGGACAUGUCCAAGUUGCACCACUAGCGUCUUCUUCACUCUGGGAUAUGCUCAUCCUUGUCCACUGGUAUGAUGCUUGCUUAAAUGCUUCUAUCUAGGUACUCCAUGACAAUGCGCUAGUCUCAGUUGAAGUUUCCCCACGGCACUUUGCGCGUUUCUUGACCCAUUCUUCUUUGAGAUCUCUUUCCUCACCCUUGCUCCGAGCACAAACGAGUAUAUAUACUUUUCCCUAUGAAUCUUGUUUCUACACAUGUCCGCUCGAAUCCUAUAUGGUACAGCCAUGGAUAGCAAAAACAGUAGUCCAUGGUCGUUCAUACUCCCAAUUUUCUUGCUUUGCUCAUCUCUGUACACCUACCUCUGUCUUGGCACAGACAAGCUCGAUGCGAAUCGAUCUAUAUCUGGUAAUCAAACCUUAACCUCCUCAGGUGGCCACUUUACACUUGGCUUCUUCUCGCCGGGUAACUCCACGUACUCCUACAUAGGCAUCUGGUACAACAAAAUCAGCGUGCAAACCGUCGUCUGGGUCGCCAACCGAGACAACCCUAUCACUGACAGGCAAUCCACUGAGCUGAAGGUCUCGGGUGGCAAUCUUGUGAUUCUUAACAACUCCGAAGUCCCCGUUUGGUCCACGAAUCUGACUGCUUCUUCAUCUGGAUCGAGCUCCAUGGUGGCGGUUCUUGAGGACGACGGCAACUUCGCUCUCAAAGCGGCUCCGACUUCUUCUGUGACUCUGUGGCAGAGCUUCGAUUACCCAACGCACAUGUGGCUUCCCGGUGCCAAAUUAGGGAUCGACAAGCGCAAAAAUAGGAGUCAGCUCUUGACAUCAUGGAAGAACGCUGAGGACCCUUCGACAGGUUUGUUCUCUCUCGGUCUCCAGCCAUCCAGUGAGUACUACGUAAGGUGGAAUAAGUCUGAGCAUUACUGGGAGCAGUGGGGCGUGGGACAAUCAGACGAAAAGUUCUCUUGGGUCCCUGAAAUGAGAUUGAACUAUAUUUAUGAUUUCAAGGUAUGUGGGACAAUGAGAACGAGAGCUACUUCACCUAUUCAAUCAAAGGCUCCUUCAACACCAUAUCAAGGUGUGUCGAUGGACCUUUCUGGGCAGGUCAAGAUGGGUCCUGGUUGCCUUCCAAGGUGUGGACCUUGUUCUGGUCUCAGCCCCCGCAACAAUGCAUGGUGUAUAGACUUUGUGGGCCUUUCAGUGUUUGCAGCGAGCAGAGUGAAGAUUCGUGCAGCUGCUUGCAGGGAUUUAGCAUAAGCUCUCCAAUAGAUUGGAAUCGGAGUGAUUGGUCUGGUGGUUGCAAGAGGAAUUCGAACUUAAAUUGUGCAGCGAAUGCGGAGAAAGACCGUUUCUGGCCUAUGUCUAACAUGGAAUUGCAUGAUGCUCCCCAAUCUUUAGUUGCAGGGAGCGAUCUGGAAUGCCAAACUGCUUGUUUAAGCAAUUGCUCUUGCACGGCUUAUGCUUUUGAGGAUAAUGCCUGCUCAAUCUGGAUUGGGGAUCUCUUCAAUGUGGAACAGCUCAAACAAGGCACUACCCCUGGAAGGAGUUUCUAUGUCCGGCUUGCUGCCUCUGAAAUUAAGGAUCCCAGCAAGAAGAGUAACGUAACUGCAACAGUGGCAGGGUCUGUUGGUGCCACGGUAGCAAUAUUAGCCAUUGUCUCGUUUGCCGUUUGGAGAUGGAGGAGAGGGGCAACUGUAACAACAAAAAUAGUGGAGGGUUCACGGAUAGCCUUUGCAUACCGGGACUUGCAAGUAGCAACAAAGAAUUUCUCAGAGAAGUUGGGUGGGGGUGGGUUCGGUUCAGUUUUCAAAGGAACAUUACCUGAUUCAAGUAGCAUAGCGGUCAAGAAGCUUGAAAGCAUAAGCCAAGGUGAGAAGCAAUUCCGAACGGAAGUAAGCACAAUCGGCACUAUCCAACAUGUGAAUCUUGUCAGGCUUCGCGGAUUCUGCUCUGAAGGUGACAAGAGGCUAUUGGUCUACGAUUUCAUGCCAAAUGGUUCCUUAGGCUAUCAUCUCUUUCAUAGAAAGGACUCGAAGACCUUGGAUUGGAAAAUGAGGUACCAAAUUGCUUUGGGAACAGCUCGAGGUCUGGCUUAUCUCCAUGAGAAGUGCAGAGAUUGCAUCAUACAUUGUGACAUCAAGCCAGAGAACAUCCUUCUAGAUGCUGAAUUCUGUCCAAAAGUGGCAGAUUUUGGCCUGGCAAAACUUGUUGGCCGAGAUUUCAGCAGGGUGUUGACAACCAUGAGAGGCACAAGAGGGUAUCUUGCGCCGGAGUGGAUCUCUGGAGUGGCCAUAACAGUAAAAGCUGAUGUUUAUAGCUAUGGGAUGAUGCUUUUUGAGUUUGUGUCGGGAAGGAGGAACUUAGAGCUAUCGGAAAAUGGGGCCAUCGAGUUCUUCCCAACAUGGGCUGCUAGCAAGAUAGCUGAAGGAGGUGACCUGCUUGAUCUUUUGGACCCAGACUUGGAGAAAAACGCUGAUACUGAAGAGCUAACUAGGAUAUGCAGAGUUGCUUGCUGGUGUGUCCAAGAUGAGGAAACUCACAGGCCAACGAUGGGGCUGGUUGUUCAAGUACUCGAGGGGUUGUUGGAUGUGAACCUGCCCAGGAUACCGAGAGCCCUUCAAAUGCUUCUUGAUAAUCAGGAGCAUGUAGUUUUCUUCACUGAGUCGUCAUCAUCGAACCAGAAUUCCCAGACGAAUAGUAACACCUCAACUUCUUCCUUGCAGAACCCAAAUAGUUCAUCUUCGACGAAGUCUGAGUCUUGAGGAUGAUAAGAUAAACGCUUAGUACAAGAAGUGCUUCAGUUAGAUAGUGCAUAUGCUCCUCUGCUUUUUCUGUAGUCAAGAGCGAAUCUCAGCAUUUGGGGAUUGGCUUUCUUGGGGCUUUUUCCCCUAGCUAUUUAUGUUGCACAUAGAUACAAGCAAGCUUGGAAUAAGUGCGCGGCCAGACCAGUUGUAAAGACCCUUCAUUCUAUAUAAUGAUCUGUUGUCUGCUUUUUGAGAUCCCACGUGACAUUGGUAGUUAGCAUCUAAAACUGUCAUCUCCACUUUCAAAUGAUUUUGGCACUGGAAUCUGGAUCUAACGUAUCAGUAACUCCUAGCUUGGAUUGCGGCUGGUGUCUCAUCGUUCUCGAAUGUGCCCUCAUUGCAUGCAAAGUAGGCUAUAAGGCUCGGCAUUUCUCAGUAUAAAUUCCUCUUGCUAGCUACUUUGUUUAUUUAACGAGUCACGGUAUGAAAAUCGCCCUUAAAACUAUGACUUGCUAGGACAGGGAUAUAUAUGCGGAUAAUUUCCAGCUAGCAGAUCCUUUUGUUGGAGCUGUAGGAUGUUAAUGCCCGUCCCAUUUUUCACAUGACAUUCAUAUCUCUUCUAAAGUUGAGUUUUCAUGAAUCGCCCCAUAACUUUAUGCUUCGAAUAUGUGUUAUGCUAGAGAUUACUCGAACCUUUUAGCAAAACUAAUUUUAAAGUGAUGUAUGAGACUUCUGUUGGGUGCUUCCAUUCAUUUGUUUAUUGCUUACCCUUUAAUAUUUGUGACAUUGCUUUACAAGUUUUGUAAAACCAAAUUCAUUAUCUCAACAUUGCUCGUUAAAAAUCUCCACUGUUUGUUCAGGUGGGAAAUUUAUUGAGUUCUCAUUUCAAUCAGGUUGAUCCAAACAGUAUUUUCCAUUGCAGUGGGAAAUUGUUUUGGAAGGCCUAGCUUUGAUUUUCAGUUCAUAAUCCAUCCAUAUCAAGGCUAAUCCAGUGGGCCUUUGCAGUACCAUAAUCCCCUCAGUUUUUCCAAGCUUCCCCUCAUUUGUUUUUCCUUUCUACCAUUUGCCACUUUUUAUUUUCCUUUUUCCCGUACACAAUUCUUAAAUACUUUCGAUCUGACUAUCGUUUCACUUUUCUUGCUGCACUUAUUUUACUCUAAUCGUGGAUCCUUCUCUGGUGCUAUAGGUGCUAUUAAGAUGUCUUAACUUCCUUCAGCAAUAAAAAAGGGUGUAAUCUGCUUAUAUCUUUAUUUAGUGGUGUUUCUACAAAGUCAGCGCUAUCUAUGAUCAUUUAUUCGAAUUUGAGUUACCGAAACAAAUCCGACUAAGAGGAAUUGUAAGAGACUAAGUCAAUUAAGGAAAUUCCUAAAGCCGGAUAUUUGUGGAAGUCGGGAAUGGAAAUUUAGAUUUCAUAUUUGGCGUCGGAGUCCAAUGUGCAUAUUUGGACCUUAAGUUGCCGAUUUGAUAAUCAAAAGACCAGAACUUGUAGAUUACGAAAAUUAAUUUCUGCAUGGGAGUCGGUCAACACAACAACAGAAUAAGAAAGUUCGGAGUUGGACUUAGUUUCCUUUUUCAAUCAGUCAAUUUGGCUAUUAUAAACGGAAUAAUACUACAAAAAAUUUGAAAUUGAUAUACUUAUGACAAUUUUAUCUAAAUCUAUUUUUUUUACCACAAAAAACUCAAAUUUGUACAUCUAUCAUAAAUUUACCUCAAACUAAUUAUUUGACCAUUAAAAAAAUCCUAAACUAGUACAUUUGUAACAAAUAAAGGGUAAAAUCCCAAAUUGAUACAUCCGUCAAUUAUCAUGUGUCAUCCAAUUCAGCAAUUUGAUAGUAACAUUUCAAGGAAACUAACGGGGGGGGGGGGGUAAAUUUGUUACAGAUGUACCAAUUUGAGAUUUUUGGCUAUCAAAAAAUUAGUCUUAGGUAAAUUUUUCACAAAUAUAUAAGUUUAGAAUUUAUUGUGAUAUUAAUCCUAUAAAUAAAUAUUGAGUUGUGGGUUACUCCGUUGGUUAUGAACAAAUAUUGAAGCGCGGUUUUGAGUGAGUGUCGCGGGAGUGAAAUAUUUGUGAGUGACAUCCCAUUGGUAUUAGGGGCUUGGCAGCGGGCUCUUUGGGGAAUUACUUCAAUAGUUUAUAUGUUGAACUUAGUUAAAUCUUGUGAUAAAAUUGGUUUGAUAUUUUGGUGAGAUUGAGAGAUUAUUUUGUGAGAAAUUGUGAGACUAAGUACUAUGUGAAAUAUUAGGUGUAAUUGGAGUUUGGAAAACAUUAGAGUAUUUAAGUAACUCAAGUGUAAUUGUAAUUUACGUAGUAUGGCUUGAUCUAUCAUGGAAUUCUUUACUACUCUCCCACGAAUGCAAGACACAACGAUCAAACCAUAAAAUCCGAUAUUUGUUAUUUUCAUGUUUGUCUAUUUUAUUGUUCGAUCACUUAGAUUCCACAAUCAUUUAAGAGAUCAAGGCAUUGAUAAAUGAUCUCUCAACUUUUGCUCAACAAUCAAAGUCAUUCCUUUAAUUUUUUAAAGGGAAAAAUUCACAAAAAACUCCGAAUUUUGUCCACUAUGGCAUAUUUACCUAAACUACUUUUUGUGACACUAAAAAUCCUAAAUUUGCACAUGUGUGACACAUUUAGCUUAAUUUUUUCAAUAAUUGUAAAAAUUUCAAACUUAUAUUUGUGUGACACAUUUACCCCAAAAAAAUUUUGUGACACCAAAAACCACGAUUUCUUCUACGACACGAAAUUUUAGGGAUAAAUAUGUCAUAAGCAUAUAAAUUUGGAGUUUUUGGUGUCACAAAAAAAAUUAGGAUAAAUGUGUGACAAUGGAUAUAGUUUAAGGGUUUUGGUGAUUUUACCCUUUUUAUUUUAUAUGAAACUGUUCUUGCACAUAGAGUGCCAUUGGUCGUCCUUUUGUUGAAACACUUCUAGCUAUUUUCUAAUGUGAACUUUUAAUUUAUUUGUUGAUGUGGAUUUUUUUUUUUUUUUUUCGUUUUUACAAAUGUCGACCUCAUUUGGUUCAAUUUUGGGCAAAUGUCUUUGGGAAAAUGCAAAUACAUUUAGACUAAAAAGGCCUUUCGAAAUACAAAUAGUGUUUGGUAAAUUAUAAUUUUAAAAUGUAUUGCAAAACAACUUUAACUUAAAUGCAGUUUGGUAAAAACUACAUUUUGCAUAAGACUUUUAUUAAUUUUUUUUUUAAUCUAGCCACCGACGGCUAGAUCUAGCCGCCACCAGCCUCACCUGAGAUCAUGCAACCCCAGGCAACGCCUAGAGUUCGCAACCUAGGUGGCCGUUUGGGUCGUGACGCCCUAUGAAGUACGGACACGUUGUCUAUGCUUCCGUGUCGUGUCCAACACGUGUCGGAGGGUGUCGGACACAUCGACACGUAGUCAACACAUGUCAUAUUUUCCGACACGCGGUCAACUUUUGCCCGACACGUUUGGACAUGCGUGUCCGGUAGACGAUGGAGGGUGGAAGCAAUGGUGAGGAAGCAGAGACGAGGCCACAAGUGACAGCGAGCCCGCGGCGGUGAGAGACGGCCAAAGAAAGAGCAUAGAUUGAGGCGAGGGCCACCAUUGUGAUGUUGCAAUGGAUCCGAUGAGGCUGCAGCUGUGAGGGAGAAGGCCCGAAGGCGAGAGGAAGAGGAGAGGAAGGCGGUCGUGCGAUGAGGAGGAGAGGAGAGGAAGGGGGUCGUGCGGCGAGCGGCGAGGAAGGAGAAGGAUCGAGAGGAGGAGAAGAGGAAGGGUUGUGCGGCAAGCAGCAAGGAGGAGGAGGUAAAGCUAGGGUUUUUUUUUAUAGGAAACUCAAAAGUAAUUAAAAAAGGGGAUGGCCAUCAUGUAUUUUGGGGGGAGGGGAAGUGACGGGAUAGCCUGUCUGUCAGUGGUGGGAAAAAGAAAGUGGUGGGAAAUGGAGAGGGAAAGAAAAAUAAAGUGGGGGGAAAUGGACGACGGUGGGGAGGGAAAGAAAAAUAAAUUUGGGGGAUGGACGAGGGAAAUAAGAUUUCUUUGUUAUUUGGAAAAAUAAAUAAAUGAGAUUAAAAAAUAAUUUUGAAAAAUAAAAAUAAUGAAUUUGAAUUAAAUUAAUUAAAAAUAAAAAUAUUUAUUUAAUAUACAACGUGUCCCAACGUGUCGGAAUUCUCUAUUUUUAAAAAAUGACGUGUCGACGUGUGGUGUCAUAUCAUGUCGUGUGUCCAUGUCGUGUGUCGGUGCUACUUAGGUGACGCCUAGGUUUGCACGGCCCAAACGCCUGCCUAGAUCACAAACUCCAAGCAACCAUUGUGACAUCCUGAUUUUUAGGUUCUGUUUUCGAUUGAAUAAGUUGAGUCUUUCAUCGACGCGCUUAUAGUGCUAUUCUUUGGGAUGGUCACUCACGAGAUAACUAUCAUAUCCGGUGAAGUCGUUAAGGGAUUUUAACGCAAUAGAUUUGAGAAUUCGACCAGAAAUCGACUGCUUGACCGUGCUAAUUUGCAAGGGUCAUUGCAGCAUUAUCAAAAUCGAUUAGAGAUCAGGGAUAUGUCGAUUUGAGUGAGAUGUGUGAUCAAAGUGUGGAUGAUUCCACCUGAUUGCAAAAUUCUCGUCGAUUGGCAUUAGACCAAUUUUCUGUCGUUUUGGGUAUCAUGUGCUUGUAUUUGAAACCUUGAGAUUUUCACGACAAUCGAGAGUCGCCAAUAAGUCAACGAUGUACAUUGUGACUCGAGAUAAAUCGAUCAUUGGUCAAUUGUAUCAAAAAUUCUUGAAAUCUACUCGAUAAGUUAGGUCAUGCUAAAAUCGCGUUAGAUUGAAAUUAAUCGUGAAUUUAAACCCGAUUUUAGAAAUUAAAAGUUCUAUCAUGUCGCGAUUUAUUUUAGAGACGUCGACUCAUCUUUCGAGGAAUUUUCGGCGAGUUCGAAAUUUUUACGGAAAAUCAAUUCAAACGAUUCGAAAUCGAAAGGAAAUUCUGAGGGGCCAAAUUAAGUGGACGUUUGGCCUCCUUAGUGAGCUAUUUGGCGGAGGGAAGUUGUGGAUUUUGUGUGGGCUUCUUCCCCAGCAAAAUUGGAUAUCAAAUUGAAGAAAUGAAAGUCCAAUUGAGUGAAAUUCGUAGGCAUGGGGGCUGCAACUUAUGGACACCAACCUAACUAUUUGUGGAAUUUAUGUGCAUAAAAGCUUGGGGGACAUUAGGGAUGUGCAUGAGAGCUUGUGGGACCAAAACUUGGUGAAUAUAAAAUAUUUUAUCUAAUUUUUCCCCUUCCCCUCCUUCGUUCCCUCCAUUUCGCACGUCUCUCUCUCUCUUUCUUUUUCUUAUUUUCGCAUGUCCUCCCCUGCUGCCAACAAAACCCCCUGCAGCAGUCUUCAUUCAUGUUUUUAUCCUUUGACUUUCGGACCCCCCUCCUUAUCCAUCCACGCACGUCUCUCUCUCUCUCUUCCAAAUCUUUCUGCACGUUCUUUUCUUCUCCCCCCCCCCCCCCCCCAAAGCCGACAUCUCUCUUUCUCCUCCCUGCUCCUUCAUGCGGCCAACUCCUCCACGCUCUCUCUCCCUCCACCGAACCCCCUUCAUUCUCCAUUUUUGCGCCAGCGUUUCCCCCCAUUUCCCUGCCACAUGUCCGUCUCCUUCCCCCUUUCUCUCCCCCGCAGCUACCACAAAAGCCAACGACUUCGGUCAACUCUUGGCGCCUCCUCAUGUGUCCAUCUCGCUACAACGCCAACACCACCGAAGUCCUUCACGCCAGCAGCCCCUUCCGGUUGUUUGUUCAGCCAGCUCAGCCCAUCUAGCAUCCACGAGCUCAACAGCCCGCGUCUCUUCAAGUUCCAGCCGCCAGCUUCGCAUCUUAGCCCAGCCGCAGCCCCGUGUCCAGCCCUCAACCCCUGAACCAGCAAUGGGCAGAACUGAAGCAACCCAUUCAGCUCAAUCGUGAGCUUUGCGAGGCCGAUUUCAGCCUCGGUUUGGCCUCCUUUGGUGUCACCGCUUCGGAGUUUGUCGUCCGUCUCCGCGUCGUCAUCGCCAUGGACUCACCGGCCCACAUAUCCGGUGAGUUUACUCACUAAUCUCUGCUUAGGGAGUUAAUUAUGCUUAAUAGUUUAUUAGUUUAGAUUAAGCUUGGAUUAUGUGAUUAGUUAGAAUAGAUUAGCAAUUUAAUCGUUUGAUAUUACAUGUUAGGUGGUUAGAGUAGUGUAAUUAGCAAGUAGAUAGGUCGUAUUAUUUAUUUAGAUAGGUUCUUAUAUUUUCUAGGCCCGUUUCGGUAUUUAAUUAGGCUUUUCCGGCCUAAGUUUAUAUUUAUGGCAUUUAUUUGUAUUUAUUUAAUUAUUUAUUAUUUUUUGGAAAUUAUAACGGGAUAACCGAUGGCCGGAAUUUCGUGCUGAUUGUAAUGGUGUGUUCAGUUUAUUUAAUUGAAUGCUAGGUUGUGCAAAUUGAGUGAGAAUUAUAAUUUUGGGUAUUUAUUCCAAAAUUGAGUAAUUUCGAUAUUUAAUUGGAAAAUACUGGGCGUCGGUCUACAUCACCAAAAAUGUGAUUAUGGAUUAUUAUGACUAGUGAGAAUUUCUAAAGGAAAGAUAUUGAGGUUUUGACUCAGGCCAACCGUGUACCCACACACGACUAUUUUAUUGGGUAUUUUCAAUGUGGGGAUUUAUUAGCUUGAGUGAGCUAAGGUCGUUUUAUCAGCUUGAGUGAGCAUGAUAUAUAAUUAUCAACUUGAGUGAGCUAUCUAUUUAAAUAUCAACUUGAGUGAGCUAAGAUCAUAUUUUGCAACUGUCAUGAAUAGUGAUAGUAUCAGAGGAUAAAGAUAUGUGGUAUUGAAAGGAUAGAUAGUACGGUUGAUGUGGACUUGAGCUAAUUGACUGGUUGAUCGAUGGUUCGAUUUGAAUUGAGUAGAUUGGUUGAGUUUCUGUACUAUAUUGAAUUGCAGGAAGAAACUAAGGCAAAGGUAAGUCAUCUAUCUUACGUGUGCCUGGAUAGCCUUUAGGCAUAUUUCCUUCCUAGUCGGAGCAUAGGAGGUGAACUUGCUGAGACAUCGUCUCACCCCGUUGUGGGAUAACAUUUAUAGGUCCUUAAAUGAUUGUGCCACCCGAGCGUUUUGGCCAAUCGAAGAAGGUUACCGAGAAGCAUUCUGAGAUUCCACUCCCUAGGAGCCAAGAAGCCUGGGUCUAUGAACUCGUGAGAUCCACUGUCUGGGUUGAUGUGAGUCUACCCCAUAAGGUACCCCAUAAAUUCAUAUCGUGGUAUUGUCAUGGGCGAAAUGGACCCAGAGAAGGCCCUCUUUUGGAGUUUGAGAUUCCUAGGUCGGUGUUGGAGAUCGCUUUUGGUAAGGGGAUGACCGACCCUCCUGGUGGUUCAGAGGUAGACUUGGAUCCUUUAGAUCCAGAGUCCCCGGAGUAUUCAGUUGAAGACUCGAAUGCUUAAAGGAUCUGUAGCCCUCUACCCUCCCCUUUUUGUAGACCUUGUAUAUAUAGGCUAAUAUUGUAUAUGACAUAGUUUGAUAUAUGUAUAUAAGUGUGUUGUGAUUUUGAAAAUCUGUGGCCUUACUUUUCUAUCACAUCCGGUUAUUGUCUAGGGAUUUAUUUAUUCGCUUCCACAUGCACAUUAAAAUGAAUGGGUUGGCAACGCGUCUUGGGACGUCGCUAUUUAAUCGACCAUUGAGGGAUGAGCACGUGCUUGGAGGAUCGGGACGUGACAACCAUCGCCUAGGUCACGCGAACCUAGGCAACCGUCAACUGGCUCACACGAACCGAGGCGACCACCUCCUGAGGUCGCAUGACCUUAGACGGUGGCCGCAACCCUCAAGCGGCGGUUGCCAAGUCCAACGACCCCUCAGGCAACGGUUGCCAGCGCGAGCAACUCCUUGGUCAGUGGUUGUCGGCCUCCAUUUGUUUCCUUGGAGAAGAUGAACAGUACCUAUGGGACUCACAUUCCAAAUAUGCAACUUCCCAAAGUACCUCCGAAACUACUUUGGUUAAAAGCCCUUAGAGCCAUUUGGAGAUGUAAUUGUAUCUUGCCAAAGUCAUCCAAAAAAUUGAACCAAACACGUUUGCAUUUGGCCAAACCCCUUUAGAGUCCAAAAGCCCUUUCCAAAUGCCGAACCAAACGGGCCCAUAGACUCUUCCUCCCUCCCUCCCUCCCUCCUGUGGGUUCUUCAUUUUAUUAUGAAAACAAAAACCCACAAAACUAUUAUUUGUAUCUACUCACGACUAGCAAUUGAGUAGUUAUGGGCUAUGAGCUCCGUGGCUCAUGACUCGAGUGAAUGAAAACGCUGCAAUAUUAAAGCUCAUGCGGCAAUGCCAUAAGCUUGAAGAUCAAGUAGCCAUGGCUCAAGCUUUGCAACUCAAAUAGACAUCAUGGCUAUGGCCAUCCGUGAGCUUGAGCAUGAAUGGCCAUGGCCAAUGCUAACUUAGAGUUGGAGCCCACGGUAAUGGCGGGUCAUAACGGAGCUCUCUCUCAAUUGUGUCAUUUUUUUUCUUUUUAUGUUUAUGUUGUCUCAACACCUAUGUGGCAUCACGCUAUGUAAGCAUAAUAUGGCAGGAUACAUGUGUUCCAACAUCCAUGUUAGUAAAAUUUGAUUGGUAAGAGAAAAAAAGUACAAUAGAAAGAUUAACCGUGACACUUUCUAUGUAAUAUAAGAGCUUUGAGAAAAAAUAAAUAAAUAAAAGAAGAGGGUUUGAAAAGUCAACAAAAGAAGCUGAAGGAGAAGAGUGGAAGCUUGGGCUGUUUUUAAAGAGAAGAGAGAGGGAGGGCUUGGGUAGAAAUGAAACAGGGGAAAGGAAGAAAAAAAGGGAAGAGAGAAAAGAAGAGAAAGGAGAAAGAAGAAAGGAGCAAGGGAAAAUUUUUGGCGCGCUCAUGACCCAGAAGCCUAACUAAGCCAACUUAACUCCGUUUUGCAACGCUGGUAAGUGAUUGAAGCCUAUAAUCAUCUAUUCAAACAAAUCGUCACAAUUAGUGCUCAAAAUUUGGAUUUCUUGGAGAUUUGUGUGGCGAAGUCUGAUUUUUGAGUUAUUGAACUGCGUAAUUUUAUAGAAAUGAUAGUUUAUGGUGUUUUGAAGUUAUAGCAUUUUACGAAUUGUGAUUUGAGCUUACAGUUUGCCCAUAAUGGAAUUUUCAAUUUUGGCGUACAUUUUGGAAUAGUACCAAACGAUAUCGAACAAUAGCUUUGGCUCUAAAUUUUAGCAAUUUUCGGUGAGAUUUUGGGAUGGCUAAGUUGGGGUUGUUGUAGUGUAUCAAGAGAACUAUAAGAUGGCUUGAAACGGAAUAUUAUAGAGGAAGUUAUGGUGCGACAAAAUUUAGCACGCGAGCCAUGCCUAGCGGACAAUAAUAGGUUUCUGCUAAAUACGAGCUUUCAUUGGCAUGUAGGUGUUGUUUUAUCGACAAAUAGGCUUAGUAUAGGCAAGUCGUUGUAAGAAUUUUUUUUUUUUUUACGCCGCCUUUUGAUAUUGUUUUUCGGUUAAUUGUUAGGGAUCCAAGUGCGUCAGUUCAAGUAAGCGUCGUAGUUGGUUUUUGGGUUUUUCCUAGGUGAGUGACACUAUUUCUUCUUUGUGUUUUAAACUCAUGUUUUGAAAAAAAAAUUAUGGAUUAUAUAUGCCAUGAGUAGAUAAAUAGCAUCUUUUGUUGCAUAAAACGGGAUCAAGAUUUCACUGCCAUUUUGUUGUUGAAAGAGAUAAUUAUCAUUUGAAUUGAGUUUGAAUGAUUGUCUAAAAAUGGUUUGUGAAACCCUUUAUUAAAGAAUUUCGAAACGUCUGUUGUGACAUUCUGAUUUUCGAUUCUGUUUUCGACUAAAUGAAUUGGGUUUUUCAUCGACGCGCUUAUAGUCUUUUUCUCUAAGCUGAUCACUCAUGAGAUAACUAAUUUAUCAAGUGAAGCCGUUAAGGAAUCUAAAUGCGACCGACUUGAGAAUUCGAUUAAAAAUCGACUGUUCAACCAUGCUAAUCUACAAAGGUCAAUACGUCACGUUAAAAUUGACUAGAGACCGGAAAUGUGUCGAUUCAACAAAGGCAUGUAAUUAAAUGGUUCGUAGGAGUAAAAUAAUUCUCUCAUUAUUUUACUUAGGUGUCUAAUCGACCUACCAUAAACCGAUUAGUGGCAACUUCUAGAUAAUAAUCAUUUGUAUGUUAAAUAUUUGAACCUUAAGUCAUGAAUUGGUGUGGGGCUUAGGAGAGCCCGAGCUAAGUUUAAGGACUUAGUAGUACAAGAAUCCACUGUGAGACCACUAUUUGGACACAUAGUCCACGUACUGUAAUGCCGAACUUGAACCUGAAGAAAGAGAGGUAGAAGAAAAUUGAUUUGCCUGAUCAUCGGUAAGCUUUUGAUCGUUAUUAUCACAUAACGACCCCCUUGGUUCAGCAUCCAUUGAAGGACAGCGUUUCGUCAACAAUGAGUUUCGAACUGAACUACUUCUUUUCCGGUGGAUUGUCCGAGCCUGCGAAAAAAAAAAUGGAGAAAAAUAAGUACAUACAGAAACCACUAAAAUGUUCUCACGUAGUUCUCAGACCUAAAGUGACAUUUUCACGAUAAUAAUAGUUUCUUUCGCAACAUAAUAUGUAAUCCUCGUUGGACAUUUCUUUAAUGGCACAAACUAGAAAAACGAAAAUAGUGGGAUAACAAACCAAAGCGGUGUAGAAGAGAGCGGACUUCAACAUGCGCGAAAAGCUAUGCUUUCUCGAUCGAGCAUACGGUGGUUUCACGCUUACUCUCUCAUUGUCGUCCUCAUCGAUCAAAAGAUGCAUGAGCUGCUUCCGCCUACGCCUGGGCUCGAGCAUCAUGUCCUCGAUGACGGGCCGUCUAAAGCAAUGCAAGAACUUGAUCCUCGACACAUUCUUCAUGGUCUCUCUCUGACGUUUCAUGCGUUGCAAAUCGCAACCCACGUUUCGGACUCAAUGGAGAAAAGAAACGAGGCAGGAAAAGAUGGGGAGGCCACACGUUAUUUUUGGAUGGCUUCGAGUCGAAAGGCCAUAGAUUUAGUGUAGUUUUGGAUCACUUGUUUUCUUUUCCUUUGGUGCAAGUGUAAGUACAUGAAGACAUCUCUCUUUAUAUAAAUAUUUCUAUUUCCAGAGUGAGAAUUACUAUCGGCUGGUUCAAGGAUUUAAAUGCUCGAAUGAGAAGGUCAGAGAAAAGGGCAAAAGCGGAUAAUGGCUUACUGCCGCCGAUGGACAGACAAGUAGGAGGAGAGGGUAUGACUACGCACGUCUUGGCUUAUGGUUUUAGUGAAGAGAAAUGGCUUUAAAUUUAAUGUUCCUUAUGAUCGUCAAAACAUCUCUAGAUAAUUAAUCUCUGAGUGGGGUAAAAUGUGAUAGUCGUCCUCCAAGGAAUUCUAAACUUAUUCCUUUUGUUUAGGAGUAUCCAAAAAAAUCAACAAUUGCCCAGAAUCAGACCAAACCCACCUAGAACCAACGGUUCUCAUGGGAACCGGUCCGGUUCCAAGGAUGGAACCAUCCACCUAAACUGGACCGGUAUAUAUAUACCAGUCAAGUUUUCUAUCAAUUCUAAAGUCCUAGCCAUGGACUUGCUUCUUUGAUAUCUUAAUGAGGACAAUGAUGCUCUCUUCUUACUGUCCAAAUUGAGACCCAUCUCAACUAUUGUCAUCAUCCUCCCUUCUGUAUCUUUUCCUUCAUUAGGAUCACAUACUAGUUUGGUGUCCAUACAACACACAUUAGAAACAUUUUGGCUUUAUUCCUUCCUCUAGAAGACCGGUUCCAAGGAUCCACCCAAGAACUAGAUUGGUAACCAACGGAUGGUUCUUGGUUCUAGGGGGGGGGGGGGAAUAGCCCACUGCCCAUCUUGGAACCAACCACCCUUGUAUUCAAUUCGAGAAAUGUGUUGCUUCUUCAAAAUCCUAGGGGUGCCUUGCAAAUGCUUGUGCUAAUAAGCAUUUUGCUUGCAUGCUAGCUACAAGCCAAAAGUUCCACCUGCUUACACAAUCACAAGAAAUCGAAUCAUGCCGUUUCAGUGGGUGGAUAAAUGCAAUGGUGGUUUGUGGCCAUUCGAGCAGAGAAACUAUUGUCCGCUUUAGACACUAAGUCCUCACGGUUUUGUUCGAAAACGCAUAUUUACAGUUAACGCACCCUCGUUGUGGCCCCACAUGUUGCGGGAGUCAGCAUUGAUACCACCUGUAAGGACUCGGGCCUCCACUGUACACAUAUUGUCCAUCCGCUUUGGACACUAAAUUCUCAUGGUUUUGUUCUUCUUAGGGCAGUCCAUAUUACCCCAAGAAAACGCGUAUGUACAGUUAGAGGAAACCAAGUCUUAUAAGCUAGCCCAGGACUUCCCCCCUAAGAGAUGUGGGACGGGAGACAUGCCCUUAGCCUCGCCCACGUACUACCGAGGCAAUCUUAGUCCGUCCCUCCGUACUUCCCCGGGUCUAGGUCUCCAUACUGCCCCAGGUCUGGAAGAUGAUAAGGCUGAACAGGUUGAGAUUGUUAUCAGGCCUUGACCUAGUAAAGCAUCUGCUUAUGGAGCCAAUGACUCAAGGAUGAAAAGAAGCCCAGUGCGAAGUGUGGAAGAGAGGAAAGAGGAGUAUGAUAGAGCACGUGCUCGUAUCUUCAGUAGCACAAGUGGUUCUGAUUUAGAUGAUACAUUUUCUCAUACCUCAACUGACCGGAGGAAUAUAUCUUUGAACAGAGAUGAUAAUUGUUGGAAAAAUAUGGCUUCGAAAUGGGUUGAACAAUGAAAUCGGAUCGAGUAAAACAACUCGGACUUUGAGGGGUGAUAUCACUUUCUUUAAGGAUUUAUUUGCCCCACAACGUUGCUAAUGGUCACCGGAAAAAAUCCUCCAGGAUACAACAAAGUCUCGGAUGAGAAUACUAGAUAGCAAUUCUAGUAUUUCUCCAGGGUCUCUCUAGGAAAACAAUCAAAAAAUUGGCUGUAGUUUUUUCAUAAAGAAGACUCGAAAAAUGACCACUUUUUCUUUCCGAAAAAUGACAAGUACAUAUAUGAAACAGUCUUGCAACUCUUCGUGAAAAUUGCCAAAGAAUGAACAAACACAUCUUUUAGAAAAUUGUUCGGAUAAACAAAUGCGACUCUUCGGAAGAAGUCGAAAACUGAACAAUUACAACCUUUCAAAAAAAAUUGCAAAACCGAAUAAGUAAUUUUUUUCCAAAUGUUGUCUUGAAAAGACACAAAUAAAAUUCAGAAUAAUAGUUUUUUUUUUAAAUAGAAUUUCGAAUUUCGAAUUUUCGUUUUAUAUUUCAUUUCCGAAAAUUCUCAAAUUAAAAGGCAACCUUUGAAUUAAAUAAUAAAUAAUAAAUAAAUAGCAAGGGAUUAAUGCUAAUUAAACAGCGGGUGUGCUAAGUGCACCAAAUAAUCGCACACCCACACGCGGGUAUGGUGGGUCUAGCCCCACCCAAUCAUUCCUUUAAUUACAAAAAGGAAUUCCCACAUUUUUAAAUUGACCCAGUUGCUCCCACAUUUUCUAUGUGGGACAAAGUAAAAAGCACUCAUUUUGUUUUAACAAACAAAAUUCCAACAAUAAUGAAGUGUGCAAGAUUCCCAUGGUGGAUGUUGAUAAGAAUACAGGCAUUAGAGAUGGCAGCACACAAUCUAGGGUACCCAUUCUUAGAGAUAGAAAAAGAUCGUUCUGACCUAGAUUAUGAUCGGAGUUAUGAAAGGUAAGGUCUUUUUUGUUCCAUUGAUAUCCUACUUUUGGGUUAAUACCCUAAAAAACCCCAAACUAGUACACUUGUGACAAAUUUACCCCAAAUUAUUUUUUUGACCAUGAAAAACCCCAAAUUGGUACACCUCUGACAAAUUUACCCUGAUUGACUGUUAAAAAUCCUAAACUUGUAUAUUUAUGACAAAUUUACCCCAAACUAAUUUAUUCGGCAAUAAAAAAUCACAAACUGGUAAAUUUAUGACAAAUAUAUCCUCUCCUAAAUUGGAUUAAUACCACAAAAAAAAUUACAAAAAUUGUAAAUUGUGACAAACGGAGCUUAAAAUCCUAAAUUGGUAUAUUAAUUAACUGUCACGUGUCAUUUAACUUAAUAAUUUGAUAGUAAAAUCCUAAAGGUAAGGUCUUUUUUGUUCCAUUGAUAUUCUACUUUUUGAGCGUGAGAUCAAUGUGACUGGAGUUGAUCUCAGCCUCGAUUUAAUCCUUUGAUCAGCUGUUUUACUUCUCAUUCAAAACAAUUUAUCAUAAGAAGCACAGCAAAAGUGGUGACAUAUUUUAGUAUUCAUCACUUUGUUGUGAAAAGCUGUUGAUAAAGUUAUUUACAGGCAUAUGCUGUCAAUUUGAUGUGUAACUGUUACAAUGACACUUGUUUUGCUUAGCCUUCUCCCUUGACCCAAAAAUAUGUUUUUGUGUAGCUGCAACAUGGCAUUAUGCAAUGCUACCUCAAUAUUGGCGUUUUGUUUGAUGAAUUCCGUAUUGGAACAGGUACGUUAGGAAUGUCCCUGCUGGUCAAAGUUUUGGUUUGGUGCCCUUCAACAUGCAAAAGAUUCAACAUCCUUUUGGGCAUUUUGAUGCUGGAUUUACUCCUCUUGGUCAGAUGCCGAUGCCUCAAGCUUCACUUUGUUGGAGAAAUCUUCUUGAAGUGUUUUGAAGUUGACAAAACGUUUCUAUCAGUCUAGUCUGAAGGCUUGCAGACUCUGUUAUUUAAAGUCUGAAGACCUCCGGAUAGCCAGACUCAAGACUCAAAGUCUAUCCUCAUUGACAGUCUCUAAUCCAUUGAAGAAAGGUUAUCCAGAACUGAAUGUUUCGUUAAGGAUUUAACUUUAUCAACUGGAUAAGAUCUCGUGGCUGGAAAAGACAUAACGGAGUCCUUUGAUUGAUCGAAGAUUGACUCGAUAAUUGAAGAUCCGGUGAUUGUCUAAAUAUUAUUGGAAGGUGCUACUUAUGGAUCGAAGAUUGUAUGGGCGAACAGGAUUGAUGGGCUAUCAACACGUUCCUUUAAUAGCUUGAAUAAUCUUCCUAAUUGAUUCCAUCCAACGGGUAGAUUGGAGGAAUUCCUUUGGUAAGUGCCAAUGGGUAUGAUGGCAUAAAGGAGUAUAUAAGGAAGACGGUCUUAGUUGUUCAAGGUGUACGCUAUAGAAGAAUUCCAAAGUCUGAAGCUCCUUUUUGUUUAGACAAUUCAUUUGAGCGAAUACUUGUAUACAAAAGAGAGUCUAUAUUUGUGAGAAAUCUUGAGGAGGUGUGGUAGAACAUCUACACUGUGGAAUCAAGGCAAAGCUGUGCUGUAACUUCUCUUUUGUUCAUAGUGGAAUCUAGCCAAUAGGCUGUCAGUGAAGAAGAGUGGACGUAGGCUUGAUAUAAGCCGAACCACUAUAAACCGCGUGUUCAAUUUUCUCUUCUCUCAGUCUUACUUUGAUUAUCGUUUGUCUAAAAUCCAUCAACUGUCUAGUAUUGUGCGAUUGUUGAAGAAAAAUAUUUUAUAUACCUAUUCACCCCCCUCUAGGUACUCAUACUAGCAAUAUCACACUUAACUAUAUGCCUCCUUCUGGUGCUGUCAUGAACUCUUUUGGAGUGACGGGAUUGAAUCAAAAUACAAGUGAUGCUGGGUACAUGCAAUGGCCUACUGCUGCAAUGAUGUAUGCAUACUCAUAUGAUCAACUCCGGCAUGGUGUUUUCCAAGUAAAAAUAUCCUAUUAAUCUAUCGAUUUUAGUAGCCAUUUGAAGGGAAGCUUAGACUGCAAUGAAUUUACUGUUUCUUAGUCAUAUAAUCAGAUUGAGUUUGUUUUUCAAAGCUUUAUCUUUAUUUUUUUGGGUUCUCUUGGCAAUUCUUUCAUUUCCUACAUUGAUGCCUUGUAAGGACCCAGACUGGACCUCCACUGUACACAUAUUGUCCGCUUUAGACACUGUUGAUGCCUAAAUUUCAUUUUUUUAAUUAAUUAUGUUUUUUAUAUUUAUUUUUUCCUUUUUCGGAUAAUAAAUAAAAAAAAAAGGAAAACAGAAGCAGCAACCAAGGCCUAGCCCCCUUUUCUUUCUUUUUUUCCUCCACGCAGGCCUAGGGCCCGUCCCUCUUUUUCCCAAAUCCGGCCCAGCCCCCUUCUCUUCUUCUUCUUCUUCCUUCUUCCAUCUUCACCUACGCCUCUACAACUCACACACACAGAGGACACCGACGCGCAAAGGACGGCCUACGACCGAGGAGAGUAGGCCGACGUCGGCUGCAGAGGAUAAGAUCUCAAGCACCAUUAAUGCUGAGCGAGCUUCGCUGGAAAGCGUCGGAUGGGACACUGGUUCGGCCGUCGGGGGCCGCUUGGCGCGCGAGGGGGACCGGCGGUCGAAGUUCCGUCGACCGGCCACCCCCUCACCUAUAAAUAGCCCCCAAUGUCGACGACGAAGAAGACACAGACAGAUCGAGAGAGGGAGAGUCGAAUCCAGGGCUUGCAAACCUCGGACCACCCACUGAGAGACUUCAGGGGAGGUCCGAGGUCGAACGGCCAAGGAUCCGAGGCUCGCCAGAGGAGAGGGUAGAGAGAGAGAGGGACGAUUCGAAGUCGCAAGCCUCGGGCACCCCACCGAGAGACUUCAGGGGGGUCCAAGGACUCGCGGCCGCGGAUCUGAGCCUCGCCGGAGGAGGAAGUAGAGAGAGAGAGAGAGAGAGAGAGAGAGAGAGAGAGAGAGAAGCUGAAGGGAAAAGGGGGUUCACGUGGGUAUCGCCGCCCUCGUCACGCCGUUGCCAGGUAGCGUGCUGUCGCCGUCAUCGUCGCCGUCGCCAUUUCCCUCUCUGUAGCCCAGCCCUCGCUGCCGCCGCCGUCGUCGCCGCUACGCCUCAGCCCUCUCCCCCCUCGGCGCCGCGAUUCAGAAACCCUAGGGUUCUCGAUUUUCCGGGUCGUUGGGUCAAAUCCGGGUCGGGAACCGGGUUGGGAUUCCGCGAUUUCGGGGGCGGUGGGAAUCGGGUCGCGAGCCGGAGCUGAGUCCGCGUUCGGGUUGCCGGCCCGAGUCGAACCCAACCUGCAGAUCCAACCUGGGUCGGCCCUUUUUUUAAUUUUAUUUUAAAUAAAUAAUAAAUAAUUUAUUUAUUUUCCAAAAAAAUCAAAAAAUAUAAUUUAUUUUCGAAAAAUUUUAAAAAAUAUUUUAAUUCCCAAAAACCAAAAAAUAUUGAAAAAUAUUAAAAAAUAUUUUAUUUUCCGAAAAAAUCAAAAAAAUCAAAAAUAUUCCAUAUAUCUCCAAAAAAAUGCCAAAAAUCCAAAAAAAACCAAAAAUUCAUGAAAAAACCAAAAAAAUUUAGAAAAAGCCAAAAAGACUUGUAUUUUUCCAAAAUACCAAAAAAAAAUCCAAAAAAAUCCCUUUUGUCCAAAAAAUUAGAAAAAGACUCAAAAAAUGUUUUUCCUCCCAAAAAUGCAUGGAAAAUCCCUCGAGCAUCCAAAAAACCUCAGAGUUUAAACAAGAUUAGGUACCGAAAGGGCAUUAGUGAUUAACUAGUGUAAUCAAGUCCCCGAUCCUAAUUUCUCUGGUUGCGCAGGAGCGAGUAUUUCUCCCAAUAAUUCGCUUAGGUUUCUAAUCGACCCACCCCGAACCAAUUAGUGGUGACUCCGUUUUAAAAUUAAUUUACAAGUUAAAAAUUUAAACUAUUAAAGUCGUGAAUUGGUGGACUUGGGAGAAUCCAGGCAUAACUAAUUUCAGCCGAGCCAUUAGCCUCCGCCGACGCCCGUACCCAAUUGCGGGCGCCGAAAAAAAAAAGAGGUCACGACAGCUUGGCGACUCCGCUGGGGACUUUGAGGACUUAGGCCAUUUUAUCUUUGUUUAAAUGCUUUGCUGACUUGGAUUUUUUUUUUCUUUCUUUUGUGCAGGGUAAUAACUUAAAUUUUUUUAUUCUGUUAAAAUAAAAUGUUUCGUGAUUAUAAACUGUUGUGCAUCCUUAAAUGUUUUAGCACUACACAUGGCACACACAACCCGGCCGCCGGACCUGGGCCACCAUAGGAUAUCUAGGAUGGUGUCAAGAAAGAUACGACCUCGAACGCAAGACUGCGAUGUAGAGGUUGCCUUUCUUUUCCCCGAAUUUCUUAGCCGAAGUUAGGAGGGUAUGCUGCUAACGCGAGACUGCGACGGGCGGAUAUCCUUUUAAUCUCAACAAACCUUCUCAGUUAGAAAUCGAGCCACACGCUCCAUGCGCAUGUCUUUGUGCUUGCCAUUUUUCUUUAAAAGUAAAAUAAUUUCUUUACUUUUACUCAGUCUUUUUAUUUGGCCCAUGGCAAUUUCGGAUAAGCUUUUCAAGUCUCAGUCUAUAUGCAAUGGGAAAGACGAUAUCCAGUUCAUUCCUACUCCCAAUGCAGAGCUCUUCAAAUGGUGGGGUCAAUUAGAUUAGUUUGCCCAAAAGCGUGUGAAGGCCAAAGUCGGUCAUCUCCUAUCGUUGAUCCAAAUCACUGUUCGCCCUGAAGUCAUACAAGCCAUGGCACAUUUCUAGUGCCCGAAGACGGUUACUUUUAUGUUUGGUAGGUUUGAGCUAACCCCAACCCUGGAAGAAUACAGCAUCAUCACUGGAAUGCCUCUUGAGAAAAAGCUUGUCAAGCCAUCAACAGGCAUCAUCCCGCUGCGUGGGUUAGCGCGGCUUUUAAGAACUGAAGUCCAUACUAUGAUAUAAAUUCUUGAAGAUAACCAUAAUACCUGCCCACUAGAAUUUAUGAAUGCAUGUUUCCAAAAUCAGCCUAUGAUCCAAAAAAGUGAAAUUUUCCUCCUGGCAUUUUUCGGACUCAUCAUCUUCCCCCAUCAAAUAAAUGACAUAAGUCCUAAGAUGGCAUGGAUAGUUGAUCAAAUCUUGAGAGGGGGGAAUUAUGUCAACAUGAUUUUAACUGAGACAUUCUUAUCCUUUAAUCGUUUUAAAGACAACACAAAGAAAAUCAUGCGAGCCUCUCCUGAAAUUUUACAAGUCUGGUUCUUUUCUCACCUAAGUGAAUUUCGAGACUUCAUGCGAUCGUCUGAAAUGAAUGCUUUCGAAAACCCAUUACAAAAAUUUAUGGCUUUAGGACCAUACAUUCCCAAUCAAAGCUGUUUAAAUUAGGUAAACUUCCUAAGAGACCUAGCUCCUGAGGCAUUCCAAUGGUGUGCUAGUUGGUUCCAUGAAAAGAGAGCUUGUUUCGCUUACAAGCGUUGUCUCCCAAUUCUGUUGCUCGGCCUCACUGGCGCCGUUCUCUAUUACUCAUAUCGGGUGGCACGACAAUAUGGAGCCCUUCAGGAGAUCCCACCGCCUUUCAAGAGGAUGCUCCCUCCAAUUCUUUUCAACACAAGCCGUGACUACGCAUUCGAAAUUUCUACCGCUGAGGAAACCUGGGACAAGUGCCAUCACAAAAGGAUCGUGGUACCUAAAGGGCUUGAGGAAGAAGAAAAAGUCCACCACACCUCCAUGUCCUACAUCCACAACCAUCGUAUCCCGACAAAAUGGAAGCCAUCAGUCCCUCACUCAAUCAGCGAGAGCAACCAGCACGAGCAAGCAGAGCUCAUGGAGAGGGAUUUGGGAAUGGACUGGAUACACACCUCAGAGCCGGUCCAAGAAAGUAAGCAUCUGCGCAAGCGCAAGACUCCCCGUCGCAUAUAAAUUGGCAAUCAUGUGCCCCUUAGUGUUAAUAGUGUGAAAGUUUUGUCCCAUUGUUUAGAGACUUUUGUUUAAUAUCUAGUAUUUCAUUCUGUCAUUUCAAUUUCAAGUUUUAGAUGUUAGGAGUUGGCAGUCUAUAAAUCCUCUUUUGAUAAAUAAAAAAGCAGUUAGACCAUUGCCAUGUGUCAAUCUUUGUUUACUUUCGUACUCAUUCAUUGUUUUCGCAACGAACAGGUAAUUAUGAAUCGCCGGUCACCAAUAGCUCGCGAAUGGCCUCAUGCACUAGGGCCCGAUAAGAAUGAUGUACAAAAUUGCCUCAUUAACAUUGAAGACGGCGUAGGACAGAUGUCCAUUGUCCUUCGACAACUCUCAAGACAAAUGAACUCUACUCAAGCUGAGCCCAACUCUGUAGUUGCCCUAAACACCAUCAUGAUACCCGCAAAUUUGCCAGAAAAUAGCCAGUACCAUAGACAGUUUGAAAGGAUCAUGAAAAAGUUAAGCCAGCUGCAUGAACAGAAUCCCAUGGACCUGUCCAAGUACGCCGGCAUUGAGAUUCCUGAAGAGCUCAAAGCACCUGAAUGCGAAAGGUAUGUUGAUACCUCCCGCCCAGAGACCUACUUGCAGGCCUACCUGGUCCGAAGGAUGAUUCAAUCGUACCAAUUGAGCUUGACUGGCCCUGCCUUGCGAUGGUACAUUGUCAGGAAGAUUAGUCCCCUUAAAACCUGGAGGGAACUAAUUCAUGUUUUUCACCAAGAGUAUAAUAUUGACAUCACCCCUGACAUCAUCUUGCCCUACGAAGAGUCGAUGAUUGCGAAGCACGAGGAGCCGUUAGUCGCUGAGGUAAGAGAGGAGCAUGUCAAUGAAGCCUUGCAUAAUAAAUGGGUGACUGAGCAGCAUCUUAUUACUAAAAAGUUUCCCAGUAGGAAAGGCAAGGAGCCUUUGUACGAGAUCAAAGACGCAGAGCCUGUUCAAGACCGAGGCACGACAGGACAACUCCCCAAGCUUACUCCAAGAGCUAGGGUCCAAAGAAUACCAACCCCUAUCAACCUGGAAAGUGAAUCAAACAGUGAAACUCUAAUGUCUCUCACUUCCCUUGACAGAAUCGAGCUAGCAAAACGAAGGGCCCUACUCAAAAGAUCUAGACUAGAAGCCAAGAAAAGAAAGCCUAAGCAGAUCAAUGCAGCAUCUGUCGACGAGCCACCGCACCAAAGCUUCGAGCAUUCCCAAGAAUACAGCUUUGAAGGCUACCAUCCCCUAGAGUACAACCCUGAAGACUUCCCGGCCCUAGAAUACAAUCCCAAGGACUUCCAGCGUUAUUUCAACAAUGAAAAUGACGAUUCAUCGUAUAACUAUUUCCUACUCUCAUCCGCGGAUGAAGGCCCGUCAGAAGAGGAAGCAUAUGUCUUUAUCCGCUACGAUCCUAACGAAGUACUAAGCUCGUCCUCUGACCAUGAGGAUAGCUUCAAUACUUCAUCCUCAUUCGGAAAUUUUGACCAAGAAGAAAGUAAUGGGGUAAUCUCGGUAGAAUCCAACUUCCCUGAAAUAGAAAAAUUCACCACUACAACAGAUAUGCAGUGGGAAAACCAGUGGCCUAACCAAGAUACAUCAAGCCUGUCUUGCGCUCAUAGGAUCAUGACUCCUGAAGAGAUGUGGAUACCUAAUCUCCGUAAGUAUAAUAGCAACACUUGUCCAUUGGCUCAUUUGCAAUAUCUCCACGCUGAAAUGAAUCAGUACUAUAGCCCGAUGUCAUUCGCAACUCAGGCCUUUCAAGAAAGUCUUACGGGGUCUGCAUUACAAUGGUUCAUCACAGCAGACAUCUAGCUCAUGAGAGAUUGGAAUGAGCUGUCUUCUGCAUUCCUGCUUCAGUAUCAAAACCAGAUUGGGACCGAAGUGCUUUGUCAGAACUUGGUUCACUUCAGAAGAAGACCAAUGGAGGAUUUCCAAGCGUAUGCAAGGAGGUGGGAGGCUUUUAUGAUGCAAACUUACCAUCAACUGGCCAAAGAAGAAAUGAUAAAACUGUUCAUAGGGGCCUUACCUCGCAAGCAUCGUUGUUGGUUGCAUGGGUUGCACUUCCAUAGCUUUAAUGAAGUGGUCCUCUCAUGCGAAUACUUCGAGUCUACUGGAGGUGAGGAACUCAAAGGCGCUUGAUUUCGGAACUAACACUAUCAAAGCACUCCUUUACACAGGAGUUUUCAUGGGUUUUACUUGUUUUUAUAAUUUCAUGUUUCUUAUCUUGUCUAGUGUGCUACUGUUGUAUUUUCCAUUCCAAGUACUCUAUUGUACAGUUCUAAUAUUUUGUUUUGAGAGCAUGAAGUGGUACUCUAAACCUGCCCAGUGAUGCUAUCCAACCAUGAAAAGAAAAUAUCAUCCAAGGAGAAUACUGAGGGCCGGGCUUCCUCAUGCUUUUUUUUCUCCCCCAAAGACGUAUUUUGAAAAUAAAAAAUAUUUCAUCACUGAAAAGCUUUUGUCAAAACAAGAUGAUAAAUUUAAGUACGUUUGUCUUUCUAACCCUCUCACUUUAUGUUUCAGAACAUCAUCCCCUUUGAUUUAGUGUGACAAAAGGUAUUUGAAACUAGCACAUCGUGUGAACAAAUCAAAUUCAAAAGCACCCUUCCAAGAAAACGGGGGCAAACAGAAAGGAUCAUCACGUUUCAAAAUGGUAAGUCAUAUUCCCUGAACAUAAUGUUGAAAAUGACAUCCUCUCUCUUCCAUCUACAAGAGACGAAGGAUGGGACGUAAUAGGCACAUGCAUAUUAUCAAACUUGAAGCAUGCAUAGCAUGAUAACUCAAGGUAGGAUGUCGCGAGUUCAUUGACGGGACUUCCAGCUUCAACGAGCCAAGAAGCAUAAAGAAGAAAUUUCUUCUCUUCCUUUAAAGUGAUUACUGUCAACAUGAAGAAAAUCUAGACAUUCAAAGCGAUCUAUAGCCCCACACCCUGGACAAUGACUUUGGAAUCUAGAAACUUCACUCCAGACGCAUAUUCUUCCAAGGAGUAAUUGCCAUCAGAAAGCUUGAGAUUUUUGAUCUCAGAUUCCAUAGAAGCUUGAGGUACAUGACUUUUGCCCAAUGAUGCUAUAGUUAAAGACAGAAGAAAAAUUCCACAAAAGGAAGGCGUUGAAGAUGAAUCAACGACCAACAAUCAUGCAUACUGGUCACAAAAGAGGAAGGCCAAUUGAAGGAAAUAUUGAACUAUACCAAGACGAAGAGGCUGUCAUCAGUAUACAGAAACCCUUAGGAAUCAACAAAUACAAACUCUGGGGAAGGGUAAUUUGGUAUCGUUUCCAAUACUCCCACUAUCUGAACCUGCUUUUGACGUAUUUUCCCUAUUUAACAGGGAGCAUCACAACUCAAGAACCAAACUCAAUGGUUAGGUUUGGCAAAUCAAUAUUGGCCAAGCUAGUACGUGGAAAUGACCCACAUCAAAUUCACCUGGCUUCGUGUAAAAAGACAUGUCAUCCAGGAGUCAAUUCAGAGAAUAAUUGACCUAACAAAGCAAGGGACAUAGGACUUCGUGUCCCCCUCUCACUUCAGGUUCACCCAAUCAUCUGCAAACCAGUGAAGGGUAAAGUUGUAUCUCUUCCAGUUAUUCGACUCUUGAAAGAGUUCAUGACUAACACAUUCCCUCUUGUUUGUUGCAGGAUCACCUGACUGUCAAAAACAAAGAUAACAAAUCAAUGAGAAGCAUGUCAGACUCUAAGAGGCUCUCCAAAGAGAAAUGGCAUCCUGAGGGCAAAAAUAGAGAUGCCCGAUCAGAUCUCCAACCCCGGUUGAUCCUUCAUGUGUCAUAUCCCUAAUCACUAGGGAUAUCUAUCGACGCCCAUUUGCGAAUAACCCUUUUGAUAUUCAAAAUUUAACAUAUUUGGAAACACCAUUAUGUUAACUCCUAAAGUUGUCAAUAGAGUCUUUUUUGAGUCAAAACCAUUCACUUGUUUUGAAGAGUUCAAACUCCAUCAUAUUCAAAAUGUUGCAUGUCGUUUCCAGAUGAAUUCUGCAUGAUGAUUUUGCCUGUCUAAAUCACUAAUUCCACUAAGGAUUAUUAGAAUAGACAGCUAAGUGAAGAAUACAAGAUUAAUUGAGCAUGCUGGAUGAGGCGCGUCAGAAUGAUGACAGGCAAGCUAUAUCCUAUACACAGUUCCCCCCAUCUAUACACUUGUGAGAUGAGUGCAGAAGAUUCCGUGACUGCAGGGUAAAGAGUUCUCUCUCGAAUGGUACGAUAACCAAAAUAGUGAGAGGCAUUCCAUCGCUCACCCCAUUGAGCCCCAUACACUGACAAAUUUCUGCUAUACUCCCGUCAAAGAACCACCCCACACUGGGGCAAGUCGAAAGCAAGUCAGCAUCACAAGGUGAGAAAGAGGAUAGAAAUUUUCUUGCUUGCACUUGCAUCAAUCUUCGAGUGUCUUUAUUGCAUAUGAACACUCGCGUUAAUUUAAGUGCCCUAGAGUAAUGAAGAGCAAUUCUUUCUUUACGCACUUGUAUUCAUUGUACAACCCAAGUGAGUCUGUAAUUUUACCCUCACAUCAAGACAAAGCCAAAGUUAUUGCCAUAGCCUGAGCGCCGGUUGAAGAUGAAGACUCAAGAGUCUAAUAACGGUGCUUCGAUUAAACUUGCCUAGGCCAGUUCCUCCGACAACAAGAAAAAAAAAACAAGGGCAUAAAAAAGCAGUGUACCUAGUAAAAGCAAGGUCAAUGCCCAUGAAUGAAGAACUGGAAUAAAAAAAAAUAGGGGCAUUAAAAAAGCAAUAUGCCUGGUAAAAGCAAGGCCAAUGCCCCCCAGUCAAAAAUACAGCCAAGAAAAAGUUGUUGUGGUCCAUAGAACCUCCAUCUGACAAGAAAGACUAGUGACAAAUGCCAAGACAAUCACCAACUCUCACCCUCUUACAUGUGAGCCAAGUCUACGUUACAUCCCCAUUGUAAAAGUCUCUUCAGACUAUGGGCACUUCAAUUAACGUAGGAUUUCAUAUGUAUAUAAGCAUCGCUCGGAGAAGUACGAGCAAGAUUACUCUAUCUCUUUUCGCAGGAUUCUUGACUAAUAAACCCGGAGAUGAUCAUGCAACAUUUUUUCCAUCGGCUUCGACCUUGAUGGUCCCCUCUGAUGAGCCGCUGACCAAGACUUCAUCAUAGUUUCAACAAAGACCUCUCACAUUGGUAAAGUUGUACCGUUUGCGAGAAUACUCGAACCCCUGCUGACAUGAUGACAGUGAGAUAGUGUGGUCCUUAUAAAUCCUGCAUUAAUGGUCAGGAUAGCCUUUUCCAUGAGAGUGAGCGAAAAGUCCCUUCAGACUGAAAGUCCCUCAUCUGGCAUGCUCAAGACAUCUACAUUAUAAAUAAAAGUUGUCUUUCAAAAUCUUCCCCAGUGGAACUCAGAUGAUGCAAAACUAACAAAAUUGUCAUGCAUAAAUCACAUUUGAACUCAUGAAUUUACAGCAUACUGUGCAAAUAGUAGACAUACUCUCAGAGGUCAGAGAUAUUGCUAGGUAAGCAUAUCCCUAUCCCCAUUUGUCUUAAAGUACCUACCGCUGUCCAGGUACUCUCUUCUUGACACUCGACCUAUUCGAGUCGUCCCUUAAGUUUGGGUGCUUGCAACUGUCUAAGUAUCCCCUUGUCUUUAAGUACCCACCACUUGCCGAGUACUCCCUCUUAUUGACACUCGCCAUGUUCGAGUUGUCCCCAGAGUAUUGAUAUUUGCAACUGUCCAGGUAUCCCCCUAUUUUUGAGUGCCUGCCGUUACUCAAGUGCUCUCUCUGUUGACACUCGACCUGUUCGAGUUGUCUUUAAAGUUUGGAUGCCCGUGACUGUCCAAGUAUCCUCUUGUCUUUGAGUACUGGCCACCGUUCGGAUACUCCCUUUCCAUGACAUUCGACCUGUCUGAGUUGUCCUCAAAAUUGUAUCAUUGAAUACUAGUAGCCAUUCAAGUAUUCCAUCACAUUGCGCACUUGUGGUUACCCAGGUAUGCCUUCUUACACUUGGACCAGCCUGAGUGGUCCCAGAUCAUAUCAUUAAAUACUUGUAUUCAUCCAAGUAUUCCAGUACUUUGUACACUUGCGUCUAUCCCGGUGUUCCACCCCUUUUAAGUGCCUGCGGCAAUUCAGGUAAGCCUCAUACCACAUUCAAGUUUAUAAUACCAGGAGGUGAGAGACCUUCACGAAUAUGCGAGGCAUGCCCUCGAUAUUCUCAUUACCAGGAGGUGAGAGACCUUCACGAAUAUCUUAGGUACGCCAUCGAUAUUCCAAAUUACCAGGAGGUGAGAGACCUUCAUGAAUAUCCAAGGUACGUUCUCGAUAUUCCAACUGCCAGGAGGUGAGAGACCUUCACGAAUAUCCCAGGUACGUCCUCGAUAUUCCCCUUUACCAGGAGGUGAGAGACCUUCAUGAAUAUGUGAGGCACAUCCUCAAUAUUCCCAAUUACCAGGAGAUGAGAGACCUUCACGAAUAUGCGAGACCCAUCCUCGAUAUUCCCACUACCAAGAGGUGAGAGACCUUCACGAAUAUGCGAGACCCAUCCUCGAUAUUCCCACUACCAAGAGGUGAGAGACCUUCACGAAUAUCCCAGGUACACCCUCGAUAUUUCCCAAUUGCCAGGAGGUGGGACACCUUCACGAAUAUCCAAGGUAUGUUCUCAAUAUUUCCAAUUAUCAAGUACCCCUUCGAUACUUGUGAAUGUCCAAGUAUCCCCCAAGAAUUCAUACAUGUGAUCAUCCAAGUACCCCUUCAAUGCCUAUGGUCAGCCAAAUACCCAUUUUGACGCCUGCAAAUGCCCAAAUACCCUUCAGGUUAGUACUUGUGAAUAUCCAGGUACUCAUUGAUAUACCUGUGAAUGUCCAGGUAUCUUCCAAAAUCGAUGCCCUGAGAAAGGUCGGCGCAUCCUCCUGAGAAAGGUCGGGUUCCAACUGGUGUUUUCGACAGAAGUCAGACACCCCAAAAAUCGAUACCCUGAGAAAGGUCGGCGCAUCUCCCGAGAAAGGUCGGGUACCAACUAGUGUCUUCGAUAGAAGUCAGACACCCAACAAAUCGAUGCCCUGAUAAAGAUCGGCGCAUCUCCUGAGAAAGGUCGGGUACCAACCGGUGUCCUUGAUUAAGGUCAGGCACCCCCAACAAAUAGAUGCCCUAAGAAAGGUCGGCGCAUCUCCCGUCAAGGCGACCGAAGAAAGGUUUGGGUCCUAGACAAACCAACUUAUUGCUCUAACAAGCGACCGAAGAAAGGUUCGGGUCCUGGAAAAGAAAUUCCCCGUCAAGGCGACCGAAGAAAGGUUUGGGUCCUACACAAACCAACUUAUUGCUCUAACAGGUGACCAAAGAAAGAUUCGGGUCCUGGACAAAUCACUUAUUACUCUAACAGGCGAUUGAAGAAUGGUUCGGGUCCUGGAAAAGCAGCCUCCUCAUAUCACCAGGUAAGAUGACGCCUUGAUACUUGCCAAACUCGGGGUUCACACCCUAUCUCACUCACUCCCGGUAAGUAACUACAGGUAUCUUCUUAUCUGUCUUAGUAUGUGUAAAGUUAUAUUGCUCUUUUUCCAUAGAAUAAUAGAUCCCAAAUAAAAUACAAUCUGCUACGCAUGCAUGGAUAAAAUUUAGGCAUUAGUUUGUCUUUGAAUGCAACCUCUGCGAGCUCACCUUUAAAGAAGGGCAGCUGUUGACGCCUAAAUUUCAUUUUUUUAAUUAAUUAUGUUUUUUAUAUUUAGUUUUGCCUUUUUCGGAUAAUAAAUAAUAUAAAAAAAAAAGGAAAACAGAAGCAGCAACCAAGGCCUAGCCCCCUUUUCUUUCCUUUUUUCCUCCACGCGGGCCUAGGGCCCGUCCCUCAUUUUCCCAAAUCCGGCCCGGCCCCCUUCUCUUCUUCUUCUUCUUCCUUCUUCCAUCUUCACCUACGCCUCUGCAGCUCACGCGCAUAGAGGACACCGACACAUGAAGGACGGCCUACAGCCGAGGAGAGUAGGCCGACGUCGGCCGGAGAGGAUAAGAUCUCAGGCACCAUUUAUGCUAAGCGAGCUUCGCUGGAAAGCGUCGGAUGGGACACCGGUUCGGCCGUCGGGGGCCGCUUGGCGCGCGAGGGGGACCAGCGGUCGAAGUUCCAUCGACCAGCCACCCCCUCGCAUAUAAAUAGCCCUCGAUGUCGACAACGAAGAAGACACAGACAGAUCGAGAGAGGGAGAGUCGAAUCCAGGGCUUGCAAACCUCGGACCACCCACUGAGAGACUUCAAGGGAGGUCCGAGGUCAAACGGCCAAGGAUCCGAGGCUCGCCGGAGGAGAGGGUAGAGAGAGAGGGACGAUUCGAAGUCGCAAGCCUCGAGCACCCCACUGAGAGACUUCAGGGGGGUCCAAGGACUCGCGGCCGCAGAUCCGAGCCUCGUUGGAGGAGGAAGUAGAGAGAGAGAGAGAGAGAGAGAAGCUGAAGGGAAAAGGGGGUUCACGUGGGUAUCGCCGCCCUCAUCGCACCGUUGCCAGGUAGCGUGCUGUCGCCGUCAUCGUCGCCGUCGCCAUUUCCCUCUCUGUAGCCCAGCCCUCGCUGCCGCCGCCGUCGCCGCCGCCAUCGUCGCCGCUGCGCCUCAACCCUCUCCCCCCUCGGCGCCGCGAUUCAGAAACCUUAGGGUUCCUGAUUUUCCGGGUCGCGGCCUCGGGUCGUUGGGUCGAAUUCGGGUCGAGAACCGGGUAGGGAUUCCGCAAUUUCGGGGACAGCGGGAGUCGGGCCGCGAGCCGAAGCCGAGUCGAGUAGGGUUUCGCCAAGGGGAGCGGGUUGUCGGGUCGGGGUCGUCGGGCCGGGCCGGGUGUCCCCGAAUGCCCGGCCACGACACCGUUUCAAUAAAGUAAAAAAAAAAAAAGAAGAAAGAAAAAAGACAAAAAAAUCCGACUCAGGCACGCAUUGCGGGCCCGUCCGCGUUCGGGUUGCCGGCUCGGGUCGAACCCAACCCGCGGAUCUGACCCAGGUCGGCCCUUUUGUUUAAUUUUAUUUUAAAUAAGUAAUAAAUAAAUAAUUUAUUUUCCAAAAAAAUCAAAAAUAUAAUUUAUUUUCGAAAAAUAUUAAAAAUAUUUUAAUUCCCAAAAACCAAAAAAUAUUUAAAAAUAUUUAAAAAUAUUUUAUUUUCCGAAAAAAUAAAAAAAAAUAAAAAAUAUUCCAUAUUUUCCAAAAAAUGCCAAAAAUCCAAAAAAAAAACCAAAAAUUCAUGAAAAAGCCAAAAAAAUUCAGAAAAAGCCAAAAAGACUUGUAUUUUUCCAAAAUACCAAAAAAAAUCCAAAAAAAUCCCUUUUGUCCAAAAAAUUAGAAAAAAACUCAAAAAAUGUUUUUCCUCCCAAAAAUGCAUGGAAAAUCCCUCGAACAUCCAAAAAAUCUCAGGUUUAAACAAGAUUAGGUACCGAAAUGGCAUUAGUGAUUAACUAGUGUAAUCAAGUCCCCGAUCCUAAUUUCUCUAGUUGCGCAAGAGCGAGUAUUUCUCCCGAUACUUCGCUUGGGUUUCUAAUCAACCCACCCCGAACCGAUUAGUGGUGACUCCGUUUUAAAAUUAAUUUACAGGUUAAAAAUUUAAACUAUUAAAGUCGUGAAUUGGUGGACUUGGGAGAGUCCAGGCAUAACUAAUUUCAGCCGAGCCAUUAGCCUCCGCCGGCGCCCGUACCCGAUUGCGGGCGCCAAAAAAAAAAAGAGUUCGCGACAGACACUAAGUGCGUAUGUACAGUUAGAGGGACUCAAGCCUUAUAAGCUAGCCCAGGACUUCUCCCUAAGCGAUGUGGGACGAGAGACAUACCCUUAGCCUCGCCCACGUACUGCACCCUCGCUGUGGCCCCACACACUAUGAGAGUCAACUCUGAUACCACCUGUAAGGACCUAGGCCUCCACUAUACACAUAUUGUCCACUUUGGACAUUAAGUCCUCAUGGUUUUGUUCUUCUCAAGACAACCCAUACUACCCCCAAGAAAACGCGUAUGUACAGUUAGAUGGACCCAAGCCUUAUAAACUAGCCCAGGACUCCCCCCUAAGCAAUGUGGGAUGGGAGACAUGCCCUUAGCCUCGCCCGCAUACUGCCGAGGCGAUCUUAGUCCGUCCCUCCAUACUACCCCGGGUUUGGGUCAUUACAAAAUCUAACGAUUUUGCAUAUAUAACAUCUGCCUUUCCUAUCUACAUGUCGAGCAACCCUCUUGAGUCCACAAUUUAUGCAUCACCCUUUGAGCAUUAUCAUUAGAGUCUUCUAAAGAAAUAAGUCGGCUAAGCCUGUUAAAUGAGUGGGUUGAAUUGAGUCGAAAAAAUGUCUGACCCACUUAACCCGCAUUAACCCAUUUUUAUGCUAUACAAUUUUAGAGUUCUAUACCCAACCCGAUUAACACCUAACAUAUAACCGAUACAAUCCAUAUUACUAAAAAAAUCCAUAACUAACCCAAUUUAUGCAAACUCGUACCCAUUCGCUCAAACAACUUUAAGCCUUUCAUAUGAAUCUAUCAUUUAGAUAAAAUUUUAUAUCAAUUUAAAAAAUAAUAAACCAAAUAAAAAGUCGCCACUCGUUGUCGCUUGCCUAACCAACUCAGCUAACGUUAUCUCUCCUCCGUCCAAGCCCCACGCCGCUACUGUGGAGACCCCAAACAUAGUCGCCUCUCUCGCGCACGCGCGAUAUCGAAUAAGAGGUCGUGAACCUAUGUCUAACUUCACUGAUCAUUGUGGUUGUGGCAUCGCCAUGACCCAAGCCCAUCUAUAUAAUUUCUAUUUUGAAUGCAAUAACAAAGUAACCAAUGACAUUACUCGGUCAUCAUCGUAGCCAUUGUCAGCACAAUCACAUUAAUGUUGUUGGAAACUUUUGUAAAUUAAAAUUUUGAAUCUUAAGGUAAACAUUAAAUUAAGAAAAGAUCUAAAUUGUUUCCACCAAACGAUCUCCAAAGAUUGAUAAAAAUAAAAAUAAAAGUAAAUUAUAUUAAAGUUGCGCUCCAACAUCUCUUUAGAUGUGCAACAAUCUAUGUAAAUCACUGCAGAUAUGUACCGUGGGCCACAAGGGAGUACAACGUGCUUGUUGUUCAUAUUUAUUUGCUUCAGUUUUUGAACAAAAGCAAUCCAACCGAAUAUAUUAACAAAUUUGGACUUGCACUCUAUUCGUGGCCUGGUCUUUGGGCUUUUUUAUGCAAAGAAUGAAGAUGCAUUAUAUUCAGUGAGAUAUUGUUUGAUGCAGUGCAUAUUUUAUUCGGACCUGGAAAAAUGAUAAUAAUCCCCUGUCAAAUUUCAUUAUUUCUAUUGAAAAUCAGCCCAUACACUAGACAUUUUUUAGAUACAAACCAAAUAUCCUCCCAAGCGUACAUUCCUCCCAUCAAUUUUAUGAAAAACUUACAAUAUUUCCCAUCGUAGUUCAUCUCUCCAAGAGCUGCGCGUUUUGCUGAUUUUCCUUUCCAGUUUUCCUUUGAGUCAAGUCUCCAGACCUGUUUUCGUCUUAGAAGUCCAAGCGAGUAGAAACAUGGAUCGUUUAAGCGACCCAUCAUGACCCAUUUUACUAAGUCUUAACCCAUUUUGCCCCCACUUUGUUGCCAAACAACUUACCCAUUCUACAAGGGGCCAUUAAAUGUGAGUUGCAAAAUCAGUUUGUGAUUCAUUUUACCAGCUUUAGUGACCACACGGAUAAUUCUGAUCUAUGACCAAAGAUUUCGAUUUAUGGGUUUAUCAAUAUAGCUUCCUUUAAGACACAAAAUAAAGCAGUUUAACACGAAGUCACUUUUACCGUUUCCUAACUAGUAAGCUGAAGACCCUUUUCUGAUUUUAUUUGUAUCACCUUUUCUAAUGUAUAAAAUAAGUGACAGAAUCAUGUAAUCUCGUGCUGAAGCCAAUGUUUUGCUAUAUCAGGCUCAAUGUUAUAUGAUCCGACAGUGCCUAUAUCAUUGGGCCUCGCUUGGAUUCUGAUUAAUUUAAUACAUUGGCCCAUAGUCCUAAAUGGAUCCUACCAUCGUCAAAGGACGGAAAAAUAAGUGUUUAUUCCCAUGGAUUAAUGAGAUUUAAACAACGAAUUUUGGAACGGGCCAGCAACGACAGCCAUAUUUCUUUAUGACCGAUAUCUAUUGUUUCCACAAAAAAUAAAUAAAUAAAAUAAAAUAAAAUAAAAAUUGAAACCUUUCAAAAUAUCCAAACAUUGAAAAUAUAGAAUCAUAUGGAAUCUUUUCAAAGUAUUUUUGCAUUUAAAGUAAUUUGUUUUCAGUUUGAAAAUAUAGAAGUAGGGUCACGAAGACAAGUUAGAAGUAGGUGAAUAACACCACCAAAUAGCCCCUGCCUUCAUGAUACAAAACUUAAAUUUUGCUAGACUUUCAUCAAAGGUCACUGCAAUUUCCAUCUUGAUAAACCAGAUUGAAAAUGAAAUCGAAGCCGAGCUGCAAUUCUAGUGGUCCACUUGAAAGUGAGGAUAUAUGAUGUCAAGGAUGAUGUGAAGUACUUUCUGCAAGAUAAAAAUACCUUAAAUGAAAAAAAAGAAAUUCAGACGCAAGGGUUAGGACAAAAACAGAAAAUAGGAACUUGCAAAGCAUAUCAGGUUCACCUGUCUGGUCUUCAAUUUCCGUUCGGAAAGAACAAAAAGGAAAGAGAUUUUCCACAAAUAUAGGGUCAAAUUAACCUAAAUCUAUCAUUAGCACCAACCAAAAUUGAUAGUCAAGUGUAGCGAUGAAGCCACCAUAGUAAUGUUCCAAGCAUCAAGAGGACUACAUUGACACUAAUCCUGCAGAGAAAGUUACAUAUGUACGGAAAUUGAUAAAACCGUCAAAGCCUAUAAUGGACGCUACGCCAAGUACCAAUAGCUCCAAAUCCGGGAGGUCUCUUCACGCCAUCACCCGUAGCCAAGGGCCUAGGACCCACCGACACAGUCGAUAAGGCUUUUUUGAUAAAGACAUACAACCAAUGUGAUUCGUAUAUAUAGGGAAUAAAUCAACGCGGUAAUCUAGAGCUUAGUCCCUUGACUAACAAGUCGGUUCAGCAUCUGUGUGGAAUGAGGGCAUUUUGUUGAAGAUACUAACUUCAAGAUUAGCUUAGACAAGAGCAGGAAUAUCAAGAAAAUUGGACCAAGCAUCGUGAAAAGAAAAUCUUGUUGGUUCGGCUUUCCAAUGUAUGAAUGACUUUGACUCUUGGUUUCUUCCUUUGUUGUUGAAUAGAGCAGUUAAAACUGUGUUCUUGCUUUACCAAUGUCCAGUCCGCCUAUGUUUCAAGUCUAGCUUGAUCACUCAACGUACGAUCUUGAGUUGGAGUGCUCACUGCUCAGAUUCAUUGUAUGUUAUUUAGUUGGACCAGUAGCGUCUUCUUCACUCUAGGGUAUGCCCGUACUCGUCCAUUGGUCUCGGCAUUCGAACUUAAAUAAGACCUCUCGUAUGAUGCCGGCCUAAAUGCUUCUAUCUGCGUAUUCCAUGAAAAUGCCCUGGUCUCAGUAAGUUUCCACAUAUUACUCUGCGCGUUUUUUGACUCCUUCUUUGAGAUCUCUUACCUCACCCUCACUCCAAGCACACACAGAUAUAUACUUCCCCUGUGAAUUAUGUUUCUAAACCUGUCCGCUCGAACCUUGUUUGGUACAGCCUGGAUAGCAACAACGGUAGUCCAUGAUCGUUCACACGCCCAAUUUUCUUGCUUUGCUUAUCUCUCUGCACCACCCACCUCCGUCUUGGCUCCAACACCAUCUCCACCAACCAGUCCCUCUCCGGCAACCAAACCUUAAUCUCCUCUAGCCGCUGUUAAAGAGACAGAACAAAGAAGAGUAGAACAGAAGCUGAUAGAAGCAAAGAGGAGUAGAGCAAACUUGAAGAAAAGAUGAAAGAUGAGCUGGCCAACUAUAAAGAAGUUGAAGAAACAUAAGCUGACCUGGUGAUCCGUAGAAAAGCUGAGUUGGCAAUCCUUGUGAAGAAUCUGAAUAUACAAGCUGAUCAAAUGGAGCUGCACGUGUGUCACGUUUAAUCAUUCUGUUACUAAAGUUGUUAUUUCUGGUUUGCCCUUUAGUAUAAAAGGAUUUGAAGAAAACUGUUGUACGAGUAUGAUUCAUUCUGCUGAAAGCUUGAAUUACUCUGUUCUCUGAAUUUCCUCUGUUCUUCUCGAAGUUCUCUCUGUUCUUUUUGUAUCUUUGUUCUUCUUCAUAUAGCAGAACCUUGUAAGAUUGAAUGAGAAGAAAGGUUGAAGGAAAUAUUCAAUUGAUGUAUUGCAACUGAUUGUUCAGCAAUUACAGAAUACAGAAAUCUCUUGAAUACAGGUUCUUCUCUAGAUUCUGUUUCUUCUCAUGGUAUCAGAGCAUGUUUCCUGGGAGUUCUAGAUCUAAUAUGUGUUACUGAAAGUCUGUGUGAAAGAUCACAUGAACAAGACAUUACGAAGAUCUUGUUGAUUUCUCAAUAAGCUGAUUUUCGCAAUUUACUUGAUUGUUCCUCGCAUCUUCAAAGUUUCCUAAAGAAAUAGUAUGGCAACGAGAGUGCAGAAGUAUCCUUUUCCUAUCCAUGUGAAUAUAGCCAACUUUGUUACAAUCAAGUUGAAUGAAGAGAAUUUUCUGUUAUGGCAAGCGCAAUUUAGCAGGUUUAUGAAAAGUCAAGAUUUGAUUGGCUUUAUUAAUGGUGAAACAUUAUCACCUGCUCAAAUGAUGCAAACUGAGAUUGGAGAAGUGAUGAAUCCUGAUCACCUGGAAUGGACAAAAACCGAUCAACUAAUCUCAUCAUGGAUAAGCGGUGCAGUAUCAAAGAAUAUUUUAAGCUUGAUAAUUGGCUUAGAAACUUCAUUCGAGGUAUGGCAGGCUCUUAUAAACCGGUUUACUCAGAAGUCUGUAGCAAAAGAAUUUGAGUUAAGAUGAAAAUUACAGGCUUGUAGGAAGAGAGAUAGACCAUUAAGUGAAUACCUUCGAGAAUUUAAAACUAUCUGUGAUCAAUUGAAUGCAAUUGGAAAGCCUGUUGAUGAUAUAAUCAGGAUGUUUGGCAUACUUGAAGGGUUAGGUUCUGAAUAUGAAACCUUUAGAACAACCAUGUACUGUCUUAAACCCCAGCCAGAGUAUGAUGAGGUUAUCUCCCAACUUGAGAGAUUUGAAACUAGAUUGCAAACAUAUUCUAUGAACCAGUACAAUACUAACCUGGCAUAUUAUGGACAAAGAAAGACUGAAACAGGUCUGCAGAGGUUUAAUUCUAGUAAUCAAGGAGGAAGUAUUCAAGGGGGAUACAACUCUGGCAGAGGACAGUUCAUUAAUAGAAGAGGUCGUGGAAAUAAUUUUACUGGAACAGGAAGGAAUCAAUAGAAUACUCUGAACUUGACAAAGCAAUAUCAGGUCAAUAAGGGUAAUUGGUCUAACCAUGGACAAGGGUUUAGACCAUACACAAACUCUUCUCAGAGAUAUCAAGGUGUUAGAUCCUAUCCACCUCAAGGGUCAAAUGGUGAUAAGCUCGUACAAGAUACAAAGCCAAUGAAUAAUGGUCCUCUGGAAUGUCAAAUCUGUAAGAGAUCAGGUCAUACAGCACUUAGAUGCUGGUAUCGCUUUGAUAAUUCAUAUCAAGCAGAUGAAAUACCAACUGCUCUAGCAGCUAUGCAUAUUGAAGAACCAUAUGGCUCUGAAUGGUAUCCAGACACAUGGGCUACAUCACACAUUACAGCAGAUGCUGGUAUGAUUCAAAACUAUGUUGCAUAUAGUGGUAAUGAUACAAUUAUGAUAGGAGAUGGGUCCUAUUUAUCAAUCUCAUGUAUUGGUAAUGGAACCUUAAAUACAGCAACUAGUAUAUUACCACUAAAUGAUGUUUUAAUAGUCCCUGGUCUUUUAUAUUUGACAAACAUGGGGUAUAUAUGAAGGACAAUUACAAUCAUACAACAGUGAAGCUAGGAAGGAAAAUCAAGGGGCUGUAUCAAGUGGAAUCUAGAGGAACAGAAGCUUUCUUCACUCAGGCUCAACAUGAAGUAGGAGAAGAUGUCUGGCAUCAAAGACUUGCUCAUACCAGCUUAAAAACAGUAAAGAUUCUGCAGAGUCAACAUCUAAUUCAAUAUAAGUCGAAUGCUCCAAGUAUGUGUAGCAGCUGUCAAAUUGCUAAGAGCUCAGCUUUGCCCUUUCCUAUCUCAGAACAUAUCUCUAAUGUUCCUCUAGAAAAGAUACAUUGUGAUGUAUGGGGACCAUCACCAAUUUCAUCUGUUCAGAAGUUUCAUUACUAUGUCAUCUUUGUGGAUGAUUUCUCUCGAUAUAGCUGGAUAUAUCCAAUGAGACAGAAGUCAGAAGUAUAUGACGUGUUUGUUUUGUUUCAAAGACUAGUAGAGAAUCAACUCGAUCACAAGAUCAAAGUGUUUCAAAGUGAUGGAGGAGGAGAAUUCACAAACAUCAAAUUUCAUAAUCAUCUACAACAGUGUGGGAUUAAACAUAACAUCUCUUGUCCUUAUACACCAUAACAAAAUGGUGUCUCCGAGAGGAAGCAUCGACAUGUGGUUGAAUUGGGUCUAGCAAUGCUGUAUCAUGCAAGAGUACCAUUAAAAUACUGGGUAGAUGCCUUCAUGACAGCAGUCUAUGUAAUCAAUAUGCUCCCCACAACAAAACUGAAUAUGAACUCACCUCACUAUAAGCUGUACAAACAGAGACCAAAUUAUGCUCAUCUACGGGUUUUUGGAUCAGCUUGUUAUCCUUGCCUCAGAUCCUAUACAAAGCAUAAAUUUGAUCCAAGGUCUCUCAUGUGUAUAUUUCUUGGAUACAGUGAGAAACAUAAAGGCUACAUGUGUCUUUUGCCUACUAAUGGACGUGUCUAUAUUAGUAGACAUGUAGUUUUUUAUGAAAAAGAAUUGCCCUUUACUCGAAAAACUACUUCUGAAUAUCGACAAGGAUCUGAACUAUACAAGCAUUGGAUAAGAAGUUCAGCAUCUACUACAUCCAAUACUACCAAACAGAUUCAGCCACAAGCCAAUAAAUCAAGUGAAUCUUUGCAGAGUACUAGAUCAAGUCAGAUCACUCCAGAAAUACAGAACAGUGAGAUCAGCAAUGUAAAUCAUGCAGUUAUGCCACAAAUGAACAUAGUACCUAAUGCUGAGCUUCAGAUCACUCCUGAUAAUGCAUUCAAUAAUGUUGAAACACCUCAGAUAUCUCCAGAUAUUGAACAACAAGUGUCUAUCAGUCAGGAAUCUGACUCGACAUCUCCUGCUAACAUAGAACAACCACAAAUUAGUCCUAUAUCAGAAGUCACACAAGGUACAUUAUCUACUCAUCCUAUGCAGACUAGACUAAGAUCUGGGAUUAUUAAAGCAAAUCCCAAAUAUGCAUGUUUGGUUGAAUAUCAGGUUCCAAUUGAACCAAAGUCAGUAAAAUUUGCAUUAGCACACACAGGAUGGUGUCAAGCAAUGCAUGAAGAAAUGGAUGCUUUAUAUCAAAACAAAACCUGGGAGUUAGUCCCUAGAAAUGAUCAAAUGAAUGUUAUUGGCUGCAAAUGGGUGUUUAAAACUAAACUUGCACCAGAUGGCAGUUUAGAUAGACUGAAAGCUCGACUUGUAGCCAAAGGUUUUCAUCAAGAAGAAGGUCUUGAUUUCACAGAAACCUAUAGUCCUGUAGUAAAGCAUGCUACAACCCGAAUAAUUCUCUCAGUAGCAAUGGUAAAACAGUGGCCAAUUCAUCAGUUAGAUGUUAAAAAUGCCUUCUUACAUGGUAACUUGAGUGAAACAGUUUAUAUGGAACAGCCACUAGGUUUUAAAGAAUCACAGAGACCUCAUCAUGUUUGUCUUCUUAGAAAAUCCCUCUAUGGACUUCGACAAGCCCCUCGAGCUUGGUUUGACAAGUUCAGCAGUUUCUUACUAGAAUAUGGGUUAUUUUGUAGCUCAACUGAUCCUUCCUUGUUCAUUCUUCAUGCUGGUAAAGAAACAAUCCUCUUACUACUAUAUGUUGAUGAUAUCCUUUUAACUGGAAGCUCAUCUCAAGUUUUCUCUGGUCUCAUUACUGCUCUAAGUCUUCAGUUUCAUAUGAAGGAUCUUGGUUCACUACACUAUUUCCUUGGCAUUGAAGUUAAGCGUACCCCUGACCAUUUGUUCCUUUGCCAAGCCAAAUAUGCUAUAGAUCUUCUCACCCGAACCCAUAUGCUCGAGUCUAAACCAAUUUCAACUCCCCUUUCAUUAAGACCAACCAUUUUGAUCAAUGACUCUAUGGCCUUGUCAAAUCCUGCUAAGUAUAGAAGCAUUGUUGGUGGCCUCCAAUACCUCACCUUAACUCGGCCAGACAUUGCCUAUGCCACUAAUCUACUCUGCCAGAAAAUGCAGAAACCUACCAUUGCAGAUCUCCAUAGAAUGAAAAGAGUACUGAGAUAUGUUAAAGGUACAAUCCACUUUGGCUUAUUCAUUCAUUCACAAAGCACCAUGCAUCUCUAUGGAUUCUCAGAUGCAGACUGGGCUGGAUGUACUGAAACCAGAAGAUCAACAACUGGAUUUUGCACAUAUCUUGGCUCCAAUCUCAUCUCUUGGGCAGCAAAGAAACAGCCAACAGUUAGUAGGUCUUCUACAGAGGCUGAGUACCGUGCACUUGCAUUGAGUACCGUGCACUUGCAUCAACCACUGCUGAUCUCACUUGGAUCAGCUUUGUCUUACGAGACAUCGGUUGUUCUCUUACUCCUCCAAUUCAUCUAUACUGUGACAAUAAAUCAGCUAUCUCACUCACUGUUAAUCCUGUCUUACAUGCUCGAACAAAACAUAUUGAAGUAGAUUUUCACUUUGUUCGAGAAAAUGUAUCUUCUGGGUCGUUACAUGUAAAAUAUAUUCCCAGUAAUUACCAACUUGCUGAUAUCUUUACAAAACCUUUGUCAAGAAUAGCACAUUCUCAUCUACGAGUCAAAUUGGGAAUUUGUACUCUUCCCAUUCCCAAUUUGAGGGGGAUGUUAAAGAGACAGAACAAAGAAGAGUAGAACAGAAGCUGAUAGAAGCAAAGAGGAGUAGAGCAAACUUGAAGAAAAGAUGAAAGAUGAGCUGGCCAACUAUAAAGAAGUUGAAGAAACAGAAGCUGACCUGGUGAUCCGUAGAAAAGCUGAGUUGGCAAUCCUUGUGAAGAAUCUGAAUAUACAAGCUGAUCAAAUGGAGCUGCACGUGUGUCACGUUUAAUCAUUCUGUUACUAAAGUUGUUAUUUCUGGUUUGCACUUUAGUAUAAAAGGAUUUGAAGAAAACUGUUGUACGAGUAUGAUUCAUUCUGCUGAAAGCUUGAAUUACUCUGUUCUCUGAAUUUCCUCUGUUCUUCUCGAAGUUCUCUCUGUUCUUUCUGUAUCUUUGUUCUUCUUCAUAUAGCAGAACCUUGUAAGAUUGAAUGAGAAGAAAGGUUGAAGGAAAUAUUCAAUUGAUGUAUUGCAACUGAUUGUUCAGCAAUUACAGAAUACAGAAAUCUCUUGAAUACAGGUUCUUCUCUAGAUUCUGUUUCUUCUCAGCCGCAACUUCAAGCUCGGCUUCUUCACACCAGGUAACUCCUCGUACUCCUACAUAGGCAUCUGGUACAACAAAAUCAGCGUGCAAACGGUCGUCUGGGUCUCCAACAGAGACAACCCUGUCACCGAUAGGUACUCCACUGAACUUAAGAUCUCGGGUGGAAAUCUUGUAAUGGUCAACGACUCUGAAGUCCCCGUUUGGUCCACGAAUCUGACUCCUUCAUCUGGGUUGAGCUCCACGGUGGCGGUUCUUGGGGAUGAUGGCAACUUCGCUCUCAAAGACGGGCUGAAUUCUUCCGUGACUCUGUGGCGAGCUUCGAUCACCUGACGCACACGUGGCUUCGGGGUGCGAAAAUGGGAAUCGACAAGCGCACGAGCACGAGUCAGCUAUUGACAUCAUAGAAGAACGCCGAGGAUCCUUCGACAGGUUUGUUCUCUUUCCAGCUCGAGCCAUCUAGUGAGUACUACAUAUGGUGGAAUAGGAAUGAGCAUUACUGGACCACUGGGGUGUGGGACGAAAAUUUUCUCUUUGGUCCCUGAAAUGAGAUUGAACUAUAUUUACGAUUUCAAAGUUGUGGACAACGAGAACGAGAGCUACUUCACCUAAGUGUACACCAAUGCCAACACCAUAUCAAGGUUUGUGAUGGAUUUUCUGGGCAGAACAAGAUGGUGUCCUGGUUGCCUUCUUCACUAGCGUGGAACUUGUUCUGGUCUCAGCCCCAGCAACAAUGCGAGGUGUAGAGACUUUGCGGGCCUUUUGGUGUUUGCAGCGAGGGUACUGACAAUUUCUGCAGCUGCUUGCCAGGGUUUAGCAUCAGCUCUCUGAGUGAUUGGUCUGGCAGCUGCAAGAGGAUUCGGACUUGAAUUGUGCGGCAAAUGCUUCAAAUGCGGAGAAAGACCAUUUCUUGCUAAGGUCGAACAUGAAAUUGCCUGAUGAUCCCCAAUCUUUAGUUGUCCGGAGCAAUCAGGAAUGCCGAGCUGCUUGUUUGAGCAAUUGCUCUUGCACGGCUUAUGCUUUCAAGGAUAAUGCCUGCUCAAGUUGGAUUGGGGAUCUCUUCAAUGCACAACAGCUCGCACAAGGCGAUACCACUGGAAGUAGCUCCUAUCUCGGGCUUGUUGCCUCCACCGUUGAGGAUCCAAGCAAGAAGAGCAAUGUGAGUGCCGUGGUUGCUGGGUCUGUUAGCACCACGAUAGCCAUAUUAGCCAUUGUCUUGUUCGGCGUUUGGAGAUGGAGGAGAAGGGCAAUUGUAACAACAAAGACAGUGGAGGGUUCACUGAUAGCUUUUGUAUACAGGGACUUGCCAGUAGCAACAAAGAAUUUCUCAGAGAAGUUGGGUGGGGGCAGGUUCGGUUCAGAUUUUAAAGGAACAUUCCCGAUUCAAUUCACAUAGUGGUCAAGAAGCUUGAAAGCAUAAGCCAAGGAGAGAAGCAAUUCGGAACAGAAGUAAUCACAAUCGGCACCAUCCAGCAUGUGAAUCUUGUCAGGCUUCGUGGGUUCUGCUCUGAAGGUUACACAAGGCUGUUGGUCUACAAUUUCAUGCCAAAUGGUUCUUUAGACUAUCAUGUCUUUCGUAGAAAGGACUCGAAGACCUUGGAUUGGAAAACGAGGUACCAAAUUGCUUUGGGAACGGCUCGAGGUCUGGCUUAUCUCCAUGAAAAGUGCAGAGACUGCAUCAUAUAUUGUGACAUCAAGCCAGAGAACAUCCUUCUAGAUGCUGAUGUAUGUCCAAAAGUGGCAGAUUUUGGCAUGGCAAAGCUUGUUGGCCGAGAUUUCAGCAGGGUGUUGACAACCAUGAGAGGCACAAGAGGGUAUCUUGCGCCGGAGUGGAUCUCUGGAGUGGCCAUAACAGUAAAAUCUGAUGUUUAUAGCUAUGGGAUGAUGCUUUUUGAGUCCAGAGUGGAUCUCUGGAGUGGCCAUAACAGUAAAAUCUGAUGUUUAUAGCUAUGGGAUGAUGCUUUUUGAGUUUGUGUCGGGAAGGAGGAACUUAGAGCUAUCGAAAAAUGGGGCCAUCAAGUUCUUCCCAACAUGGGCUGCUAGUAAAUUAGCCGAAGGAGGUGACCUGCUUAAUCUUUUGGACCCAAACUUGAUGGCAAAUGCCAAUACUGAAGAGCUAACUAGGAUUAGCAGAGUCGCUUGUCGGUGUGUCCAAGAUGAGGAAACUCACAGGCCAUCGAUGGGGCAGGUUGUUCAAAUACUCGAGGGGGUGUUGGAUGUGAUCCUGCCCAGGAUACCGAGUCCUUCAACUGUUUCUUAGUAAUCAGGAGCAUGGAGUUUUUUUCACUGAGUCGUCAUCGUUGAACCAGAGUUCCCAGAUGAGGAGUAACAACCUAAAAUGCUUCCUUGCAGAAGCAAAAUAGUUCAUCUUCAACAAAGUCCAAGUCUUGAGGAUGAUAAGAUAAGAGCUUAGUACAAGAAGUGCUUCAGUUAGUGCAUAUACUCUUCUACUUUUUCUGUAGUCAACAAAGAAUCUCAGCAUUUGGGGAUUGGCUUUCUUGGGGCUUUUUUCCCUAGCUAUUUUUGUUACAUAUAUACAAGCAAGCUUGGAUGACCGGUUGUAAAGACCCUUCACCUGUAUAAUGAUCUGUUCUCUGCUUUUUGAGAUCCAAGGUGAUAUUGGAAAUUAGCAUCGAAAACUUUCUGAUAAUUUUGGCACUGGAAUUGGGAUCUAACGUAUUGGUAUCUCCUAGCUUGGAUCCCAGCUGGUGCCUCACAUGGUUCUCAAAUCUGCCCCCAUCGCAUGCAAAGCAAGCUGUAAGGCUUGGCAUUUCUAAUUUAUAACUCCUUUUGCUACUUGCUUGGUUUAUACAAUGAGUCAUGGUAUGAAAAUCACCCUUGAAACUACGGCUUGCUAGGACCGGAAUAUUAUAUCAUGAUAAUUUCCAACUGAUCUAUGUAUUACUAGCAGAUCCUAAUGUUGAAGCUGUAGGAUGUUAAUGCCCGCUCCAUUUUUCACAUAGCAUUUAUAUCUCUUCUAAGGUUGAGUUUUUUUAAUCACCUCAUCGCUUUAUGUUUCGAAUAUGAGUACUCGAACCUUUUAGCAAAACUGAUUUAUAACGUGAUGGAUGAGACUUUUGUUGGGUGCUCUUACUCAAUUUAUAAGUUCUGUAAAACCAAAUUCAGUAUCUCAAUGUUACUUGUUAAAAAUCUCUAUUGUUUGUUCUGGUGGGAAAUUGGUUGAGUUUCUCAUUUCAAUCGGGUUGAUUCAAACAGUAUUUUCCAUUGCAAGAGGGGAUUAAAUGCAAGUCCAAGUCCACUUUAAUUUAUCGUUGAAGAAGCCUGUUUUGGAAGGCCUAGCUUUUAUUUUUCAGUUCAUAAUCUAUUCAUAUCAAGGCUAAUCUUGUUCGGCCUUCACAAUACCAUAGUCCCCUCACUUUUGCCAAGCUUCGCCUCAUUUGUUUUUCCUUGUUGCCAUUACACCUUUUUCUUUUCCUUUCUCCUAUACACAAUUCUUUAAAUACUUUCAAUAUGAUGUGUUGUUUUUUUUUUUUUUUGGUAAGGUCGAUAUGAUGUGUUGUUUCACUUUUCUUGUGGUAAUUAUUUUACUCUUAUUGUUGAUCCUUCUCUAGUGAGGAAAAAAUACCAAAAAAGUCAUAAAUAUAUUACAUUGGUACCAAUUUAAUGUUAAACUUUUUCACAUUAGUACUAAUUCAGUCAAUCUGGCCAAUUUUGGUUGGCCAGUGUUGAUGUGCACGUCGACCAAAAUUAGGCUGAUGGACUGAAUUGGUACCAAUAUAAAAAAAAAUUAGGAUUGAAUUGGUCUAAUUAAAAGAUUUAGAACUGAAUUGAUUUCAAUGCAAUAGGUUUAUGACUUUUUUUUUUAUACUUUUCCCUUCUCAGAUGCUAGAGGUGCUAUUAUAAUAUCUUAACUUCCUUUAGCAAUAAAAAGACGUGUAAUCUGCUUAAAUCUUUAUUUAGUUGUGCUUCUACAAAAAUCAACCCUCUCUAUGAUCAUUUAUUUUAAAGUUAUAUCUCAAAUUUGAAUUCGUGAAAGAAAUCUGACUAGAGAUGAAUUGUAAGAAACUAGGUCAAUUAAGGAAAAUCCUAAAGCCGAAUAUUUCUGGACGUCGGUAAAGGAAAUCUAGAUUUCAUAUUUGGCGUCAGAGUCCAAAGUGCAAAUUUGGACCUUAAGUUGCCGAUUCGUUAACUCCAACAAAAGGCCAGAACUUGUAGAUUAUGAAAAUCAAUUUCCGCAUGGGAGUUGGUCAACACAACAACCGAACAAGAAAGAUCGGAGUUGGACUGGGUUUCCUUCUUCAAUCGGUCAACUUGGCUAUUAUAUACGGAAUAACACCUUGAAAAAUCCAAAAUUGACAUAUUUAUAACAAAUUUACCAAAAUCUAAAUUUAUUCAAAUUUGUACACCUACGAUAAAUUCACCUUAAAUAAUUUUUUUAACUAUAAAAAAUCUCAAACUAGCACAUUUGUCACAAAUAGAGAGUAAAAUCCAAAAUUGAUACAACAUUAAUUGUCAAAUGUCAUUCAAUUCAACAAUUUGAUAAUAAAAUUUGAAGGAAAUUAAUGGACGGUAAAUUUGUUACAAGUAUAUCAAAGUUUUAGAUAAAUUUUAUUACUGGUUCACGAUUUAUUAUGAAAUUACCAUAAAUAUAAAUAUACAAUUGUGGAUUGCUCCGUUGGUUAUGAAGAAAUAUUAAAGUGUAGUUCUUAGUGAAUGUCAAGGGAAGUUCUAUAUUUGUUAGUGACGGCCAAUUGGCACUGCAGGUUUGGUAGUGGGUUCUUCACGGAAUAACAUUAAUAGCUUAUGUGUUGGACUCAAUUAAAUCUUGUGAGGAUUUAUUUAAUUCAUUUUUGAGAUUGAGAUAUUAUUUCGUGAAGAAUUGUAAGUUUAAAUACUACGUGAAUUAUUGAGUAUAAUUGGAUCUUGGAAAACAUAAUAAUGUUUGAGUAAUUUGAGUCUGGUUGUACUUUUCAUUGGAUUUGCUCGAUCUAGAGUGAAUUCUUUGCUGCUCUCUCAAUUGACAUAUGUCACAUCAAUAGAAUCAUUUAAAUUUGGUGUCCAAUUUAUUUUCUUAUUUUGUCUAUUUCAUUGUUCGAUCAGUUAGAUUUCACAAUAAUUUAAAAGAUGAAGGCAUUGAUAAAUGGUCUCUCUACUUUUGCUCAACAAUCAAAGUCAUUCUUUUAAUAUAUUUUAAGAAAAAAAUCACAAAAACUCCAUAUUUUGUCGAUUGUGAUAUAUUUACUCUAAACUAUUUUUGGUGACACCAAAAACUCUAAAUUUAUACUUGUAUGACACAUUUAUCCUAAUUUUUUUUCUAUAACACCAAAGUUUUUGGGGUUAAUAUGUCACAUCAUACAAAUUUGAAGUUUUAGGUGGCACAUUAUAUAAGUUUAGAGUAAAUAUGCAAUAUAAGUAUGAAUUUGGAGUUUUUGGUGUCAUAAAAUAAGUUUGGGAUAUAUAUAUCACUCUAAAUAUAAUUUAGAGUUUUCGGUGAUUUUACAUUUCUUUGGAUUUGAAACCGUUCUUGCACUUAAGUGCCAUUGGUCGUCCCUGUGUUGGAACACUAUUAGCUAUUUUUUGGUGUCAAUUUUUAUUUUAUUUGUUGAGGAUUUUUCUUUCUUUCUCCAAAUGUAGGCUGUCUUUCUCCUUUUUAGGUUAUUCAUUUUACGAAAACUAAAACCCACAAAAUAUAUUGCCUACACUAAUGCAAAAACACGAUUAUUUGUAUAGACUCAAGACAAGCAAUUGAGUAGCUAUGGGCAGUGAGCUCUGUGGCUCAUGACUUGAGCAAAUAUGACUGCUACAAGAUCAAAGCUCAUGCGGCAAUGCCAUGAGCUCAAAGAUUAAGUAGCCAUGGCUCAAGCUUUGUGACUCAAAUAGACAUCAUGGCCAUGGCCAUCUGCGAGCUUGAGCUUGAAUAGCCAUGGCCAAUGCUAACUUAGAGUUGGAGCUCAUGGUAAUAGUGGGUCAUAAUGGAGCUCUCUCGUAAUUGUGCCCAUUUUUCUUUUUUAAUGUUUAUGUUGCCUAAUUUAGCACCUGUUUUUCCUAAAAUAAUUAUAUGAGCGGAGUACCACACAAUAGGUAUGCUGGCAUCUUGUUCAUAAAAAUUGAAUGGCAAAGUAUAACGGAAUGAUUAGUGGUGAUACUUCAAGCCACAAAAAAAUCUUAAGCUUUAUCAACUGUGACACAUUUAUUCCAAUUUUUUUUUGUAACAUCAAAAAUCCCAAACUCGUACACGUGUAGUAAUACAUUUAUCCAAAACUUUUUUUUUUUACACCAAAAAACCCAAACUUAUACUUUUGUAACAUCAAAACCCUAAACUUUUGUUUUGUAACAAUAAAAACCCGAGACUAAUAGUCAAGUCACACAUCUACCCCAAAAAUUUGGUGUCAUAGAAAAAAGUUUGAGGUAUUUGGUGUCACAAAAAGAAAAGUUUGAGGUUUUUUAUGUCACAAAACAAAAGUAUGGAGUAAAUGUGUGACACUGCAAUAUUUUGAGAUAAAUGAGUCACAUAGGUAAAAGUUUGAAAUUUUUAAUAUUACAAAAAAAAAAUAGUUUGGGGUAAAUAUUUCACAAUGGUCAUAAUUUAAGGUUUCUUGUGGCUUUUACCAUACUUUUAAAUAGUAGAGAGAUGCUUUAAAAAAAGUAGAGGGGAUUUUGAUUUUCAGGCUAAAAUAUAAGGGCCACCGGUAAAUCGAAUCCAUAAAGAAAGUGGCAUAUGUAUAGGAAUUGAUAAAACAGUAAAAGAUUAUAAUGGACACAUCGCCAAGUACCAUCGCUCCAAGUCCAACCAGAGAGGCCUCUUCACACCAACACGUAUGGCCAUGACAAAGUCUAUAAGGUUUUUCUAGUAAAGGCACACAACCGUGAUGUUACAUAUAUAUAAAUUGGGAAAAAAAAUCAAUGUGUCGCUCUAGAGUUUUCCCUCGACAAACAGGUCAGCUCAGCAUGCGUGGAACAAGCACAUUUUGUUGAAGAUAUUGGCCUCAAGUCUACCUUAGACAAUAGUAGGGACCAUAAGAAUAUUGGACAAUGCUACAUGAAAAUCAAACCUUGUCGGUCCAGCUUUUCAAAUAUAUGAAUGACUUUGACACAUGGAUUUGUUCCUUUGUUGUUGACUGAUGCUGGUAAAACUAUGUUUAAAGUCCUGCUUGAUCACUCAAAUGUUUGAUGUUGAGUUUGAGUGUUCUCAUUGCAUGUUAUUCCAGUGUAUGAUGAGGACAUGUCCAAGUUGCACCACUAGCGUCUUCUUCACUCUGGGAUAUGCUCAUCCUUGUCCACUGGUAUGAUGCCUGCUUAAACGCUUCUAUCUAGGUACUCCAUGACAAUGCGCUAGUCUCAGUUGAAGUUUCCCCACGGCACUUUGCGCGUUUCUUGACCCGUUCUUCUUUGAGAUCUCUUUCCUCACCCUUGCGCCGAGCACAAACGAGUAUAUAUACUUUUCCCUGUGAAUCUUGUUUCUACACAUGUAAUCCUAUAUGGUAAAGCCAUGGAUAGCAAAAACAGUAGUCCAUGGUCGUUCAUACUCCCAAUUUUCUUGCUUUGCUCAUCUCUGUACACCCACCUCUGUCUUGGCACAGACAAACUCGAUGCGAAUUGAUCUAUAUCUGGUAACUCAAACCUUAACCUCCUCGGGUGGCCACUUUACACUUGGCUUCUUCUCGCCGGGUAACUCCACGUACUCCUACAUAGGCAUCUGGUACAACAAAAUCAGCGUGCAAACCGUCGUCUGGGUCGCCAACCGAGACAACCCUAUCACUGACAGGCAAUCCACUGAGCUGAAGGUCUCGGGUGGCAAUCUUGUGAUUCUUAACAACUCCGAAGUCCCCGUUUGGUCCACGAAUCUGACUGCUUCUGCAUCUGGAUCGAGCUCCAUGGUGGCGGUUCUUGAGGACGACGGCAACUUCGCUCUCAAAGCGGCUCCGACUUCUUCCGUGACUCUGUGGCAGAGCUUCGAUUACCCAACGCACACGUGGCUUCCCGGUGCCAAAUUAGGGAUCGACAAGCGCAAAAACAGGAGUCAGCUCUUGACAUCAUGGAAGAACGCUGAGGACCCUUCGACAGGUUUGUUCUCUCUCGGUCUCCAGCCAUCCAGUGAGUGCUACGUAAGGUGGAAUAAGUCUGAGCAUUACUGGAGCAGUGGGGCGUGGGACAAUCAGACGAAAAGUUUCUCUUGGGUCCCUGAAAUGAGAUUGAACUAUAUUUAUGAUUUCAAGUAUGUGGACAAUGAGAACGAGAGCUACUUCACCUAUUCAAUCAAAAGCUCCUUCAACACCAUAUCAAGGUGUGUGAUGGACCUUUCUGGGCAGGUCAAGAUGGUGUCCUGGUUGCCUUCCCAGGUGUGGACCUUGUUCUGGUCUCAGCCCCCGCAACAAUGCAAGGUGUAUAGACUUUGUGGGCCUUUCAGUGUUUGCAGCGAGCAGAGAGAAGAUUCGUGCAGCUGCUUGCAGGGAUUUAGCAUAAGCUCUCCAAUAGAUUGGAAUCGGAGUGAUUGGUCUGGUGGUUGCAAGAGGAAUUCGAACUUAAAUUGUGCAGCGAAUGCGGAGAAAGACCGAUUCUGGCCUAUGUCUAACAUGAAAUUGCAUGAUGCUCCUCAAUCUUUAGUUGCAGGGAGCGAUCAGGAAUGCCGAACUGCUUGUUUGAGCAAUUGCUCUUGCACGGCUUAUGCUUUCGAGGAUAAUGCCUGCUCAAUCUGGAUUGGGGAUCUCUUCAAUGUGGAACAGCUCAAACAAGGCACUACCCCUAGAAGGAGUUUCUACGUCCGGCUUGCUGCCUCCGAAAUUAAGGAUCCCAGCAAGAAGAGUAAUGUAACUGCAACAGUGGCAGGGUCUAUCGGUGCCGUGGUAGCGAUAUUAGCCAUUGUCUCGUUUGCCGUUUGGAGAUGGAGGAGAGGGGCAACUGUAACAACAAAAAUAGUGGAGGGUUCACUGAUAGUCUUUGCAUACCGGGAGUUGCAAGUAGCAACAAAGAAUUUCUCAGAGAAGUUGGGUGGGGGUGGGUUCGGUUCAGUUUUCAAAGGAACAUUACCUGAUUCAAGUCACAUAGCAGUCAAGAAGCUUGAAAGCAUAAGCCAAGGUGAGAAGCAAUUCCGAACGGAAGUAAGCACAAUCAGCACUAUCCAGCAUGUGAAUCUUGUCAGGCUUCGCGGAUUCUGCUCUGAAGGUGACAAGAGGCUGUUGGUCUACGAUUUCAUGCCAAAUGGUUCCUUAGGCUAUCAUCUCUUUCAUAGAAAGGACUCGAAGACCUUGGAUUGGAAAACGAGGUACCAAAUUGCUUUGGGAACAGCUCGAGGUCUGGCUUAUCUCCAUGAGAAGUGCAGAGAUUUCAUCAUACAUUGUGAUAUCAAGCCAGAGAACAUCCUUCUAGAUGCUGAAUUCUGUCCAAAAGUGGCAGAUUUUGGCCUGGCAAAGCCUGUUGGCCGAGAUUUCAGCAGGGUGUUGACAACCAUGAGAGGCACAAGAGGGUAUCUUGCGCCGGAGUGGAUCUCUGGAGUGGCCAUAACAGUAAAAGCUGAUGUUUAUAGCAAUGGGAUGAUGCUUUUUGAGUUUGUGUCGGGAAGGAGGAACUUAGAGCUAUCGGAAAAUGGGGCCAUCGAGUUCUUCCCAACAUGGGCUGCUAGCAAGAUAGCUGAAGGAGGUGACAUGCUUGAUCUUUUGGACCCAGACUUGGAGAAAAACGCUGAUACUGAAGAGCUAAAUAGGAUAUGCAGAGUUGCUUGUUGGUGUUGCUUGUUGGUGUGCCCAAGAUGAGGAAACUCACAGGCCAUCGAUGGGGCUGGUUGUUCGAGUACUCGAGGGGUUGUUGGAUGUGAACCUGCCCAGGAUACCGAGAGCCCUUCAACUACUUCUUGAUAAUCAGGAGCACGUAGUUUUCUUCACUGAGUCGUCAUCAUCGAACCGGAGUUCCCAGAUGAGGAGCAACACCUCAACUGCUUCCUUGCAGAAGCAAAAUAGUUCAUCUUCAACAAAGUCCAAGUCUUGAGGAUGAUAAGAUAAGAGCUUAGUACAAGAAGUGCGUCAGUUAGUGCAUAUACUCUUCUGCUUUUUCUGUAGUCAACAAAGAAUCUCAGCAUUUGGGGAUUGGCUUUCUUGGGGCUUGUUUCUCUAGCUAUUUUUGUUACAUAUAACUACAAGCGAGCUUGGAUGACCGGUUGUAAAGACCCUUCGCUCUGUAUAAUAAUCUGUUCUCUGCUUUUUGAGAUCCAAGGUGAUAUUGGUAAUUAGCAUCGAAAACUUUCUGAUAUUUUUGGCACUGGAAUUGGGAUCUAACAUAUUCGUAUCUCCUAGCUUGGAUCCCAGCUGGUGUUUCACAUAGUUCUCAAAUCUGCCCCCAUCGCAUGCAAAGCAAGCUGUAUGGCUUGACAUUUCUAAGUAAUAACUCCUUUUGCUACUUGCUUGGUUUAUACAAUGAGUCAUGGUAUGAAAACCACCCUUGAAACUACGGAUUGCUAGGACCGGAAUAUUAGAUCAUGAUAAUUUCCAACUGAUCUAUGUAUUACUAGCAGAUCCUAUUGUUGGAGCUGUAGGAUGUUAAUGCCCGCUCCAUUUUUCACAUAGCAUUUAUAUCUCUUCUAAGGUUGAGUUUUUUUUAAUCACCUCAUCGCUUUAUGUUUCGAAUAUGAGUACUCGAACCUCUUUAUAAGUUCUGUAAAACCAAAUUCAGUAUAUCAAUGUUACUAGUUAAAAAUCUCUAGUGUUUGUUCCGGUGGGAAAUUGGUUGAGUUUCUCAUUUCAAUCGGGUUGAUCCAAACAGUAUUUUCCAUUGCAGUGGGUAUUAAAUGCAAGUCCAAGUCCACUUUAAUUUAUCGUUGAAGAAGCCUGUUUUGGAAGGCCUAGCUUUUAUUUUCAGUUCAUAAUCUAUUCAUAUCAAGGCUAAUCUUGUUCGGCCUUCACAGUACCAUAGUCCCCUCACUUUUUCCAAGCUUGCCCUCAUUUGUUUUUCCUUUUUGCCAUUACACCUUUUUCUUUUCCUUUCUCCUAUACGCAAUUCUUUAAAUACUUUCGAUAUGAUGUGUUGUUUCACUUUUCUUGCGCCAAUUAUUUUACUCUUAUCGUUUUUUUUUUCUUUAGUGACCCAGGGAACCUCGUGUGCUGCUUCGCGGCAGAGUAAACCCUGGGGAGGAGUAGAGUUACCACCACCCUUGCUCCCAGUGUAAGUUAGCAUGACGCAGCUGGGAUUCGAACGCUGGACUUUUUGCGAGAGGAACAAACGCUUAAGUCAACUACGCCGCAGCGCUGGGUGGUAUUUUACUCUUAUCGUUGAUCCUUCUCAGGUGUGGAAAAAUACCAAAAAAGUCAUAAAUUUUUUGUAUUGGUACCAAUUUAAUGUUAAACUUUUUUACAUUAGUACCAAUUCAGUCCAUCUAGCCAAUUCUGGCCGGCCAAUGUUGAUGUGCACGUCGGCCAAAAUUGGGUUGAUAGACUAAAUUAGUACCAAUGUGAAAAAACUUAGGAUUGAAUAGGUUUAAUUGAAAGAUUUAGAACUGAAUUGGUACCAAUGCAAUAAGUUUAUGACUUUUUUGAUACUUUUCCCUUCUCAAGUGCUAGAGGUGUUAUUAUAAUGUUUAACUUCCUUUGGCAAUAAAAAGACGGUGUAAUCUGCUUAAAUCUUUAUUUAGUUGUGCUUCUACAAAAAUCAACCCUCUCUAUGAUUAUUAUUUUUUUUUUUUGGCAAAAAACCCUCUCUAUGAUUAUUUAUGUUAAAAUUAUAUCUCAAAUUUGAAUUCAUGAAAGAAAUCCGACUAGAGAUGAAUUGUAAGAAACUAGGUCAAUUAAGGAAAAUCCUAAAGCCGAAUAUUUAAGGACGUCGGUAAUGGAAAUCUAGAUUUCAUAUUUGGUGUGAGAGUCCAAAGUGCAGAUUUGGACCUUAAGUUGCCGAUUCACUAACUCCAACAAAAGGCCAGAACUUGUAGAUUACGAAAAUCAAUUUCCACAUGGGAGUCGGUCAACAUAACAACCGAACAAGAAAGAUCGGAGUUGGACUGGGUUUCCUUCUUCAAUCGGUCAACUUGGCUAUUAUAUACGGAAUAACACCUUGAAAAAUCCAAAAUUGACAUUUAUAGUAUCAGAGCCAGUGGGAAUGUAUAGAUAGUCUUUGUACAUACUCAUAGAUCGAGAGCCAUUCGUUGGCAUCCUUCUUGUUUCUACAGAGUGGUCCAGGCCGUAAAUCCCUGAGUGGCUGUUAGACCGGCUCUGUAACGGUUUUGAAGAAGGGAUAGUUCCGAUCUUAAGUAUGAGCUUACAUAGAAGAUCUACAUCUUCCUCUAGUUCUCUAUCACAUAUGGACUCAGAUCCAAGUCCUAUACAUAGAGAAGAAGUAAGGAUAGAAGAUUUCAACAAAUCUAUAGAAAAUUGGGAAAUUCCUAAAAUACAGCUUAAGGAAAUAUACAAACAAUCAAAAUUGAAAUUUUUCAAAAAAUCAGACUAUGUCAUAACCACUGAAGAAAGAGAUGUUCCUUUUUUCUAAUUCUUAUGAAAAAUACAUCUUUUAAAUAAAGAGUCCAUCCAAAAGCAUAAACAAAAAUACAAUUACAUUCAUAUAGGACUAGUCCAAGUAGGAAUUAAACCUCUUACAAAAUAAGGUCUUAAUGCAUCCAUUCUCUUAGUUUUGCGAGAUUCACGUCUCUUGAACUAUGAUGAAUCCAUCCUUGGUACAGUAGAGACAAGUCUCUACAAAGGACCAAUACAUUUUGAUUGUUAUCCCAAUUUCUCAGUUUAUCUUAAGGAUAAAAAUAUUCUUAAAGCUCUCACACUCCAAAUCAAAACCCAUAAUUACAAAGUAGCAGAUAGAUCCAUUCCUCUAGCUCUUGUCUAUAGAAUCCAUUAUAAAGCCAUGUCCUCCGCCUUUGGAGAAAAUGCUUUUAAACAUAGUCCAAGAGGAGAAACACUUCUCCUCCAGACCGACAUUUCUAGAGCUAAUACAACCAUUCCUAGAUCCAUUAAUUGGAACCAAGUCACUUUACCAGAACAAUGGGAAUUAGAAAACCAAAUUCCUGAAUAGGUUGUUCAAAAUACUAGUCCGACUAAUGUCAUCCAACAUCCAAAAGGAAGAGUGACCAUUAGAUUUCCUAGAAGAUCAUUUGAUUCUAGAUCUAGUCCUUCUUUUCAUACUUCUUAUACAAGGUCGAUAGAUCUUAAUCCCAAUCUUCCGCAUAUAAUCACUAUCCCUCCAAGUACGCAUAGAGACACUCCUCCUCCUAGUAUGCAUAGAGACACCCCCACACGCGAUACAACACAUUUACCUCCUUCCACCAGUAGAAGUAAUCAUGAGACACCACUUGAACCAGAAAUUAGUGGUUUAGAUAAUAUAUCAGGGAUUUCUAGGCCAGUUUACCAACAAAACCAGCCUGAACCAGUCCUAGAAAAUACAAAUUCUCCUCAUUAUUCUCCUACUUAUUCGCAAAUGAUAGAUGCCGAGCUUAAUGUUUUAGAAAAACAUUUUGAACCAAACAAAUUUUUUCUUAAUAAAGAAUUUAAUUCUGAAAACAACAGACAAGUCAGAAAGUGGUUCUUCAAAAUCUUUGCUGAUAAAGCAAAAGACAUCAAACAAAAAUAUUACAACUACGUAUAUGAAUAUGAAGUCCAUAUAUUUUUCUUUGAUUGGUUAGAAGAACAAUUCCUCGAACCAAAAAAAAUAAUUGUUUUAGAUCAUCAUUAUAAGUGGAAACUUGAUAAUGGGGAAAUCAUAGAAUCCAACCAUCCUCCCCUUAGGAGAAUAAAAAUACAACAUGGAGAUAGUGAGGUUACAGCUACACCAUUUAGGCUUCCAGACAAAGGAGACUCUCUUUUCACUCACAAAGUUAUUGAACAAAACAAUUAUACUAAUCAACAUCUGGCAACCAUAGGAAAACAGUUGAAUAGGAUAGAAUCUACCAUCCAGAAUCCUACUCAACUCAUCACACCACAAAUUGAUACACUCAAAAAACCCAUUUUUAAAGCCUUUGAAUUUUUAAAAAAACUUUAGUCCGGAGUUUGCCAAAGCCAUAGAACAAAAUAAAAAACUCCUAAGGAAAUCAACGCUAGAACCUGCUCCUAUACUAGACACUCCUAAAUUCCAAGGACUAAUUAUUAAAGACACCAUGGACGAACCUACUAUUAGCACCCUGACCAAACCCUCUAGUGACUUUGAUAAUGAAUCAGUCUUGCUGAGGUAAACAGACUCAAUUGGAAACAACCCCAAAAACUUUAUUAUAAUAGAGCUACCCCACCUGACAUCGCCCAAGAAGAAUCAUCACAAAAAAUACAGAAUAAAUACUCUCCUGAUGCCAUUUAUGAAUGAAAUAUAGAUGGUAUUGCCGAAAGCAAUAUCAUGAAUAUUUUGAAUAACAUGGCAAUGCUUGCCAAUGCCUACAAAACACAGCAAGAUGUUCUAAUCAUGUUGUUGCUAAUCUUUUAGCAGCCGAAUUUACUAAACAACUAAAAGGUUGGUGGGAUAAAUAUUUGACCGAUGAAUAAAGAAUAUAAAUUUUAACUGCCUAUAAAAUCGAUGACUUUGGCCAACACAUGGAUGAUGAUCAAGGACAUCUCAUCUAAGAUGUAGUGAAUACUCUUAUCUAUUUCAUUUCACAACACUUCAUAGGAGACCCUUCACAUAUUAGAGAUAGGAACCAAGAUCUCUUAUCCAAUAUGCGCUGCAAAUCCUUAGGGAGAUUUAGAGAAUACAAAAAACUCUUCCUUCAAAGGAUUCUUAUUAGACCUGAUUGCAGUCAACCCUUUUGGAAAGAAAAAAUUUUAGCAAGUUUACCCCAAAUUAUAGGUGACCAAGUUAGAGAUAAAAUUAGAGAAGAAUACAAUGGCCAAAUACCUUAUGAUCUUCUUUCUUAUGGAGAAAUAGUCUCUUAUGUUUACAGGCAAGGAACACAAAUGUGUAAUACUAUCAAAUUAUAUAGAUAACUCAAGGAAGAACAAUCUCUCACCAAUAGAAGUCUAGGAGAUUUUUGUGCUCAAUACGAUCCCUCUUAUAAUGAAAAAAACAAAACCAAAAUGUAAGGAAACUUAUCAUUCUAAGAAAGAAACAAAGAAACAUCAGAACAAAUCUCAACCUCGUAGGAAUAAACAAAGACACCAAAAUAACCAAAAUAGACCUCAUACUGAUAGGAAAAAUUUUAAAGACAUUAAAUGCUAUUCUUGUGGUAGAAAAGGUCAUAUUUCAAAAUAUUGUAGGAUUAAUAUAAAAUUAAAUGAACUCUCUUUUGAUGACAAUACUCUUAACCAGUUAAACAACAUCUUCAUAGAAAAUGGUGAUACUUCUUCUGAUGAACUUCUUGAGGAAGAAGGUCUUCAGAUUAAUGAAAUAGAUUCCUCUUCUGACACUGAUUAUGAAAAUGCCUCUCCAGAAAAACCUGUUCCUGAAAUAAACAUGUUAACAAAAGAAGAAGAAUUUCUCCUUAGCACUGCUGAUAAGAUCACUGACCCAGAAGCCAAGAAAGAAUACCUAGAUAGACUACAUUCUUCCUUGAAUAUUACCUCCAACCCCAAUACUUCCUACAGUUUAAAAGACAUUUUGAAUCGAAACAAAAAACCUCAAUCCAGACAUGUUAAUAUAAAUGACCUUCAAAAUGAAAUAAAACAACAAAAAUUAGAAAUUCAAGCCUUGAAAGCAAUACAGUUAGAAAUGAAACAAAAGAUUUCUGACAUAAAAUCCAUUGUCAUAAAAGGUAAGACAAAAUUAGAAGACCAAAACAAAAUCACCAAUACUUCAUAUACGUUGGAUCUAGCCUUUCUUAUGUUAUUAACAGAAAGAACAUCUAGAAAAUGGAUAAUAAAUAUUUUGAUAAAAAUCAACAAUGAUUUUAUUAUUGAAACAACAACACUCUUUGAUACAGGAGCUAAUCUCAAUUGUAUCAAAGAAGGCCUUGUUCCAACAAUAUACUUUGGUAAAACUUCCAAAUCUUUAAAAUCAACCUCAAGAGAUAAACUUAAUAUCCAAUACAAAUUACCAGAAGCCUUAAUAAUAAAAGAUCAAAUGUUUUACAAAACAUCUUUUCUUUUAGUAAAAAAUAUGAGGCAACAGGUAAUUCUUGGAACACAUUUCAUACAAUUAAUCCAACAUUUUACAGUUACUAACGAAGGUAUUGAAACCCAUGCUCUAAACAGAAAAAUCACCUUCAACUUCAUAACAAAACCACAGAAGAGAAGCCUAAAUAUUUUACAAGAACAUUCUAUUUCAGAAAUAAAUUGCCUUAUAAAAGACAAAUAAAACCAACUUGAAUUCUUAAAAGAAGAUUUAGAAUUCAAAAGAAUAGAAGAAAAUCUUAUAAAACCAAACAUCAUAGAAAAGAUAGCUUCCCUACAAAAACACAUAGAAAAGACUAUAUGCUCUACUCUACCCAAUGCCUUUUGGGAAAGAAAGAAGUAUAUCGUUGAUUUACUUUAUGAACAAGAUUUUUCUGAAAACAAAAUACCUACCAAAGCUUGCCCAACACAAAUGAAUCAAGAAGUUUUGAAAUUCUGUCAAGCAGAAAUACAAGAUCUCUUGAAUAAAAAAAUUAUAAGAAAAAGCCAAUCACCAUGGAGUUGUUAUGCUUUUUAUGUCAAUAAAAACGCUGAACUAGAAAGAGUUCCCAGGUUAGUUAUUAAUUAUAAAUCUCUUAAUACAACCCUUAGGUGGAUAAGAUAUCCUAUACCCAAUAAAAAAGAUUUGCUAAACAGACUUCGUAGAUCAAAAAUAUUUUCAAAAUUUGACAUGAAGUCAGGAUUUUGGCAAAUACAGGUUAGUAAAAAGGAUAAAUACAAGACAGCCUUUACAGUUUCUUUUGGCCAAUAUGAAUGGAAUGUUAUGCCAUUCGGCCUCAACAAUGCCCCUUUAGAAUUCCAAAGAAUUAUGAACGAGGUUUUCAAUCCUUAUUCAGAUUACAUCAUAGUUUAUAUAGAUGAUGUUCUAGUAUUCUUUUCCAAUAUAGAACAGCAUUUCAAACAUUUAGCUACUUUCAUAAAAAUAAUCAUACAAAACGGUCUUGUAGUCUCUCCUACUAAAAUUGCACUCUUCAAAACCAAGAUUAGAUUCUUAGGUCAUUACAUUCAUUUAAGCACCAUCACUCCUAUAGAAAGAUCAAUCUCUUUUACUGAUAAAUUCCUAGAUGAGAUUAAAGACAAAACUCAAUUACAAAGGUUUUUGGGUAGUCUCAAUUAUAUUUUAGAUUUCUUUCCCAAUAUAAAUAUUCUUUGUUAACCUUUACAUAAAAGGUUAAGUAAGGAUCUUUACCAAAAAAAAGGUUAAGUAAGGAUCCUCCACCCUGGACCUCUGUCCAUACAGACAUUGUCAAACAAAUAAAAAUGCAUGUGAAAGAUAUACUAUGCUUACACCUUGCUAACCCUUCCACUUUCAAAAUAGUUGAAACAAAUGCUUCAGAAUUAGGAUAUGGUGGCAUUCUCAAACAAGUUAAUAAUAACAAAGAACAAGUUGUUCAGUUUAUAUCAAAAUAAUGGAAUUCCACUCAACAAAAUUAUUCGACAAUCAAAAAAGAAAUGCUUGCUAUAGUUUUGUCUAUAUCAAAAUUCCAAUGAGAUUUAUUAAAUCGAAAAUUUCUCUUGAGAAUUGAUUGCAAAUCAGCCAAAGACGUUUUACAAAAAGACGUUUUAAAUAUUGCAUCAAAACAGAUUUUUGCCAGAUGGCAAGCCAUACUUUCAGUAUUCGAUUUCGAAAUUGAAUUUAUAAAUGGUUCUUCAAAUUUAUUACCUGAUUUUCUCACAAGAGAAUUUUUACAGGGGAUACAAUCAUGCCAAGAUCCAAAAAAGACAAAGGCAAAGGCAAAGCCAUUGCCAAAACCUCCUCCAAUACACCACCAAAGCCAACAGGUUUGACAAACAUCAAGACAUGGCUCCAAAUGGCAGAAAAUAACCAGACAUUCUACAAUAACACCAAACACCUUUGAAAAUAGAACCCAUAUCAUCUGAACCCAUGAUAACCUUUAAUCAGCUAGCAAACAUACUACCAAAAGAAACAAUUUGUUACUUGCCCAGUCUUUACAAAAAAAACAGUAAAGAAAGAACCAUCUAGUACCAUCGAGGUAAGCAACAAUCCUUCUCCACUUACUACACAAAAACAAGUGGAAAACAAAAGAAUUUCGAAUGAGGUGGUCAUUAGGCCACAGGCAACCCCUUAUUCUCAAAGAUCAAAAUUUUUCCCCAAAAGAUCUUUUCAAAAAAUACUGACUGUAGAAGAUGGAUUUAACGAUGAAAAUCCAAACAAAUUCGCAAAAAACAUCUUCCCAAAAAACUGGUUUUUCAAACCACACAAUGCAAACAAAACUCUUGCUUAUUGUGAGCAAAUCUUAGUGAAGACAGAAUUAGUAAGGUUUACUCACUUUGCUGACAAAAACAAUACAGAAAACAUUCUAUACUCCACUAUAUCCAUCAGUAAAGUCAUUCACCCCUUACACCGAUGAUAUUCACCUCAUACACCCAAAAAAUUCCAAACUAGACUUACCCAAAUCCUACCAUAUUCCUCCUCGUAUACCUACUGGGACUACCAACAAGCCUGGUGAAAUGUCUUCUAUAGACAAAAUACAAAUUUCCAGCAUACCUGUCUAGUAUUCUUCAAAAACAACUUCCCAAGACAAAGCCUACCAAAUUGGUUCAGCUCCUGGUGGGAGUUCUUUGAUCCUUUGGACAUCAUACUACACCCCACAGUCAAUCAAGGAUACCAAACAUUUUGUAAACAUUUUGUACCAAAUCAACAUGAUUCAAGGUUUCAAUGCCUUAUGCAUUUCUUCAUAAUAUUUAAAAUAUCAUGGGUAACAGCUUGGGAGUUUGAAUAUAUUACAUCCAUCGAUUUAAUACCAAUUCUCGUCCAAAAAUACAAGACCAAAUGAUGGGAUGGAUUCAAUAGACAUGAACAAGGAUCUGAGACUGUGGUUAUGACAUGGCUAAAUAGCCAGAAAAAUCAAACAACCACAGUCCCAUCAAAUACAUAUUUUUUACAAGAAAAAUCCAAGUGUAGCACUGGCUGCAGUCCAGAGCAAGGAGGAAUACCACAACAUCCUCAGAACAAUGCUUUCUAAAGCGGAAGGAUCACAAUGUGGAUCUUUCAAAUCUCAAGACAAUCCAGACGGAUUCUCAUAGUCACAUUACAGUGGAAACACCAGUGAAGACGACUGCUACGAGAUCAACAUAGACAGAGAUUAAAAUUAAAGACAUCACAUGCCGGCACUGUUACAGCGGCGCAAAUGCUAUACACUGUAGCAAGAUAGGCAUACACUGUUCAUACAUUGUUCACUAUUCACUAUUUACUUUAUACUGUUCACUCAAUACUGUUCACUUUACACUGUUCAGCAUUGUAGCACUUUUACUGUAGCACCCAUUAUAAAUACACCCUCUCGACACAAGAGGAAGGGACUCGAAAUUUUCCAGAUUUCUCUCCUUUUCCUUCCUCUCUCACUUGUAAACCAUCAUCUCUUCCAUCUUCACCCUCAUCUCUUCCAUCUCCAAGCUCUCUUACCUUGUAUCCCUUGGUUUCAAAGUAAGUUAGGUUUUCAUAUACAUAGUUUUAUACAAGGUUACCAACUUACAUGAUAGUUGGUUAAUCAUUUCUUGUAAUACAAACAUCAAUACUCCCUGGAGUGUGGAUUACCGCCCUAGUGAAUGACUUGAUACUUUAGUUUCUGCAUCCUUCAAUACAUGUAAUUUCAGCUUUUCAGCUUUAUAUAAUACAAGUUCAUACCACCUUCAUGGUUGGUUUUUGUUCAUGCAUACUCUUACUUUAUAUUUUAUAUAUUGCCUUUGGUCUUUACAUUAUUUUUAAUUCUCACAAUUUUAUUUAAGUUUUUAUACAUUCUUCAUACAUUCUCUGUUUUUAUAGAUCUGUUAAUCUCUUAUACUUCCUUGUUCUCUCAUAUAAUACUCCGAUCAUAACAAAUUUACCAAAAUCUAAAUUUUUGACCAUAAAAAAUUCAAAUUUGUACACCUAUGAUAAAUUUACCUUAAAGAAAUUUUUUAACCAUAAAAAAUCCUAAACUAGCAUGUCCUUCGUAAAUAGAGAGUAAAAUCCCAAACUGAUACAACAUUAAUUGACAAAUGUCAUUCAAUUUAACAAUUUGAUGAUAAAAUUUGAAGGAAAUUAAUGGAGGGUAAAUUUGUUAUAAGUAUAUCAAAGUUUUAGAUAAAUUUAUUACAAGUGAACCGGUUCAUGAUUUAUUAUGAAAUUACCCUAUUCAUAAAUAUACAAUUGUGGAUUGCUCGUUGGUUAUGAAGAAAUAUUAAAGUGUAGUUUUUAGUGAAUGUCAAGGGAAGUUCUAUAUUCGUUAGUGACGGCCAAUUGGCACUGGAGGUUUGUGAUGUGGACAUCGAGUCAUAUCGAGGAGGAGGUGCUAGGGACCCAUUGUCUAUUCCUACUGGUUCGAUUACUCGAGCGCGGGCCAAACAAUUCAAGCAAGCUGUUGGCGUCAUGGUUCGUGAUCUUUGGCGUGAAGAUGACCUUGGAUCAAAUCUUGAAGAAUCUUGGAAAUCUUGGUGCAAUUUAAUUAUCUUGUCACCAAAUAAUUGACCAAGUCAAUUUAUAUAUAUAUUCUUGUUUAAGAAUAUUCUAAAAUAGGAAUAUUUUAGAAUAUAUCGCAUUAGAUUUUUAGGGUUGGUUUUUAGGGUUUGUGUGGCAGCCUAUAUAAAGGAUUUGCCAAAUUUCUUUGAGGACGGAAGAUAUUUUUAUGUUUGAGGAAAAGAAUUGAGAGGUUCUCUUUUUACUGUUCUUUUGAGGACUUGACCUAAUCAAGAUUCUCUUGUGGCGGUCAAUUUGACUUAUCAAGCGAGAUAGCGAAUUCUUUCGCUCGUGGCGUCUAUAACGUUGGUUGGUUGACACGUGUUCGUCAACAGGUCACGUUCAUACCGAGGUUGCCAAUCACGGGUUUGAUUGGAGGUCGAGGUUUGCAAUUCGCACCAUCUGGGCCUUCGUAGAACGAUCCUUCCGCAACGAUUCACAUCAGUUUGGUAGUGGGUUCUUCAUGGAAUAACAUUAAUAGCUUAUGUGUUGGACUCAAUUAAAUCUUGUGAGGAUCUAUUUAAUUCCUUUUUGAGACUGAGAGAUUAUUUCGUGAGGAAUUAUAAGACUAAAUACUACAUGAAUUAUUGAGCAUAAUUGGAGAUUGGAAAACAUGAGAGUGUUUGAGUAACUUUGAGUUUGGUUGUAAUUUUCAUUGAAUUGCUUGAUCAAGAGUGGAAUUCUUUGCUGCUCUCUCCAUGGACAUAUGUCACAUCAACAAAAUUAUUUAAAUUUGGUGUCCAGUUUAUUUUCUUAUUUUGUUUAUUUUAUUGUUCGAUUAGUUAGAUUCCACAAUAAUUUAAAAGAUCAAGGCAUUGAUAAACAGUCUCUCUACUUUUGCUCAACAAUCAAACUCAUUCUUUUAAUUUCUUUUGAGGAAAAAAAUCACAAAAACUCCAAAUUUUGUCGACUAUGAUACAUUUACUCUAAACUAUUUUUAGUGACACCAAAAACUCUAAAUUUAUACUCGUGUGACACAUUUACCCUAAAAAAAAAAUUCUAUAACACCAAAUUUUUUGGGGUUAAUAUGUCACAUCAUACAAAUUUGAAGUUUUAGGUGGCACAUUAUAUAAGUUUAGAGUAAAUAUGCAAAAUAAGUAUGAAUUUGGAGUUUUUGGUGUCAUAAAAUAAGUUUGGAAUAAAUAUAUCACAAUAAAUAUAAUUUAGAGUUUUCGGUGAUUUUACAUUUCUUUUUAUUCGAAACCGUUCUUGCACUUAAGUGCCAUUGGUUGUCGUUGUGUUGGAACACUAUUACCUAUUUUCUGACUUGAAUUUUUAUUUUAUUUGUUGAGGAUUUUUAUUUCUUCCUCCAAAUGUAGCCUGUCUCUCCUUUUAAGGUCCUUCAUUUUACAAAAACAAAAACCCACAAAAUAUAUUGCCUAUACUAAUGCAAAAACACUACUAUUUGUAUCGACUCACAACAAACAAUUGAUUAGCUAUGGGUCGUGAGCUCCGUGGCUCAUGAAUUGAGCAAAUAUGACUGCUACAAGAUCAAAGCUCAUGCGCAACGCCACGAGCUCAAAGAUUAAGUAGCCAUGGCUCAAGCUUUGUGACUCAAAUAGACAUCGUGCCCAUGGCCAUCUGCGAGCUUGAGCUUAAUAGCCAUGGCCAAUGCUAACUUAGAGUUGGCAUUGGCCAUGGCUAACUUAAUGUUUAUGUUGCCUAAUUUAGCACCUGUUUUUCCUAAAAUAAUUAUAUGAGUAGAGUACCACACAAUAGGUACGCUGGCAUCUUGUUCAUAAAAAUUGAAUGGCAAAGUAUAACAAAAUGAUUAGUGGUGAUACUUCUAAGGGAAAAAGCCACAAAAAAAAGGGAUAAGUACACUAAUGGUGACAUAAGUUGUGUACGGCGCUCACUUUGAUGCCAAAAGUUUCCGUCGGAUCAUUUAAGUGCCAAAAAAUUUGAAAAAUGCUCACUUUGGUGCCAAUGCCGAUCUGAUCGGCCAAAAAUUUGACGUGACAUUUUUUUUUAUUAAUUUCUUAUGCUGAUGUGGCUCGCCGGAGUUUCCAUUGGAUCACUUAGGCCUUCAAACGACGUCGUUUUAGCAUCCUAACACCAAAACGACGCCGUUUUGUGUCGUCUUCUUCCCCAAACAGAUCCAGCAACACCAACAGCGCCGAACCAGCAACGCCAGCAGCGCAGAACCAACAACACCAGUAAUUUUCCAAAAAAGAAACCAUGCAUUCGCCUCCGCCCUCCCCCAGUAGUUUUCCCCCAUUUUCAAUCACCUUAUCAACCUUUCAAAUCCUCGAAUCUCGACCCCACCACCGCAUUUUCCCAAGGAAUAUCGUUGGGUGCAGAGGAAACGCGAGCUCGAAGAAUCUCUAGAAGCACGAGCGAUCCGGCCAAUGGUAACCGCGAAGAUCUGGAACGUCACAGAGGUUAUCAGCGAAGCUAGUUGCUACGAAGGCGGCGGCCGUGGGCCCCCCAUCCCCUCCUCUGCCCUCAUUGUCGACACCUCCCUCUCUCUCGGGAUUUUCUAUUCAUUUUUUUUGUUUCUUUUGUCUUGUUGUGGCAAGCAACUAUCAUGGAGGUCGAGGGAUGGUGGUUGAGCGACGGUGGUCGAGGGACGGCGGCCAAGUGACAGUGGCCGAGGGACGGCAGCCAAGCGACGGCGGCCGAGCGACGGCGGACAAAAAAACCCUAAUUUCAAUCUCCAAAUUAAAAAAGAAAGGCGUCGUUUUUACGAGGCUAUCCACGUAGGACAGCAAAACGACGUCAUUUUCUUAAGGAAGAUGGAAAACGACGUUGUUUAAAAGGCUUCUUGAUUUUUUUUUUAAAUAUAAAAGCCACGUAAUCAUUUUGGUCGGAAUUUGUCGUCGGCGGCACCAAAGUGAUCGUUUUUUCUCCGAUUUGACACUUAAGUGAUCCAGCGGAAACUUUUGGCACCAAAGUGAGCGCAGUACACAACUUAUGGCACCAUUAGUGUACUUAUCCCACAAAAAAAUUUCGAACUUUAUUAACCGUGACACAUUUAUUCCAAUUUUUUUUGUAACAUCAAAAAUCCCAAACUCGUACACGUGUAGUAAUACAUUUACCCAAAACUUUUUUUUUCGACACCAAAAAGCCCAAACUUAUACUUUUGUUACAUCAAAACCCUAAACUUUUGUUUUGUAACAUCAAAAACCCCAUACUUAUAGUCAAGUCACACAUCUACCCCAAAAAUUUUGUGUCAUAGAAAAAAGUUUGAGGUAUUUUGUGUCACAAAAGAAAAGUUUGAGGUUUUUUAUGUCACAAAACAAAAGUGUGGAGUAAAUGUGUGACACUGUAAUAUUUUGAGACAAAUGUGUCACAUAGGUAAAAGUUUGGGAUUUUUAAUAUUACAAAAGAAAAGUUUGGGAUUUUUAAUAUUACAAAAAAAAAGUUUGGGGUAAAUAUUUCACAAAUGUCAUAGUUUAUGGCUUUUACCAUACUUUUAAAUAGCAGAGAGAUACUUUAAAAAAAGUAGAGGGGAUUUUGAUUUUCAGGCUAAAAUAUAAGGCCCACCAGUAAAUCUAAUCCCAUAAAGAAAGUGGCAUAUGUAUAGGAAUUGAUAAAACAGUAAAAGAUUAUAAUGGACACAGCGCCAAGUACCAAUCGCUCCAAGUCCAACUAGAGAGGUCUCUUCACGCCAACAUCUAUGGCCACGACAAAGUCUAUAAGGUUUUUCCAGUAAAGGCACACAACCAUGAUGUUACAUAUAUAUGAAUUGGGGAAAAAAAAUCAAUGCGUUGCUCUAGAGUUUAGUCCCUUGACGAACAGGUCAGCUCAGCAUGCUUGGAACGAGCACAUUUUGUUGAAGAUACUGACCUCUAGUCUACCUUAGACAAGAGUAAGGACCAUAAGAAUAUUGGACAAUGCUACAUGAAAAUCAAAUCUUGUCGGUCCAGCUUUUCAAAUAUAUGAAUGACUUUGACACUUGGAUUUGUUCCUUUGUUGUUGACUGAUGCUGGUAAAACUAUGUUUAAAGUCCUUGAUCACUCAAGUAUCUGAUGUCGAGUUUGAGUGUUCUCAUUGCAUGUUAUUCCAGUGUAUGACGAGGACAUGUCCAAGUUGCACCACUAGCGUCUUCUUCACUCCGGGAUAUGCCCAUCCUUGUCCACUGGAUGAUGCCUGCUUCAAUGCUUCUAUCUAUGUACUCCAUGACAAUGCGCUAGUCUCAAUUGAAGUUUCCACACGGUACUUUGCGCGUUUCUUGACCCGUUCUUCAUUGAGAUCUCUUUCCUCGCCCUUGCUCGGAGCACAAACGGGUAUAUAUACUUUUCCCUGUGAAUCUUGUUUCUACACCUGUCAGCUCGAACCCUAUAUGGUACAGCCAUGGAUAGCAAAAACGGUAGUCCGUGGUGGUUCAUGCUCCCAAUUUUCUUGCUUUGCUCAUCUCUGUACACCCACCUCUGUCUUGGCACAGACAAGCUCGAUGCGAAUCGAUCUAUAUCUGGUAAUCAAACCUUAACCUCCUUGAGUGGCAACUUUACGCUUGGCUUCUUCUCGCCGGGUAACUCCACGUACUCCUACAUAGGCAUCUGGUACAACAAAAUCAGCGUGCAAACCGUCGUCUGGGUCGCCAACCGAGACAACCCUAUCACUGACAAGCAAUCCACUGAGCUGAAGGUCUCGGGUGGCAAUCUUGUGAUUGUUAACAACUCCGAAGUCCCCGUUUGGUCCACGAAUCUGACUACUACUUCAUCUGGAUCGAGCUCCAUGGUGGCGGUUCUUGACGACGAUGGCAACUUCGCUCUCAAAGUGGCGCCGAAUUCUUCUGUGACUCUGUGGCAGAGCUUUGAUUACCCGACGCACACGUGGCUUCCCGGUGCCAAAUUAGGGAUCGACAAGCGCAAAAACAGGAGUCAGAUCUUGACAUCAUGGAAGAACGCCGAGGACCCUUCGACAGGUUUGUUCUCUCUCCAUCUCCAGACAUUCAGUGACGGUAAGUACUACGUAUGGUGGAAUGGGUCUAACCCUUACUGGACUAGUGGGACGUGGGACAAUCAGACGAAAAUUUUCUCUGGUGUCCCUGAAAUGAGAGAGAACACUUUUUACGAGUUAAAAUAUGUGGACAAUGAGAACGAGAGCUACUUCACCUAUUCAAACAAAAUCUCCUUCAACACCAUAUCAAGGUUUGUUAUGGACCUUUCUGGGCAGAUCAAGCAGGAGUCCUGGUUGCCUUCCCAGGCGUGGACCUUGUUCUGGUCUAAGCCCUCACAACAAUGCGAUGUGUAUAGACUUUGUGGGCCUUUCAGUGUUUGCAGCGAGCAGAGCGAAGAUUCGUGCAGCUGCUUGCCGGGAUUUAGCAUAAGCUCUCCAAUGGAUUGGAAUCGGAGGGAUUGGUCUGGUGGUUGCAAGAGGAAUUCCAACUUAAAUUGUGCAGCGAAUGCGGAGAAAGACCGUUUCUGGCCUAUGUCUAACAUGAAAUUGCGUGAUGCACCUCAAUCUUUAGUUGCUGGGAGCGAUCAGGAAUGCCGAACUGCUUGUUUGAGCAAUUGCUCUUGCACGGCUUAUGCUUUCGAGGAUAAUGCCUGCUCAAUCUGGAUCGGGGAUCUCUUCAAUGUGGAACAGCUCAAACAAGGCACUACCCCUGGAACGAGUUUCUAUGUUCGGCUUGCUGCCUCCGACAUUAAGGAUCCCAGCAAGAAGAGUAAUGUAACUGCAAUAGUGGCAGGGUCUGUUAGUGCCAUGGUAGGGAUAUUCGCCAUUGUCUCGUUUGCCGUUUGGAGAUGGAGGAGAGGGGCAACUGUAACCACAAAAGAAGUGGAGGGUUCACUGAUAGCCUUUGCAUACCGGGACUUGCAAGUAGCAACAAAGAAUUUCUCAGAGAAGUUGGGUGGGGGUGGGUUCGGUUCAGUUUUCAAAGGAACAUUACCUGAUUCAAGUCACAUAGCGGUCAAGAAGCUUGAAAGCAUAAGCCAAGGUGAGAAGCAAUUCCGAAUGGAAGUAAGCACAAUCGGCACUAUCCAGCAUGUGAAUCUUGUCAGGCUUCGCGGAUUCUGCUCUGAAGGUGACAAGAGGCUGUUGGUCUACGAUUUCAUGCCAAAUGGUUCCUUAGACUAUCAUCUCUUUCAUAGAAACGACUCGAAGACCUUGGAUUGGAAAACGAGGUACCAAAUUGCUUUGGGAACGGCUCGAGGUCUGGCUUAUCUCCAUGAGAAGUGCAGAGAUUGCAUCAUACAUUGUGACAUCAAGCCAGAGAACAUCCUUCUAGAUGCUGACUUCUGUCCAGAAGUGGCAGAUUUUGGCCUGGCAAAGCUUGUUGGCCGAGAUUUCAGCAGGGUGUUGACAACCAUGAGAGGCACAAGAGGGUAUCUUGCGCCAGAGUGGAUCUCUGGAGUGGCCAUAACAGUAAAAGCCGAUGUUUAUAGCUAUGGGAUGAUGCUUUUUGAGUUUGUGUCGGGAAGGAGGAACUUAGAGCUAUCGGAAAAUGGGGCCAUCGAGUUCUUCCCAACAUGGGCUGCUAGCAAGAUAGCUGAAGGAGGUGACCUGCUUGAUCUUUUGGACCCAGACUUGGAGAAAAACGCUGAUACUGAAGAGCUAAAUAGGAUAUGCAGAGUUGCUUGCUGGUGUGUCCAAGAUGAGGAAACUCACAGGCCAUCGAUGGGGCUGGUUGUUCAAGUCCUCGAGGGGUUGUUGGAUGUGAACCUGCCCAGGAUACCGAGAGCCCUUCAAAUGCUUCUUGAUAAUCAGGAGCAUGUAGUUUUCUUCACUGAGUCGUCAUCAUCGAACCAGAAUUCCCAGACGAAUAGUAAUACCUCAACUUCUUCCUUGCAGAACCCAAAUAGUUCAUCUUCG